rnacentral:lncRNA from 1 species
GCUCCGGCGACCUCUGCGACACGGAGCUCAGGUGCGAACGUGACACGCGCAUGGGCUCUGGCGUCAUCGAGCUAACCAAGAACGAGAUAAACGGCAACGUCUUAAGCGUCGGUCGGGCAUCGUACGCGCGCCCGGUGAUGCUCUGGGACGACGCCUCCGGCGAGGUUGCCAGCUUCUCCUCUAGCUUCACGUUCCAGAUCAAGCCCAAAAACAGCUCGGACGACCAUUUCGACCUAUGUAACUUCACUACCGCUGCCGACGAUAAUGCUGACGGUAUGUCUUUCUUCCUGGCGCCCUACCCGUCGAGGAUCCCUCCCAACAGUUGGGGCCCCAACUUCGCCCUCUUCAAUACGAGCAACUGCUUCAAUGCCACCGGCGAUGACCGGAUAGUCGCCGUGGAGUUCGAUACCUACCUCAACGACUGGGACCACAGCGACAACCACGUCGGCAUAGACGUCAACUCCAUCGACUCCAAGUCCUACAUGAACGUGACCAAGCGUAUGGUCUCCGACGACGCCACCAUGACUGCUGAGAUCAGCUACGACAACCGCACGGGUAUCCUGGUGGCUCGAGUCCAGAUGGACGGCGACGAGCGGAUUUACAACGUAAACACGUCGCUGGACAUGAAGAGAGAGCUGCCCCUACAAGUUGCAGUUGGCUUCAGCGCAGCAACGGGUUUCUGCGCCGAGCUGCAUCAGGUGCUGUCUUGGUCGUUUAGCUCCACUAUAGACGAUGAUGCCACCGCGACAGCAAGUACCGUUCCCCGGCUGCGACGUCGAUCACUGGUGCCUGUGCUAGUGCCUUCCGCGGCAGCUUUUCUCGUGUUGCUCUGCGGCGGCGCCGUCAUAGUCCGUCAGCGGCGCAAGCGUGAGCAAGCUGAGUUCGAGAAAGGUGUAGGCCCUAGACGGUACCGUUACCAUGAGCUCGCGGCCGCCACCAAGGGUUUUGCGAAGGAGGGGAAGCUCGGGCGUGGUGGCUUCGGCAGCGUCUACCAGGGCAGCGGUCUUAGCGACCAAGACAGCCUCGUGGCCAUCAAAAUGUUGUCUCCGGAAUCGUUUACGCAGGGGAGGAGAGAGUUCGAGUCAGAGGUGAAGAUCAUCAGCCGGGUGAGGCACCGCAACCUUGUGCACUUGCUAGGCUGGUCCGACAGCAAAAGAGGGCUCCUGCUCGUCUACGAACAUCUGUCGGAAGGCAGCCUCGACAAGCACAUAUACAACACCAAUCGUCCUCUCACUUGGUCAGAAAGGUAUGGAAUUUCUCCAUUUUUUGGGAUCAUUAUAUUACCAACAUUGGCUGUAAUUCAAUCACAAGGCAAUGAACCUGGUCUAACCGAUUCAAUUAACACACAUACAUAUAGUAUAUAUGUACAGUCAAUGUUUUAAAUAGCGGGCUACGGCAAAUAGCGGCGAGCCUCUAAAUCAGCUAUAGCGGCGUAUUUGUACAUGAUACCAUUUAGCGACACCUUGUUAAAAAGGCUAUAGCGGGGCUAUAACGGGCUAUUUAAAACUAUAUGUACAGAUCCAAAAUUAUCCUUGGGCUGGGAUCUGCACUACGCUAUCUCCACACAGAGUGCGAUCAAUGCGUACUGCAUGGUGACAUCAAACCCAGCAACAUGCUCCUCAUCUCAUCACGCGGCACCAAGCUGGCGGAUUUCGGGCUGGCGAGGCUUGUGGAUCAUGGAGCAGGGCCGCAAACGACUAAUAUCAUCAAGGGCACCGAAUGGUACAUUGACCCGGAGUUUAUUCGCUCACGCCGGCCGAGUACCGAAGCGGACGUCUACAGCUUCGGCAUCGUUCUGUUGGAGGUUGUGUCCGGUAAAUCCCCAGGGAUGGGGAUGGAACACCGGGUCGACGAAGUCAGCCCGCUGCUCAUGUGGAUCUGGGACAUGUACGAGAAGGGCACCAUCCUUGACGCAGUGGCUAACAUGUUACCCGGUGGUAACCAGCAACUCGACGACGACUGUAAGCGGCAGAUGCGCCGUGCAUUGGUCGUCGGACUCUGGUGCACGCACCCACGCAUUGGCACGCGACCGUCCGUUGUGGAGCUCAUGAACGUCUUGCAAUCUGAGGAUGUCAUGCUGCCGACCCUGUCAUGGUCGAUGUCCGGCGGUUCCCUUGGAUCACACGGACAUAAUGCAUCGACAUCGGCCAAUUGAUGUUUGCAGUAUUGCUUCUUUGGGCAAUCAGUGGCAAAUGACCAAAUUUACUUUACUGGAGAGACUCUGAUAUAAAAGAAGGAUCACUGAUAAUGGUAGUUGUUCAACUAAAAAUAAUGGAAGUGUUAAACGUGCUAUAUCCAUACUGUUGGCAGGAGUUCUAGUCAACUACGCUUGUCCAUGUAUGCAUGCAUUACCCAGAUGGCGUGGAAACAUUUGAGGGAAACAUGUGUCCAACUCUCAUCACCAGAAGCCACUUGACCCAUGGGUGAGCGCACAUGGACCUUAACACCACACCGGUAGCCGGUGGCUCGUCAUCCGGUGGGACGAGGAAACGCGCGCGGGAAAUGUCAACCGACAUACUCUGCGGCGCGCACGAUCUGUUCAACGAAACGCCCGUAGCCAACGACGACGAGAAGACCAACCACUUCAUACAGAGCAUCAUCUUCGAGGGUGCUCCGGCGGUCGUAGGUGGUGCUGGCUACGAUCUUGAUGAGAUCCAAUGCUAGGACGGUCGAGGCGGACUCUUCACGCCGUUGACCCAUGACCAGGCUGACAUGCAGCCCGCGUUCGUGCAAGAUCAGGUCGUCCUGGACCUGAACAGCUUCCCGCUCGACCACGUGUUUUCGGAUGACUACGGCCUUGAGGAAGAGGAUGAGGUGGACAUCGAAUGAGUGCCUGAGGACGAGCUCGCCACCCAAGCCGUCGGGGUGCAUCCCAAGCGAAAGAGCAGAUGGACGAAGGCAUACACGGCGGCCGAGGACAAGCUUCUUUGUGAGUGUUUGAGGGACAUUGGGCAAGACCCCUUCUCUUCGUCGAAGCUGGCUUUGUAUGUCGGCUGCUAGUAUGGUACCGGCAUGAACUUUGGACGACGGCAUGGUCGCUCGCUUGAUCUACUUUUCAAAAGUGUGCGCGGACAUAAAAUGGGUCACGGAUGUUGGACCCACUGCCGACCCAAAUCUUAAAUAGGACGGACGUCGAGCGGACGGCCGACCCAAACACACAAAUAGCGCCAAAAUUUGUAUCCUCCAAUAAAUGUUGACAAUAUAUAUCGUCCUUGGUUGGACGGUAUUUUAAAUAGAUUCAAAACGAUAGUAAGGAUGGAAAUGUAUGCCUUACUUUGACCGUUUUGGCUAUGUAAAAAUAUUUUAGUUUUUAAAUGACAAAAAUGCUUCUCUCUACCUUUUAUUUUUCUUUGUACGCACUCACUUCGUAUGUGGUCUAACUACAACGACCGGAACGGAUGGUUAGGAUGUUUUUUCGUAAUUUGGACGACAACAUAACUGCAGAUCGUUGUACAACCACUUUGGACAUAGGUAUAGUGUCGGUUGACUCUACUAUUGUUGAUUUGUCGGUUUUAUUACAUUUCCUAUUAUCAGCCUUUUGAUGUUUGGAUGUAUGCAUCCUAAUUAUGCAGCUGACAAGUGUUACUCAUAAUAUUUUGAUCCUGUUUGGAUACUUUAACUCGGUUAGAGGUUAGAGUUAGAUUUUAACCCUAGACUAACCAUGAACUAACUCUAACCAAAGAGAUGUUUGGAUGACAGGGUUAGAUUUUUAAUAAAUGCAUCUUUUCUAAUUAUUUGGCUCCUUUAAUCAGGACUUGGUGUGGUGGAGGUACAUGGAAAAGUAAUUUGUUUUGGGUUCCACCUAACUCUAACCCAAAUAAGCACCUCUUGAAUGGAUUAGUUCUUUUAAAUGGGUUAGAUGCAUCUAACCAACUCUAACCCUUCUGUUUGGAUGUUUUACGAUUAGAUUGGUACAAUCUAACCAACUCUAACUUUAAUCCAUAGAUCCAAACAAGACCUUUGUAUCCAUUUGAUGCUAGUAUAUUUUAAAAUAAUUAAAGUGCCCUUUUAUCAAAAAAAAAUGUAUUGGAUCGCCUGCAAAUGUGUACGUAGAGGGCGUAGACACUUUAGUAUAUUCGAUAUUCGAUCGGUUCGGGUGCAUAGUGGGAUCGACAUAUAUGGCCUUUAGUUCCCAGCUUUCCAGGGGCGUGCUGCUUGCCUCUGCAGGGACACACACCAUCAUCGUCAUCAUUUCCCCUGAAAAUGCAUGAUUCCACCUAUUGCUACGAAAAUUAUGUUUCUACCUUAACUAUAUCAUCAUGUAGUACUACAGCUUGCUAAUCUACCAACUUUUGACAACAAUGUGUCACCUUAUCGAUCUCUAGCUAGCGUACGUACGUGCGUGCUUGAUUAGCUUGCUGGAGCGUCUGUGAUGAUCAGCUGUUAUUUGGAGCAUGCAGAUCAGCUAGUGUUUGUGCUCGCACAUGUUGAUCUGCUUUGUGCUCGAUCGCUAGAUCUCCCCGCUGUGAGCUGAAUAGUGUAUUGAACGGUCCCCAGGUAUCCGUGUUUACUUAACUCCGAACCCCACAUGCACGCGUGCAUGUGAUAAUGAACCAAGAGGAGGAGUAGCGUCAAUCUGAAUCAGCAGCUAGCUGUAAUGUCGACGCUUUCGGGUGACACGAGAAUACUCUUCUUCUCUUUGGAUGCAUGGUCCAAAAAAUACCUGAGGAGAUGGAGAGGGAUUAAGCAGGCAGCAAAAUCUCAUCCCAAAAGCGAGAGCAGAGCCGGUCGAUGGAGAGGCCGACAAAUUAAAGGGAUGGAUCGAUGGAUGGAUGUGGUAGCACUAGCUAGCAACCAUCCAUGAUGGAUGCGCGCACCAUCAUCGUCGCCACUCUCCACCGGUUGCGUCGCAUCCUAUCGUCGCUUUUCCCGGCCGGCCGGUAUUUGCGUACCUUGGGUUUCCAAAAAGGAGUGCAGCACCACAUGAUAUAUUUCACUCCUCAUGUCCAAACCACCAUACGUAUACAUGGAUCAGCUGGCCUGAUUUACUACUCACCGUAGUUUACCCACUCUUCAGUCAUUACUAUGGCCCUGUUUGGACACUCUAACCUGGUUAAAGUUAGAGUUAGAUUCUAACUCUUGAACUAACCUAAACUAACUCUAACUCUAGAGGUGUUUGGAUGAGAGGGUUAGAUGGACAAUAAAUGCUUUUUUUAAUCAUUUGGCUAUUUUGAACCUCUCUCUUUCUCUGGACCCCACCUACUCUAACCCAAAAAAGCACCUCUUGGGUGGGUUAGAGUUUUUGAUUGGGUUAGAUACAUCUAACCAACUCUAAUCCACCUGUUUGGAUCUUUGAGGGUUAGAUGGCUUAAAUCUAACCCACUCUAACUCUAACCCUAGAAUCCAAACAGGGCCUAUGUGAUGGACAGUCCCCCAACAUACUUUCGCACUGGCUACGGCUGUGUUGAGGCGAGCUUCGUGCUCUUGGUGUUGCCUCGGUGCAUUUUUGCUAAAUGAUGCACAAUAAGCCUCCACAACUUGCUAAUCGUUCCAAAUUAACCCAACGGAGCUUCCAGUGAAGGUUCGUGUUUGGCACUCAUUCAUAGUGGAUGCUCAUGUGUUGCACCGUAGGUUCAAUACGCAUGUCCUUGAUGUGCGUUAGGUUGCUCGCAAAGUCUUGGUACUGUGAUCCCUUGACGACACCCCAUAACUACAUGUGUGCUACAUGGUGAUGGUCUUUUUAGUCUGCUAGCUAGGCCUGCCCUAUGUUCAGCGUCCUGUCCUUAUCUCCUUGUAACCUUGUUACUUGGAUGGUUUGGUCUAGUUCUUUUAUAGACGGGGCCAACUUGUUCAGUCUUUUUAUCCAGUAUUCCUUAUAAACAGGAACCCACUUCUGGCAAUAUAUUCAGGUGGAGGGACUCCUCUCCCGGUCAUUUUCUAAGAAUCCGCCCUAUAUUUUUGUUUACAUCGAUGUGUGGAUCACUUGGAUGCAGGGUUCCGUAAGACGAAUCUUGAUUAUGUUGAGCCAUAUAUGCUCAAAUACAACUUUGUAAUAACUGAAUAGAAUCACUUUGUGGUGUUCAUUUUCUUCUAGAAAACUUUUUAGAUAUGCAAACACUUUGAUGUCGCUCCAGAGGUUAUGCUUAAGCUUUGCUUAUGCAAUCAUGUAAAGACACAUGAUGUCUGCUACUAUAACACUUACAGCUUCAUUUUAUAUACGUGCUAAAAUGAUUUGCUGGAGAGCUAAUACCUUUAAAGAAAAGUAUAUUUUUCGUCGGUUAACUCUUGACUGAGUCUAGAUUUGGUGCCUCGACUCACGGACCACACAACUUGCAGCCCCCUCGACUCGAAUUUCACUGGUUUUGGUUUUGUCAUCCUGCUUUUCACCGAUGCUGACUAAAAUUUGUGUACUCUAUUCAAAUUCAUGAACUUUCUUGAAAUUGGGGUAUAGUUUUCAAAUACACGGACUUUCUUUCAAGUUUGUCCAAUUGUUUUUCAAAUUCGUAUAUUUUUUGAAAUCUGCAAACUUUUUGAAAUCCUCAUACUUUUUCCUGGUUUGUGUCCUUUUUUCGAAAUCCCGUACUUUUUUCAAGUAGCUAUAUUCUUUUUUAAUUUGCGUACUUCUUUUCAAAUCUGCGUAAUUUUUCAAGUUCACGUAAUUUUUCCAUAUCCAUGAUUUUUCCCAAACAAAAUAUGCCGAUUCGAAAAAGAACGUGAAUUUAAAGCAAAUAACAAACAUGAAAAGGGUGCACAAAUUUGUAAAGUGACACAAUUCCAAAAAGGUUCACGUAUUUGAAAAAGUACACGGAUUUUAGGAAAACAUAUGAUGGACAGUCAUCCACAUACUCCCGCAUUAUUUCGUUUGUGUGGAUGUUUGUGUGGAUCACUCGGAUGUCGACGCUAAGGGUCUCUCCCUUUUUUAAAAAAGCAUAAGGGGAAAUCGUAAAAACUCGCAGUUUUGUCCCAUUCCGGUCAGUUUUGUAUACUAUUACUCAUUAAUUUUGGUUCCCGCUACGGUCCAAACGUUUCGUUAACCCGUGGUCCGAUUACGGGGAACUCGUCGAAACUCGCAGUUUUGGUCUAUUCUGGCUAGUUUUGUAUGCUAGUACUCACUAACUUUGGGUCCCGCUGCGAUUUGAACGUUUCGGGAACCCUGGGGUCCGAUUACGUGGAAUUCGUCAAAAUUCACAGUUUUGGCUUAUUCCGGCCAAUUUUGUAUGCUAUUACUCACUGAAUUUGGGUCCCGAUGCCAUCCGAACGUUUCGGGAACCUCGGGGUCCGGUUAAGGGGAAAUCGUGAAAACUCGCAGUUUCGGCCUAUUCCGGCCAGUUUUGKAUGCUAUUACUCACUGAUUUUGGUUYCCRCUKMGAUCCGAACGUUUCGGGAACCUCGAGGUCCGGUUACGGRGAACUCGUCAAAACUCACAGWUUUUGUCUAUUCUGGCUAGUUUUGUAUGCUAUUACUCACUAAUUUUGGGUCUCGCCGCGAUCCGAACAUUUCGGGAACACCGGAAUCCGACUACGUNNNNNNNNNNNNNNNNNNNNNNNNNNNNNNNNNNNNNNNNNNNNNNNNNNNNNNNNNNNNNNNNNNNNNNNNNNNNNNNNNNNNNNNNNNNNNNNNNNNNNNNNNNNNNNNNNNNNNNNNNNNNNNNNNNNNNNNNNNNNNNNNNNNNNNNNNNNNNNNNNNNNNNNNNNNNNNNNNNNNNNNNNNNNNNNNNNNNNNNNNNNNNNNNNNNNNNNNNNNNNNNNNNNNNNNNNNNNNNNNNNNNNNNNNNNNNNNNNNNNNNNNNNNNNNNNNNNNNNNNNNNNNNNNNNNNNNNNNNNNNNNNNNNNNNNNNNNNNNNNNNNNNNNNNNNNNNNNNNNNNNNNNNNNNNNNNNNNNNNNNNNNNNNNNNNNNNNNNNNNNNNNNNNNNNNNNNNNNNNNNNNNNNNNNNNNNNNNNNNNNNNNNNNNNNNNNNNNNNNNNNNNNNNNNNNNNNNNNNNNNNNNNNNNNNNNNNNNNNNNNNNNNNNNNNNNNNNNNNNNNNNNNNNNNNNNNNNNNNNNNNNNNNNNNNNNNNNNNNNNNNNNNNNNNNNNNNNNNNNNNNNNNNNNNNNNNNNNNNNNNNNNNNNNNNNNNNNNNNNNNNNNNNNNNNNNNNNNNNNNNNNNNNNNNNNNNNNNNNNNNNNNNNNNNNNNNNNNNNNNNNNNNNNNNNNNNNNNNNNNNNNNNNNNNNNNNNNNNNNNNNNNNNNNNNNNNNNNNNNNNNNNNNNNNNNNNNNNNNNNNNNNNNNNNNNNNNNNNNNNNNNNNNNNNNNNNNNNNNNNNNNNNNNNNNNNNNNNNNNNNNNNNNNNNNNNNNNNNNNNNNNNNNNNNNNNNNNNNNNNNNNNNNNNNNNNNNNNNNNNNNNNNNNNNNNNNNNNNNNNNNNNNNNNNNNNNNNNNNNNNNNNNNNNNNNNNNNNNNNNNNNNNNNNNNNNNNNNNNNNNNNNNNNNNNNNNNNNNNNNNNNNNNNNNNNNNNNNNNNNNNNNNNNNNNNNNNNNNNNNNNNNNNNNNNNNNNNNNNNNNNNNNNNNNNNNNNNNNNNNNNNNNNNNNNNNNNNNNNNNNNNNNNNNNNNNNNNNNNNNNNNNNNNNNNNNNNNNNNNNNNNNNNNNNNNNNNNNNNNNNNNNNNNNNNNNNNNNNNNNNNNNNNNNNNNNNNNNNNNNNNNNNNNNNNNNNNNNNNNNNNNNNNNNNNNNNNNNNNNNNNNNNNNNNNNNNNNUUGGCCUAUUCCGGCCAGUUUUUAUGCUAUUACUCACUGAUUUUGGUUCAUCAGCGAUCCGAACGUUUAAGGAACCCGCGGUCCGAUUACGCGGAACUCGUCGAAACUCCCAGUUUUGGUCUAUUCUGGCAAGUUUUGUAUGCUAUUAUUACUCACUGGUUUUGGGUCCCGCUGCGAUCCGAACAUUUCGGGGAACCSAUGGGGUCCGGUUACGUCGAACUCGUGAAAACUCGCAGUUUUGGUGUAUUCCUGCCAUUUUUGUAUGCUAGUAGUCACUGAUUUUGGGUCCCGUUGUGAUCCGAACGUUUCGGUAACCCCGUGGUCCGUUACGGGGUAAUCGUCAAAUCGCAGUUUUGGCCUAUUGUGGCUAGUUUUGUAUGCUCUUACUCACUGAUUUUGGCCCCGCUGCGAUGCGAAUGUUUCAGGAAUCACGGGGUCCGGUUACGGGAAACUCGUCAAAACUCGCAGUUUUGGCCUAUUCUGGCCAGUUUUGUAUGCUAUUAGUCACCGAUUUUGGGUCCCGAUGCCAUGCUAACGUUUCGGGAACCCCGGGGUCCGGUUACGGGGAAAUCGUCAAAAAUCGCAGUUUUGGCCUAUUGCGACCAGUUUUGUAUGCUAUUAGUAAGUGAUUUUGGGUCCCGAUGAGAUCCGAAUGUUUCGGGAACCCUAGGAUCCGGUAACGGGGAACUCAUCAAAACUCGCAGUUUUAGCCUAUUCUAGCCACAUUUGUGUGCUAUUUGUCACUCAUUUUGGGUCCUCCUGCGAUCCGAACGUUUCGGGAACCCCGGGGUCCGGUUACACAUAACUCGUCAGAACUCGCAGUUUUGACCUAUUACGACUAGUUUUUUAUGCUAUUAGUAACUGAUUUUGGGUCCGGCUCAGAUCCGAAUGUUUCGGGAACCCUAGGGUCCGGUUACGUGGAACCACGGGUCCGGUUACGGGGAAUUCGUCAAAACUCAAUGUUUUUUGUCUAUUCUGUCUAGUUUUGUAUGCUAUUAGUUGAUACGUCUCUGUUGUAUCUAUAAUUUUUGAUUGUUUCAUGCCAAUAUUCUACAACUUUCAUAUACUUUUGGCAACUUUUUAUACUAUUUUUGGGACUAACAUAUUGAUCCAUAGCCCAGUGCCAGUUCAUGUUUGUUGCAUGUUUUUUGUUUCGCAGAUUAUCCAUACCAAACGAAGUCCAAAUGCAAUAAAAAACCUACGGGGAUUUUUUUGGAAUAUUUAUGAUUUUUGGGAAGAAGAAUCUAUGCAAAACGAUGCCUCAGGAGGUCACAAGCCCAGGAGGCCCCCCCUAGGGCGCGGCUGGCAGGCUUGUGACCAAUCCCUAAGGCGGUUGGGGCCCUUCUUUCGCCGGAAGAAAGCUAAUAUCCGGAAGAAAAUCGUGUUAAAAUUACAGCCCAAUCGGAGUUACGAUCUCCGGGAAUUUAGGAAACGGUGAAAGCGAGAAUCUGGGAGGGCCAAAACAGAAGGACACACAGAGAGAGAUCCAAUCUCGGAGGGGCUCUUGCCCCUACGCCGCCAUGGAGACCAUGGACCAGAGGGGAAAUCCUUCUCCCAUUUAGGGAGGAGGUCAAGGAAGAAGAAGAAGAAGGGGCGCUCUCUCCCCCUCUAUCCCGGCGGCGCCAGAACGCCGCCCGGGACAUCAUCGUGUGACGACGAUCUACACGAACACCUCCGUCAUCUUCACCAACACCUCCAUCAGCUUCCCCCAUCUAUAUUCAGCGGUCCACUCUCCCGCAACCCGCUGUACCCUCUACUUGAACAUGGUUCUUUAUGCUUCAUAUUAUUAUCCAAUGAUGUGUUGCCAUCCUAUGAUGUCUGAGUAGAUUUUCGUUGUCCUAUCGGUGAUUGAUGAAUUGCUAUGAUUGGUUUAAUUUGCUUGUGGUGAUGUUGCUGUCCUUUGGUGCCCAUCAUAUGAGCGCACGCGUGGAUCACACCAUGGGGUUAGUAGUAUGUUGAUAGGACUAUGUAUUGGAGGGCAAGGGUGAAAGAAGCUUCAUCCUAGCAUAGAAAUUGAUGCAUAUGGGAUUGAAGGGGAACUAAUAUAUCUUAUUGCUAUGGUUGGGUUUUACCUUAAUGAACAUUAGUAGUUGCGGAUGCUUGCUAAUAGUUCCAAUCAUAAGUGCAUAGAAUUCCAAGUAAGGGAUGACAUGCUAGCAGUGGCCUCUCCCACAUAAAACUUGCUAUCGGUCUAGUAACAUAGUCAAUUUCUUAGGGACAAUUCCGCAACUCCUACCACCACUUUUCCACACUCGUUAAACUAAUGUAAUUGUUUCUUCAUCUAACCAGCCCCUAGUUUUUAUUUACGUGUUCAUUCUUUCUUGCAAACCUAUCCUAUCACUCCUACAAAGUACUUCUAGUUUCAUACUUGUUCUAGGUAAAGCGAACGUAAAGUUUUCGUAGAGUUGUAUCGGUGGUCGAUAGAACUUGAGGGAAUAUUUGUCCUACCUUUAGCUCCUCGUUGGGUUCAACACUCUUACUCAUCGAGAAAGGCUACAAUUGAUCCCCUAUACUUGUGGGUUAUCAAGACCUUUUUCUGGCGCCAUUGCCGGGGAGCAAUAGCGUGGGGUGAAUAUUCUCGUGUGUGCUUGUUUGCUUUAUCACUAAGUAGAUUUAUUUGUUGUUCUAAGUUUUUUUCUCUAUAUUUAGUUAUGGAUAUGGAACACGAAAUAUCAAAACAAUUAGGUGUACUUACUACUCAUGGAGAUGGGGAACCUCCUAAAACCCUCGAUGCUCGUUAUGUGGAAAAUAUUAUGCACUUCUUUAAUAAUCCUGAGAAAACCCCAUUAAAUUAUAUAAUGGGAUACACGUUGGAUCAACGUGAAUACUUUAGGGAUUAUUGCUUGACUCAAAAAAGGAAACUAUUAUGGGAUCAAAUGCAUAUGUUGAAAUGGUAUGCUUGGGAGCUAUGCUCGAGAUAUGAUAUUACUUGUUGCUCUAGGAUGAAGGCUAAACACCUUCCCUUUUCUUGUAAAUUUAAUGCUAAUGAAACCUUGGCUUCUUAUGCUAAUGGUAUAUAUGAUUACUAUGAUGUGGAACAAAUAGAAGAGUUUGUUGCUUUUAUGGGUGCUUAUGAAAUUGAAGCUCUAUUUAAAAGGUGUGAUGAUAAUGAUGAUGUUGCUUACCGAUCUGAAAAUUUGGUUAUGAUUCAUUAUUGUUAUACUAAUUAUGAAUAUAAUGCCCAUAUUUACCGAUUUAUGGAGAAACUAUUCGCUACCCAAGAAGAGACUAAUAUUUUGCAGGAAACUAUGGAAGAAGAAAAUGCUGAAACUGUGAGCUCAUUAGAUGAAAAAGAUGACGAGGAGAGCGAAGAACAAAAGGAGGAAGAGCAGACUAGCUACCCGUGCCCACCUUCUAACGAGAGUAACUAUUCAACUCAUACAUUGUUUAAUUUCCCUUCGUUCAUACCGAAGGAUGAAUGCUAUGUUGAUUGCUAUGGUCCCUUGGAUUCGUUUGAAAUAUCCCUUUUUGAUGAACUUGAUGCUUGCUAUGGUUGUCGCCAUGAUGCCAAUAUGAAUGAUGCUUAUGAAGAUGAACUUGCUAUAAUUCCUUAUGUUAAACAUGAAAUUGUUGCUAUCGCACCCACUUAUGAUAGUCCUAUUAUCUUUUUGAACUCUCCCAACUACACUAUAUCGGAGAAGUUUGCUCUUAUUAGGGAUUACAUAGAUGGGUUGCCUUCUACUAUUACACAUGAUGAUUUUGAUGAAUAUAAUAUGCAUGUGCUUGCUGCUCCUACUUGCCAUUAUUAUGAGAGAGGAACUACAUCUCCACCUCUCUAUGUUUCCAAUACGAUAAAAUUGCAAGAAACUGCUUAUGCUAUGUAUUGGCCUUUACUUGAUGUGCAUGAAUUGUUCUUUUAUGACAUGCCAAUGCAUAGGAAGAGAGUUAGACUUCGUCAUUGCAUGAUAUAUGUUACCUUGUGCUCACUACUAAAUUACAAAUCAUUGUUAAUUAAAAUUGGCUUUGAUAUACCUUGGGAUCCGGGUGGAUCCAUUACUUGAGCACUUUAUGCCUAGCUUAAUGGCUUUAAAGAAAGCGCUGCGUGGGAGACAACCCGAAAGUUUUAGAGAGUCAUUUAUUUCUGUUGAGUGCUUUUUUAUAGUUUAAAAACAAAAAAAUAUAGAGGGGAACUUAAAACUUUUUCAAAAAGAGAAGCGAUUGAAAGGUGAUGCAUUGCGGAAGUGAGGGUCGACCUUGAACACUUGUGUUCAUGCUCAUGGAAACAAUGUAGAAUUUUUCAUGGAAGUUUCUCGCAAAAAUAAUUAUCCCCUUGUACAAUUCCAUUGUAUUAUAAAAAUAUUGUGCCAAGUAAAGCCUUUAUGAUUAGUUUGGGUGAUAGUUGUUUGAUCAUGCUGAAAAAGACAGAAACUUUGUGCUCACGAAAUUAUUUUUAAUUCCUAUCCAGAAAGAGCUUUUGAGUUGAUUCUUUUUUCUGAUGAUUGAUACACAAAUUUCCUUAAUUAUCAUAAUUUCUUCAGAAUUUUUGUAGUAUCAGAAGUAUGGUAUACGUUCAGAUUACUACAGAUUGUUCUGUUUUUGACAGAUUCUGUUUUCUAUGCAUUGUUCUCUUAUUUUGAUGAAUCUAUGGGUAGUAUCGGGUGGUAUGAACCAUGGUGAAGUUGGAUUACAGUAGAUAUAAUGCUAAUAUGAAUUUGAAAUGACUUCACAACAUUACUUAGAGUGGUGAUUUACUUUAUUAUACUAACGGAUCUCACGAAGGUUUCGUUGAGUUUUGUGUGAUUGAAGUUUUCAAGUUUUGGGUGAGACCAGGAUGGAUGAAGGAAUAAGGAGAGGCAAGAGCCUAAUAUAGGGGAUGCCCGAGGCACCCAAAGGUAAUAUUCAAGGAAGACUCAAGUGUCCAAGCUUGGGGGUGCCCCGGAAGGCAUACCCUCUUUCGUCUACAAUUUAUCGGUUAUUUUACUCGGAGCUAUAUUUUUAUUCGUCACAUGAUAUGUGCAAAUGCUUGGAGCUUCUUUUGUGUUUAUCUUUCCUUUUUAUUUUAUGCACCAUGCUGGUAUGAGAUAGUCCUUGGUUCAUUUAUAGAGUGCUCUUUGCACUUCACUUAUAUCUUUUGAGUAUGGCUUUAUAGAAUGCUUCAUGUGCUUCACUUAUAUCAUUUGAAGUUUGGAUUGCCUGUUUCCCUACACAUAGAAAACCGCCAUUUGUAGAAUGCUCUUUUGCUUCACUUAUAUUUGUUAGAGCGGGGCAUAUCUUUUAUAGAAAGAAUUAAACUCUCAUGCUUCACUUAUACCUAUUUAGAGAGUUAACAUGAGUUGGUCAUUCACAUGGUUAGUCAUAAAAUCAUACAUAAAGCUUGUAGAUCACUGAAUAUGUUAUGUUUGAUUCCUUGCAAUAGUUUUGCGACAUGAAGAUGUGAUAUUAGAGUCAUGAUAGUGAGUAGUUCUGUAUUCGUAGAAAUAAUUGUGUUAAGGUUUGUGAUUCCCGUAGCAUUCACGUAUGGUGAACCGUUAUGUGACGAAGUCAGAGCAUGAUUUAUUUAUUGAUUGUCAUCCUUUGUGUGGAAGUCGGGAUCGCGUGAUGGUUAACUCCUACCAACCCUUCCCCUAGGAGCAUGCGCGUAGUACCUUGUUUCGAUGACUAAUAGACUUUUGCAAUAAGUAUGUGAGUUCUUUAUGACUAAUGUUGAGUCCAUGGAUUAUACGCACUCUCACCCUUCCACCAUUGCUAGCCUCUCUAGUACCGCACAACUUUCGCCGGUGCAGUACACCCACCAUAUACCCUUCCUCAAAACAGCCACCAUACCUACCUAUUAUGGCAUUUCCAUAGACAUUCCGAGAUAUAUUGCCAUGCAACUUCCAUCGUUCCAUUUAUUAUGACACGCACCAUCAUUGUCAUAUUGCUUUGCAUGAUCAUAAGAUAGCUAGCAUGAUGUUUCAUGGCUUGUCCGUUUUUUGAUGUCAUUGCUACGCUAGAUCAUUGCACAUCCCGGUACACCGCCGGAGGCAUUCAUAUAGAGUCAUAUUUUGUUCUAAAUAUCAAGUUGUAAGUAAAUAAAAGUGUGAUGAUCAUCAUUAUUAGAGCAUCGUCCCAUGUGAGGAAGUAAUAAAAGAGGCCAAUGAAGCCCAAAUAAAAAAUGGCCAAAGAAGCCCACCAAAAAAAAUAAAAAAAAUGAGAGAAAAGAGAGAAGGGACAAUGCUACUAUCCUUUACCACACUUGUGCUUCAAAGUAGCACCAUGAUCUUCAUGAUAGAGAGUCUCCUAUGUUGUCACUUUCAUAUACUAGUGGGAAAUUUUCAUUAUAGACCUUGGCUUGUAUAUUCCAAUGAUGGGCAUCCUCAAUUGCCCUAGGUCUUCAUGAGCAAGCGAGUUGGAUGCACACCCACUUAGUUUCUUUUUGAGCUUUCAUAAACUUAUAGCUCUUGUGCAUCUCUUGCAUGGCAAUCCCUACUCACUCACAUUGAUAUCUAUUGAUGGGCAUUUCCAUAGCCCGUUGAUAUGCCUAGUUGAUGUGACCAUCUCCUCCUUUUUGCCUCACAACAACCACCAUAUUCUAUUCCACCUAUACUGCUAUGUCCAUGGCUCACACUCAUGUAUUUUGUGAAAGUUGAAAAAGUUUGAGAACACUAAAGUAUAAAACAAUUGCUUGGCUCAAACCGAGGUUGUGCACGAUUUAAAUACGUUGUGUGGGGAAGAUGGAGCAUAGCCAGACUAUAUGAUUUUGUAGGGAUAACUUUCUUUGGCCAUGAUAUUUUGAGAGGACAUGAUUACUUUGUUAGUAUGCUUGAAAUAUUAUUAUCUUUAUGUCAAAUGAUAGACUAUUGCUUCGAAUCACUUGUGUUUUAGUAUUCAUGCCAUGAUUAGAUUAUAUGAUCAAGAUUAUGCUAGGUAGCAUUCCACAUCAAAAAUUAUCUUUUUUAUCAUUUACCUACUCGAGGAGGAGCGGGAAUUAAGCUUGGGGAUGCUGAUACGUCUCCGUCGUAUCUAUAAUUUUUGAUUGUUUCAUGCCAAUAUUCUACAACUUUCAUAUACUUUUGACAACAUUUUAUACUUUUUUUGGGACUAACAUAUUGACCCAGUGCCCAGUGUCCGUUCCUGUUUGUUGCAUGUUUUUUGUUUCGCAGAUUAUCCAUACCAAACGAAGUCCAAACGCAAUAAAAAACCUACGGGGAUUUUUUUUGGGAAUAUUUAUGAUUUUUGGGAAGAAGAAUCUACGCGAAACGAUGCCCGAGGAGGUCACAAGCCCAGGAGGCGCGACCCCCCCCCUUAGGGCACGGCUCACAGCCUUUUUAAGGUGGUUGGGGCCGUUCUUUUGCCGGAAGAAAGCUAAUAUCUGAAAGAAAAUCGUGUUAAACUUUCAGCCCAAUCGAAGUUACGGAUCUCCGGGAAUUUAAGAAACGGUGAAAGCCACAAUCUGGGAGGGAAGAAACAGAAGGACACAGAGAGAGAGAGAUCCAAUCUUGGAGGGGCUCUUGCCCCUCCGCCACCAUGGAGACCAUGGAGCACAGGAGAAACCCUUCUCCCAUCUAGGGAGGAGGUCAAGGAAGAAGAAGAAGAAGAAGGGGGGCUCUCUCCCCCUCUCUCCCGGUGGCGUCGAAACGCCGCCCGGGACAUCAUCGUGUGACGGCGAUCUACACCAACACCUCCGUCAUCUUCACCAACACAUCCAUCACCUUCCUCCAUCUAUAUUCAGCGGUCCACUCUCCCGCAACCCGAUGUACCCUCUACUUGAACAUGGUGCUUUAUGCUUCAUAUUAUUAUCCAAUGAUGUGUUGCCAUCCUAUGAUGUCUCAGUAGAUUUUUGUUGUCCUAUCGGUGAUUGAUGGAUUUCUAUGAUUAGUUUAAUUUGCUUGUGGUUAUGUUGUUGUCCUUUGGUUCCCAUCAUAUGAGCGUGCGCGUGGAUCACACCAUGGGGUUAGUAGUAUAUUGAUAGGACUAUGUAUUGGAGGGAAAGGGUGACAGAAGCUUCAGCCUAGCAUAGAAAUUGAUGCAUAUGGGAUUGAAGGAGGACCAAUAUAUCUUAUUCCUAUGGUUGGGUUUUACCUUAAUGAACGUUAGUACUUGCGGAUGCUUGCUAAUAGUUCCAAUCAUAAGUGCAUAGAAUUCCAAGUAAGGGAUGACAUGCUAGCAUUGGCCUCUCCCACAUAAAACUUCCUAUCAGUCUAGUAACAUAGUCAAUUGCUUAGGGACAAUUCCGCAACUCCUACCACCACUUUUCCACACUCGUUAAACUAACGUAAUUGUUUCUUCAUCUAACCAGCCCCUAGUUUUUAUUUACGUGUUCAUUCUUUUCUUGCAAACCUAUCCUAUCACUCCUACAAAGUACUUAUAGUUUCAUACUUGUUCUAGGUAAAGCGAACGUAAAGUGUGCGUAGAGUUGUAUCGGUGGUCGAUAGAACUUGAGGGAAUAUGUGUCCUACCUUUAGCUCCUCGUUGGGUUCGACACUCUUACUUAUCGAGAAAGGCUACAAUUGAUCCCCUAUACUUGUGGGUUAUCAGUAGUAACUGAUUUUGGAUCCCGAUGCCAUCCGAACGUUUAGGGACCCCGGGGUCCGGUUAAGGGGAUAUUGUGAAAACUCGCAGUUUUGUCCUAUUCCGACCAAUUUUGUAUGCUAUUACUCACUGAUUUCGGUUCCCGCUGCGAUCCGAACAUUUUGGGAACCCGUGGUCCGAUUACGGGGAACUCGUCGAAACUCAAAGUCUUGGUCUAUUGAGGCCAGUUUUGUAUGCUAUUACUCAUUGAUUUUGGGUCCCGCUGCGAUCCGAACGUUUAGGUAACCCCGGGGUCCGGUUACGUGGAACUCGUGAAAACUCAUAGUUUGGGCCUAUUGUGGCCAGUUUUGUAUGCUAUUACUCACUGAUUUUGGGUCCCGCUGCGAUCCGAAUGUUUUAGGAACCCCGGGGUCCGGUUAAGGGGAAAUCGUGAAAACUUGUAGUUUUGGCCUAUUCCGGACAGAUUUUGGGUCCUGCUGCGAUCCGAACAUUUCGGGAACCCCGGGAUCCGGUUACGUGGAACUCGUCAAAACACGCAAUUUUGGCCUAUUGUGGCAAGUUUUGUAUGCUAUUACUCACUGAUUUUGGGUUCCGCUGUGAUCCGAACGUUUGAGGAACCCCGGGAUCCGGCUCCGUGGAACUCGUCAAAACACGCAGUUUUGGCCUAUUGUGGCAAGUUUUGUAUGCUAUUACUCAGUGAUUUUGGGUCCCGAUGUCAUCCGAACGUUUCGGGAACCCAGGGGGUCCGGUUACAGGGAAAUCGUCAAAAAUCGCACUUUUCGCCUAUUGCGACCAAUUUUGUAUGCUAUUAGUAACUAAUUUUGGGUCCCGCUCAGAUCCCAAUAUUUCGGGAACCCUAGGGUCCGGUUACGGGGAAUCGUCAAAACUAGCAGUUUUCGCCUAUUCUGGCGAGUUUUGUAUGCUAUUAGUCACUGAUUUUGGGUCCCGAUGUGAUCCGAAUGUUUCAGGACCAUUGGAUCCGGUUACGGGGACUCGUCAAAACUCGCAGUUUUGUAUGUUAUUAGUCACUCAUUUUGGAUCCCGCCGUGAUCCAAACAUUUCGGAACCUCGGGGUCCGGUUAUGGGGAACUCGUCAAAACUCGCACUUUUGGCCUAUUGUGGCUAGUAUUGUAUGCCAAUAGUCACUUAUUUUGGGUUCCAGAUGUGAUCCAAAUGUUUCUGGAACCCUUGGGUCCGGUUACGGGGAACUCGUCAAAAUUGCAGUUUUGACCUAUUCCCGAGAGUUUUAUAUGCUAUUGCUCACUAAUUUUAGGUCCUGCUGUGAUCCGAAAGUUUUGGAACCUUGCGGUCCGGUUAGAGGGAACUAGUCAAAACUCACAGUUCUGGCCUAUUCCCGCCAGUUUUCUAUCAUAUUAGUCACUGAUUUUGGAUCCCGCUGCGAUCCGAACGUUUCGAGGAACCCCGGGGUCUGGUUAUGGGGAACUCAUCAAAACUCGCAGUUUUGGCCUAUUCUCACCAGUUUUGUAUGCUAUUUACUCAUUGAUUUUGGUCCCCCUGCGAUCCGAACGUUUCUGGAACGGCGAGGUCCUAUUACGGGGAACUCAUCAAAACUCGCAGUUUUGGCCUAGUGUGGCCAGUUUUCUAUGGUAUUAGUCAAAGAUUUUGGGUCCAGCUGUUCCCCAACCAUCUCGGGAACUCCGGGGUUAGGUUACGGGGAACUCGUCAAAAAUCAAUGUUUUCGCUUAUUCUAGCCAGUUUUGUAUGCUAUUACUCAUUGAUUUUGGGUUCCGCUUCGAUCCGAACGUUUCGGGAACCCCGGGGUCCGGUUACAUGGAACUCGANNNNNNNNNNNNNNNNNNNNNNNNNNNNNNNNNNNNNNNNNNNNNNNNNNNNNNNNNNNNNNNNNNNNNNNNNNNNNNNNNNNNNNNNNNNNNNNNNNNNAUGUGAACACUUCGGGACCCCGGAGUCCGGUUACGGGGAACUCGUCAAAACUCACAGUUUUUGUCUAUUCUGGCUAGUUUUGUAUGCUAUUACUCAUUGAUUUUGGCUCCCGCUGCGAUCCGAACGUUUUGGGAAGCCCUAGGUACGGUUACGGGGAACUCGUCGAAACUCGCAGUUUUGGUCUAUUCUGGCCAGUUUUGUAUGCUAUUACUCACUGAUUUUGGGUCCCGCUGCGAUCCAAACGUUUCGGGAACUCCGGGGUCCGGUUACGGAGAAUUCGUCAAAACUUGUAGUUUUGGUCUUAUCUCGCCAGUUUUAUAUGCUAUUAAUGACUGAUUUUGGGUCCCGGUGCGAUCCGAACGUUUUAGAAAUCCCGGGGUCCGGUUACGUGGAACUCAUGCAAACUCUUAGUUUUGGCCUAUUCUGGCCAGUUUGUAUGCUAUUAGUCACUAAUUUUGGGUGCCCUUGUGAUCCGAAUGUUUCUGUAACCCCGUGGUCCGGUUACGGUGAACUCGUAAAAAAUUGCAGUUUUGGCCUAUUGUGCCCAUUUUUGUAUGAUAUUACUCACUGAUUUUGGGUCCAGCUGCGACCUGAAAGUUUCGGGAACCCCGGGAUCCGGUUACAUGGAACUCGAGAAAACUCGCAGUUUGAGCCUAUUCUGGCCACUUUUGUAUGAUGUUACUCAGUGAUUUUGGUUGCCACUGCGAUCCGAACGUUUAGGGAACCGCGGGUCCGGUUACGGGGAAUUCGAGAAAACUCGUAGUUAUGCUCUAUUCUCGCCAGUUUUGUAUGCUAUUACUCACUCAUUUUGGGUCCCGCUGCGAUCCGAACGUUUCAGGAACCUCGGGAUCCGGUUACGUGGAACUCGUCGAGACUCAACAAGCAAGCAAAAAGUAACAAGUAACAAGUAAAAAGUAGUAGCAAGCAAAAAGUAACAAGUAACAAGUAGUAGCAACGGUGCAGCAAGUGGCCCAAUCCCUUUUGUAGCAAUGGACAAGCCUGAACAAAGUCUUAUAGGAAGAAAAACGCUCCUGAGGACACACAUGAAUUUCUCUCAUGCUAGUUUCAUCAUGUUCAUAUGUUUUGCGUUCGUUACUUUGAUAGUUUGAUAUGUGGGUGGACCGGCGCUUGGGUACUGCCCUUACUUGGACAAGCAUCCCACUUAUGAUUAACCUCUCUCGCAAGCAUCCGCAACUACAAAAUAAGAAUUAAGACAACGUCUAACCAUAGCAUUAAACUAGUGGAUCCAAAUACGCCCCUCAAGAAGCAACGCAUAGACUGGGGUUUAAGCUUCUGUCACUCCAGCAACCCAUCAUCUACUUACUACUCACCAAUGCCUUCCUCUAGGCCCAAAUAUGGUGAAGUGUUAUGUAGUCGACGUUCAUAUAACACCACUAGAGGAAAAACAACAGACAGCAUAUCAAAAUACCGAACGAAUAUCAAAUUGACAUGACUAUUAUCAGCAUGACUUAUCCCAUGUCCUCAGGAACAAAAGUAACUACUCACGGAGCAUAAUCAUAAUCAUGAUCAGAGGUGUAAUGAAUAGCAUCAAGGAUCUGAACAUAAACUCUUCCACCAAGUAAUCCAACUAGCAUCAACUACAAAGAGUAAUCAACACUACUAGCAGCCCCCCUCCGGUACUUCUUUCGCCCAGUAUUUUUUAUAUAAUCCCAAAAAAAUCCACGUAACUUUUCAAGGCAUUUGGAGAGGUGCAGAAUAGUGGACUAAGAUUUACUCCUUUUCCAGUCCAGAAUUCCAGCUGCCUGAAUUCUCCCUCUUCAAAUAAACCUUGCAAAAUGGUACCACACAGUAAUAUAACAGCCCAAAAGGCAAUAAAUAUCAACAUGAAAGCAUGAUGCAAAAUGGACGUAUCAACUCCCCCAAGCUUAGACCUCGCUUGUCCUCAAGCGAAAACCAAGUUCCAUAAACAUGUCCACAUGUUGAGGUACGAAGGUGUCGAUAAAACAUAAUACGGACAUGAGGGCAUCAUGAUCACACAUAGAACAACAAUACAUCAUAAAGAUUCUUAUGGGAAAGUAACAAUUCCUUCAUAAAGCAAAGCAUGAAGCAAAAACCUUACCGAGAAGUAACCAACAACAGUCCAAAGUCAUUGCAGCAAUUGCAAUUUAUCACAACAUCAGAAAGAGUCAAAUAAGAACUUGUAAGGCAAACCCACAUACUCAAUCAUCUCUUUUUUCCACAAUUGUUGCAACUCACGUGGUACUCAUGGUGUCAAAGUUUCAACUGGACACAGAGGAAGAUAGGGGCUUAUAGUUUUGCCUCCCAACUAUUUACCUCAAGGGUAAAGUCAACAAUAAUAAAGCAUGAUUACUCAACUCCAAGUUGAUAUAUGAAUAUAGAUCUUUCCCAAGCAUGUGACGGUAGCCAAGACAAAGGCAAAAAUAGGGAAUUGGUGAAGAUCACCAUGACUCUUGCAAGGGAAAAAAGUAAAGGUACAAGAUAGGCCCUUCGCAGAGGGAAGCAGAGGUUGUCAUGCACUUUUGAGGUUUGAAUGUGUGUCCUCUUAGUGCGGAGGAACGUCACUUUAUAUUACCUCCUGUGAUAAAGAACUUUAUUAUGCAAUCUGUCGCUUUUAUGUCUUCCUCAUCACAGGUUCGUACAAAGCUUAUUUUCCACACACUAAUAGAUCAUACAUAUUAGAGAGCAAUUUUUAUUGCUUGCACCGAUGACAACUUACUUGAAGGAUCUUAUUCAAUCCAUAGGUAGGUAUGGUGGACUCUCAUGGCAAAACUGGGUUGAAGGUUUAUGGAUGCACAAGUAGUAUCUCUACUUGGUGCGGGAGUUUUGGAUAAUAUGAGGUGGAAGCAAUCGUCACAUGCUAAGGGAUCUCUAAUCAUAUAACAUUGUUUGGAACCAAGCAAACACAAUUCAUUAUGUUGUCUUCCUUGUCCAACAUCUACUCCUAAGCAUGCAAUAGUUUGGUGAGUGCUCACAAUUGUAAAAAGUGUCUAAGAUGAUAUAUUUAUAUGUGAACCUCUCUUUCCUUAUUACUUCUUAUCAAUUGCAACAAUGAGUGAUGUCUAUGUCUAUUUAUUCUCAACAAGUUUCAAUCAUCAUACGUGUCAUAUGUGAAGCUAUCACUUUCCAUAAAAUCGUCUCAUGAUCUUUCAUGCUCUCGUUCUUUUCAUACUUUUGAUCAUGGCACAAAGCAAAGCCCUUGAUUAAGAUACUCUUUAUUAUAUAGCUCGUAAGCUCGAAUACAUCGGGGGAGAGACAAAAGCAAAAGACUCAAACUAAACACUAAAGACUUAUUCCUCUAAAACAAAGGUAAAAGCAAAAGAUAUAAAGGUGAUACGAUACCAGGGCAACUCCCCCAAGCUUGGCAGAAGCCAAGGGGAUUGCCCAUAACAAUGCUUAGUUAUCUUCCUUUGGUGGUGAUGGUGGUGGAGUUGUUGAAGCAGCCUGAUCCUCCGUCUUCCAAGGCAUAAGUGCUCCAUCAUGGUAGGAUGAACGAGUCGCCGGAAUCCUCAAAUCUGCAGCCAACCUUAUUGAUUUAAAUUUGUACUCAUACUCACAGUUUUGGUUCUGCAGGUCAUAGAUCUGGCCCUGAAGUUGAUCAACCCUGUCAUGGAGCCUGGAGAGGUGUUUCCAAUAUCAAUGGCAUCCAUCUUGUGAUUGCUAGUGAACUCCGUGAUCAUCAUGUGGUUGGCGUUGAGUCCACGCUCCACCAUCCCUUGGCACUUGAAGACUUGUUGCUCCAUUGCUUCGAGCCUCGUCUCCACGCUUCCGGUCUUCUUAGGCCCCUCAACAUCACGGAUGUGCAACAUCCCCUCGCUCAUCUUGAUAGAUUGAGGGUGUUUGAGCACUUCCGUGAGGUAGGGAUUGAUGACCUUCUCGAAGAUCUUGUCCUUAGGAGCGUCUAGGGAAGUCAUGAUGAUCUAGAUCUGUCACAGAAACAGGCUCGAAACAAAAACAGAGGAAAACUGCGCGAUACGGACAUCAAAACCUUCGGGCGAGUAUAUAUUGAUUUUUUCUGGACCAGAAGGAGUGCUCCGCAAGAAAACAGAGUCCGGGAGGUACACGAGGUGCCCACAAGCUUGCCCUCCUCCACCAGGGGGUAGGGGGCGGUGGCAGGGCUUGUGGCCGCCUCGUGCACUCUCCGGGCUACUUUUUAUUUUUCUAAUUUUCCAAAAAUUCCAAAACGGAGGAAAUUUCCUAUUGGAAAAGCAUCCGAGUCCAAUUUCUUACCUUAACAGAUACCUCUUCGUUUUCAGGGUCUGAAACAGGCUGAUAAACAUCCCUUAUGUACUCCUCUAGAGUUAUGACAUUGAUGAUAUUGGUCUCAACAUUUAUGGGAGUACCAGAGAUGUAAUGCUUGAUUCUUUGCCCAUUUACCACUCUAGGAAAAUUUCCUUCCGUGUUAUUGAUUUUGAUGGCACCGGAACGAUAUACUUCCUCGAUAACAUAGGGACCUUCCCAUUUAGAGAGAAGCUUGCUGCAAAGAAUCUCAAACGAGAAUUGUAUAGCAAGACAUAAUCACCUACAUUGAACUCUCGUUUCUGUAUUCGUUUAUCGUGUCAUCUCUUAACCUUUUCCUUGAACAACUUGGCAUUCUCGUAUGCCUGGGCUCUCCAUUCAUCUAACGAGCUGAUAUCAAACAAUUGCUUCUCAUCGGCAAGUUUGAAAUCGAAGUUGAGCUCUUAGAUUGCCCAAUAAGCUUUGUGUUCCAGCUCAAGGGGUAAAUGACAGGCCUUACCGUAAACCAUUUUAUAUGGUGACAUGCCCAUGGGAUUCUUAUAAGCGGUCCUAUAAGCCCAUGGUGCAUCGUCAAGUUUGCUAGACCAAUUCUUUCGAGAUCUAUUGACGGUCUUUUGUAGGAUCAACUUGAUCUCCCUAUUACUCAACUCCAUUUGACCACUAGACUGAGGAUGAUAAGGAGAUGCAACUCUAUAGUUGACAUCGUACUUAGCGAGCAUCUUGCGGAAAAUACCAUGAAUGAAGUGUGAACCGCCAUCAGUCAUCAGAUAUCUAGGGACUCCAAAUCUUGGGAAAAUGACUUCUUUAAGCAUCUUAAUAGAGGUGUGGUGAUCAGGUGGUUUUAGUGGGGAUAGCUUCUACCUACUUAGUGACGUAAUCCACAACAACUAAGAUGUUAGUGUACCCAUUGGAACUUGGGAAGGGUCCCAUAUAAUCAAAGCCCCAGACAUCAAAUGGUUCAAUGACAAGUGAAUAGUUCAAAGGCAUUUCCUAACGCUUACUGAUAUUCCCUAUUCUUGGGCAUUCGUCACAAGACAAGACAAACUUACGGGCAUCCUUGAAGAGAGUGGGCCAAUAGAAACCUGAUUGCAAUACCUUAUGGGCAGUUCUAUCUCUAGCAUGGUGCCCUCCAUAGUCUUCGGAAUGACACUUCUGCAAGAUCUGUCCCUGUUCAUGUUCAGGUACACAACGUCUAAUCACACCAUCUACUCCUUCCUUAUAAAGGUGAGGAUCAUCCCAAAAGUAGUGUCUCAAAUCAAAGAAUAAUUUCUUCUUUUGCUGAUAGGUGAAACUGGGUGGUAUGUAUUUGGCUACGAUAUAGUUUGCAUAAUCAGCAUACCACGGUGCACCAUGUGAAGUGCGGAUGACAUUUAAUUGCUCAUCAGGAAAGCUAUCAUCAAUAAGUAGUGGGUCAUCAAGUACAUUCUCUAGCCUAGACAAGUUAUCUGCUACAGGGUUAUCAGUACCCUUUCGGUCAACGACGUGCAAAUCAAAUUCCUGUAGCAGGAGAAUCCAUCCGAUCAGCCUAGGCUUAGCGUCCUUCUUCUCCAGAAGGUACUUAAUAGCAGCAUGAUCAGAGUGAAUAGUGACUUUUGAGUCAACUAUAUAAGAUCUGAACUUUUCACAUGCAAACACGACUGCUAAAAAUUCCUUCUCCGUAGUGGCAUAGUUUCUUUGGGCACUGUCUAGAGUUUUACUAGCGUAGUGAAUAACAUUCAACUUCUUGACAACUCUUUGUCCUAGAACAGCACCAACAACAUAAGCACUAGCAUCGCGCAUGAUUUCAAAGGGCAAAUUCCAGUCAGGUGGUUGAACAAUAGGUGCGGUUAUCAAAGCCUUCUUAAGUAUUUCGAAAGCUUCCUCACAAUUCUUAUAAAAAACAAAAGGUACAUCCUUCUGCAAGGUGUUGGUAAGAGGCCUAGAAAUCUUAGAGAAGUCUUUAAUGAACCUUCUAUAGAAACCAGCAUGACCUAGGAAACUUCGUAUACCUCUGAUAUCUGUGGGGCAAGGCAUUUUCUCAAUUGCAUCAACCUUAGCCUUAUCAACUUCAAUGCCUCUCUCAGAAAUUUUGUGUCCUAAGACGAUACCUUCAUUAACCAAAAAGUGGCACAUCUCCCAAUUCAAGACGAGGUUGGUAUCUUCGCAUCUCGGUAAGACUCAAUCAAGGUUGCUGAGGCAAUCAUCAAAGGAAGACCCGUAAAUGGAGAAGUCAUCCAUGAAAACCUCAACAAUCUUUUCACAAAAGUCAGAGAAUAUAGCCAUCAUACAUCGUUGGAAGGUGGUAGGUGCAUUGCAUAAUCCAAAAGGCAUAUGACUAUAAGCAAAGGUACCAAAGGGGCGGGUGAAAGUGGUUUUCUCCUGAUUAGAUUGUGCAACAGGUAUUUGCGAGAAACCUGAAUAACCGUCUAGAAAGCAGAACUGUGUGUGUUUUGAUAGCCUUUCUAGCAUUUGGUCGAUAAACGACAAAGGAUAAUGAUCUUUCCUGGUUGCCUUAUUCAGUUUCCGAAAGUCUAUCACCAUCCUAUAGCCGGUAAUAAUCCUUUGUGGGAUUAGUUCAUCCUUAUCAUUAGGAACGACGGCGAUACCUCCCUUCUUAGGUACGCAAUGUAGUGGACGUACCCAAUCACUAUGAGCAACAGGAUAAAUGAGUCCUGCUUCCAGAAUUUUUAAUAUUUCUUUUCUAACGACCUCUUUCAUCUUAGGAUUUAAUCUCCUUUGAUGAUCAGCAACUGGUUUAAAGUCAGGACCGGUUUAAACUUGUGCUGACAUAGAGUAGGACUAAUACCCUUAAGAUCAUCAAGAGUAUAUCCAAUAGCAGCACGGUGCUUCCUCAGAAUUCUUAGUAACUUCUUCUCUUCAUGCUCUGAAAGGAGGGCACUAAUAAUGAUAGGAUAUAUCUCCUUCUCAUCAGUAUAGGCAUACUUAAGAGUAUCAGGCAACUGUUUAAGCUCAAAUACAGGAUCACCCUUUGGUGGGGGAGGAUUCCCAAGCAGUUCAACGGGCAGAUUAUUCUUGAGAAUAGGAUAUUGUUCUAAGACAAUUUUAUCUAUCUCAUCUCUCUCCUCCAUAUGCAUAUCAUUUUCAUGCUCAAGAAGAUAUUGCUCUAAAGGAUCCGUAGGAGGUACGGCAAUAGAGGCAAGAGCAAUAAUUUCAUCUCUACCAGAUGACUCUCUUUCAUGGGGUUGUCUUCCAAACUUGGAGAAGUUAAAUUCAUGAGACACACCCUCGAAACUAACUGUGACAGUCUGCUUAAUGCAACCAAUGUGAGCAUUGACAGUGUUGAGAAAGGGUCUACAUAAUAUGAUGGGACAAAAGCUAUCUUGUGCAGUACCAAGGACGAGGAAAUCAGUAGGAUACUUCGUCUUACCACACAGGACUUCUACGUCUCUCACAAUUCCCAGAGGGCAGAUAGUGUCUCUAUUGGCUAGUGUAAUAGUGACAUCAAUGGGUUCUAACUCAGCAGGUGCAAUCUCAUCUUUGAUUUCAUCAUAUAGAGAACGGGGUAUUGCACUAACACAAGCUCCCAUAUCACAUAAACCAUGGUAACAGUGAUCUCCUAUCUUGACAGAAACAACGGGCAGGCCAACUACAGGUCUGUGUUUGUCUUUCGCGUGAAGUUUAGCAAUUCUAGCGGAGUCCUCACAGAAUUUGAUAACAUGCACAUCUAUGUCUUCGUCUAAGAGAUCUUUGAUAAUAGAAACACUAGGUUCAACUCUAAUCUCCUCAGGGGGUGCAAGUGGUCUAAUGUAACCCCUACGUAUCACAGUUGGAGCUUUAGAAUAAUCCUAGCAGGGUAUGGUGGUUUCUCAAUGUAAGCACAAGGAACAACAGGAUCACUAAAAGCAAUGACUUUCUCCUCAACUAGAUUGGUUUUGGCUAUGUUGCUUUCUACAGGAGGAUGAUAUUUAAACCACUUCUCUUUGGGAAGAUCAACAUGAGCAGCAAAAUAUUCACAUAGAGAAGCUACUAUCUCAGAGUCAAGUCCAUACUUAGCGCUAAAAUCUCUAAAAGUGUUGGUCUCAACAAAAGAUUUAACGCAAUCAAACUCGAAAUUCAUACCUGACUCCUUACCUUCCUCCAGAUCCCAAUCUUCAGAGUUGCGUUUGAUUCUUUCCAUAAAUUUCACUUGUGAUCAAUAUCCUUCUUCAUAAAAGAACCGGUACAAGAAGUGUCAAGCAUGGUACGAUCUUCGUGAGAAAGCCGAGCAUAAAAGUUUUGAGUGAUGAUUUCUCUCGAGAGCUCAUGAUUGGGGCAUGAAUAUAGCAUUGAUUUAUGCCUCCCCCAAGCUUGAGCUAUGCUUUCCCUGUCAUGAGGACAAAAGUUAUAAAUAAAGUUCCGAUCACGAUGUACUAAAUACAUAGGAUAGAACUUUUGAUGAAAUUCCAAUUUCAACCGAUUGUAGCCCCAUGAUCCAAUAUCAUCACAUAGCCUAUACCAUGUCAACGCCUUAUCCUUCAAAGAUAAAGGAAAGACUUUCUUCUUUACCUCAUCCUCAGGCAAACCUGCAAGCUUAAAUAAACCACAAACUUUAUCUACAUAGAUCAGAUGCAAGUCUGGAUGUGAAGAUCCAUCUCGUGUGAAAGGAUUAGCCAGCAGUUUCUCAAGCAUACCCGAAGGAAUUUCAUAAAAGAUAUUUUCAGUAGGUACCUCAGGUUGAGGAACAACUCCUCGUGCUUCCAUUCGUGGUGAAGAUACCCCGAACAAACUCCUCAAAGGAACAGUUUCCAUAGGGAAAAGUGACAAUAAAUUUCAGCACAGUAUAAAAAAAUUCCUUACCAAUUUCCACUUACCAAAGGCGCUUCACUCCGAGGCAACGGCGCCAGAAAAGAGUCUUGAUGACCCACAAGUAUAGGUGAUCAAUCAUAGUCCUUUCGAUAAGUAAGAGUGUCGAACCCAACGAGGAGCGGAAGGCUCUGAUAAACGGAUUUCAGCAAGUUAAUAACUGCAAGCACUGAAAGUAGCGGUAACAAGUGAUUGUGUAGCGAGGUGAAACGUAGCAAGCAAAAAGUAACAAGUAACAAGUAGUAGCAACGGUGCAGCAAGUGGCCCAAUCCCUUUUGUAGCAAGGGACAAGCCUGAACAAAGUCUUAUAGGAGGAAAAACGCUCCCGAGGACACACGGGAAUUUCUGUCAUGCUAGUUUCAUCAUGUUCAUAUGAUUCGCGUUCGUUACUUUGAUAGUUUGAUAUGUGGGUGGACCGGCGCUUGGGUACUGCCCUUACUUGGACAAGCAUCCCACUUAUGAUUAACCUCUCUCGCAAGCAUCCGCAACUACAAAAGAAGAAUUAAGACAACAUCUAACCAUAGCAUUAAACUAGUGGAUCCAAAUACGCCCCUCACGAAGCAACGCAUAGACUGGGGUUUAAGCUUCUGUCACUCCAGCAACCCAUCAUCUACUUACUACUCCCCAAUGCCUUCCUCUAGGCCCAAAUAUGGUGAAGUCUUAUGUAGUCGACGUUCACAUAACACCACUAUAGGAAAAACAACAUACAACAUAUCAAAAUACCGAACGAAUAUCAAAUUCACAUGACUAUUAUCAGCCUGACUUAUCCCAUGUCCCCAGGAACAAAAGUAACUACUCACAAAGCAUAAUCAUAAUCAUGAUCAGAGGUGUAAUGAAUAGCAUCAAAGAUCUGAACAUAAACUCUUCCACCAAGUAAUCCAACUAGCAUCAACUACAAAGAGUAAUCAACAGUACUAGCAACCUUACAAGUACCAAUCGGAGUCAUGAGACGGAGAUUGGUUACAAGAGAUGAACUAGGGAUUGGAGAGGAGAUGGUGCUGAUGAAGAUGUUGAUGAAGAUGCCUCCCCUCCGCCGAGAGGAGUGUUGGUGAUGACGAUGGAGACGAUUUCCCCCUCCGGGAGGGAAGUUUCCCGGGCAGGAUCGUCCUGCCGGAGCUCUAGAUUGGAUCUGCUCAAGUUCCGCCUCGUGGCGGCGGCGAAACCACGAAAAAGCUCCCGAAUGAUUUUUUUUUGGACCAAAACCCUUCAUAUAGCAAAAGAGGGGGGCUAGUGGGCCGUCAGGGAGCCCACAAGCCCCCACUCCGCCACCAGGGGGUGGCGGUGGCAGGGCAUGUGGCGCCCUAGCAACCCCCCUCCGGUACUUCUUUCGCCCAGUAUUUUUUAUAUAAUCCCAAAAAAAUCCACGUAACUUUUCAGGGCAUUUGGAGAUGUGCAGAAUAGUGGACUAAGAUUUGCUCCUUUUCCAGUCCAGAAUUCCAGCUGCCUGAAUUCAACCUCUUCAAAUAAACCUUGCAAAAUAAGAGAUAAAAGGCAUAAAUAUGGUACCACAAAGUAAUAUAACAACCCAAAAAGCAAUAAAUAUCAACAUGAAAGCAUGAUGCAAAAUGGACGUAUCACCUAUUACUCACUGAUUUUGGUUCCAGCUGCGAUCCGAACGUUUCGGGAACCCCGGGGAUCGGUUACGGGGAACUCGUCAAAACUCACAUUUUGCUCUAUUCUGGCCAGUUUUGUAUGCUAUUACUCACUGAUUUUCGGUCCCGAUACGAUCUGAACGUUUCAGAAACCCCGGGGUCCGGUUACGGGGAACUCGUCAAAACUCAUAGUUUUGGCCUAUUUCGGCCAGUUUGGUAUGCUAUUAGUCACUAAUUUUAGGUCCCGAUCCCAUCUGAAUGUUUCGGGAACCCCGGGGUCCGGUUAGGGGAAAUCGUGAAAACUCGCAGUUUUGGCCUAUGUCGGCCAGUUUUGUAUGCUAUUACUCACUGAUUUUGGUUCCCGCUGCGAUCCGAACGUUUUGGGAACCCCGGGGUGCUAUUACGGGGAACUCGUCAAAACUCGCAGUUUAUGUCUAUUCUAGCUAGUUUUGUAUGCUAUUACUCACUGAUUUUGGGUCCCGCUGCGAUCCAAACGUUUCGGGAAGCCCGAGGUCCGGUUAUGUGGAACUCAUCAAAACUCACAGUGUUGGUNNNNNNNNNNNNNNNNNNNNNNNNNNNNNNNNNNNNNNNNNNNNNNNNNNNNNNNNNNNNNNNNNNNNNNNNNNNNNNNNNNNNNNNNNNNNNNNNNNNNNNNNNNNNNNNNNNNNNNNNNNNNNNNNNNNNNNNNNNNNNNNNNNNNNNNNNNNNNNNNNNNUACUCACUGAUUUUGGUUGCCGUUGCGAUCCGAACGUUUCGGGAACCUCGGGGUCCGGUUACGGCGAACUCGUCAAAACUCAUAGUUUUGGUCUAUUCUCGCCGGUUUUGUAUGCUUUUAAUCAGUGAUUUUUAGACCCGUUGCGAUCCGAACGUUUCGGAAUCCCCGGGGUCCAGUUACGUGGAACUCGUGAAAACUCACAGUUUUGGUCUAUUCUGGCUAGUUUUGUAUGCCAUCAGUCACUAAUUUUGGGUCGCGUUGUGGCCCAAACAUUUCGGUAACUCCGUGGUCCGUUACGGGGAACUUGUAAAAAUGGCAGUUUUGGCCUAUUGUGGCCAGUUUUGUAUGCUAUUACUCACUGAUUUUGGGACCCGUUGCGAUCCGAACGUUUCAGGAACCCCGGGAUCCGGUUACGUGGAACUCGUCAAAACAAGCAGUUUUGGCUUAUAGUGGCCAGUUUUCUAUCCUAUUACUCACUGUUUUUGGGUCCCCCUGCGAUCUGUACGUUUUGGGAACCCCGAUGUCCGGUUACGGGGAACUUGUCGAAACUCGCAAGUUUAGCCUAUUCUAGCCAUCUUUGUAUGCUAUUGGUCACUCAUUUUGGCUCCUCCCGCGAUCCGAACAUUUCGGUAACCCCGGGGUCCGGUUACAAGAACUCGUCAAAACUCGCAGUUUUGGCCUAUUACUGCGAGUUGUCUUUGCUAUUAGUCACUGAUUUUGGGUCCCGUUGUGAUCCAAAUAUUUCGGAAACCGUAGAGUCAUGUUACGGGGAACUCGUGAAAACUCGCAGUUUUGGCCUAUUCUGGCUAGUUUUGUAUGCUAUUAGUCACUCAUUUUGGGUCCCGUUGUGAUCCGAACAUUUCGGUAAUUCCGUGGUCCGGUUACGGGGAACUCGUAAAAAAUCGCAGGUUUGGCCUAUUGUGCCAGUUUUGUAUGCUAUCACUCACUAACUUUGGGUCUCGCCGGGAUCCUAAUGUUUCAGGAAUCCCGGGAUCCGGUUACGUGGAAUUCGUCAAAACACGCAAUUUUGGCUUAUUGUGGCAUGUUUUGUAUGCUAUUACUCUCAGAUUUUGGGUCCUGCUGCGAUCCGAACGUUUCGGGAACCCCGAUGUCCGGUUACGGGGAACUCGUCAAAACUCGUAGUUUUAGCCUAUUGUGGCCAYGUUUGUAUGCUAUCAGUCACUCAUUUUGGGUCCUCCUGCAAUCCGAACAUUUCGGGAACCCCGGGGUCCGGUUACAAUGAACUCGUCAAAACUCGCAGUUUGAGCCUUUUCUGGCCACGUUUGUAUGCUAUUAAUCACUCAUUUUGUGUCCUCGUGCGAUNNNNNNNNNNNNNNNNNNNNNNNNNNNNNNNNNNNNNNNNNNNNNNNNNNNNNNNNNNNNNNNNNNNNNNNNNNNNNNNNNNNNNNNNNNNNNNNNNNNNGCUUGCACACCGCCACAUCCACGCGGCACUUCCACACUGCCACGCCGGCAGCCUGACACGCCGCACCCGAUGUUGUCGCCCUGGUCGCUGGAUGGCCGGAUUCCCUGCUUUUGGUUAGGUGUGUGUAUGCACUAUCAGCUGCCGGUUGAAUCUCUCUGAUUAUGCGUGGGUUUUCAAGAAGGUCUGUUGGUUGUGAUGCGACUGAUGUUCAUCUAUUGUUUGACGUACUACAGAUUUUCCAAUAUGUCCAAUAAUUUAGAUGUUCUUCUAAUCUUCUGGUAAUUUAGAUGUCCAUCCAAUCGCUUAAUUUAUACUUACUAGAAAAUGCAAUCUGUUUUAAAAAAAUAGGGGAUGAGGAAAUUGCCGAAUGUCCAUUAGCUCCUGAUUUUGAUUCCCAGUUACGCGUCAAUUUAGUAUGACUAUUGUGUUUGUGUGAACAAUAUACGCGACAUAUGUUGUACCGAUACUUUGCACCUUGAUGUUUGUUCACAUAUGUUUAAUACCUCUGAAUCUUAGGUCCGACUUAUGUGAUAUGUUAUACUGAUACUUUGCAUUUUAAUAUUUGUUCAUGUAUGUUUAAUACCUCUGAAUCAUAGGCCCUCUGUCAGAAUGAAGCCAAGGAGGCCAAGGAAGUUGUGAUGGUUGAGGAUGAUGAAUUGCCAAAAUCAUCGGGAAAAAGGAAAUACUCGAAUGUAUGGGAGCACUUUGAGGAGGUUGAGGUGCUUUCAAAGAAGAAAAAAGGAGAAAUGGAGAGAAAGGUCAAGUGCAAGUCUUGCAGCAAACUGUACAUGUACCCAAAGACUGGAACUACAACAACAAUGAAGAGGCAUCUGGAUGGCUGCUUUGCACAUCAGGGUGAGAAGAACAUCAAAAAAGGUCAAGACACUCUGAAUUUUGAUGCGGCUGAUGCGUGUGAUAUUGAUCUUCCAGUAGUCAAUUUCUCUGGUGGCUAUGAUCAUGGAAAAAUUCGUGAGCUUAUAGCUACAAUGAUAAUUGUCCAUGAGUACCCUUUCCGCAUGGUGGAGCAUUUUUGGUUCAAUGUGCUGAUGAAGUCUUUGAAUCCUUCUUAUCAGAAGACAACAAGAGCCACCAUCAGAAAUGAUUGUUUGCAGAUUUUUAAGUCCCGAAAGGAAACACUGAACAAGGAACUUAAGAAUAUUCGCAAAAUUAGCCUCACGUGUGAUCUGUGGACCUCGAACCAAAGUCUCUGUUAUAUGAGCUUGGUGGCACACUAUAUUGAUUCAGAAUGGAAUAUGCAGUACCGUGUGAUUAGUUUCCUUGAUCUGGAGCCACCACACACAGGUAUUGUGAUAUCUCAGGCUAUAUUUGAGUGCCUUUCUGAUUGGAAGAUUGAAGACAAAAUUGCAACUAUAACUCUUGAUAAUGCUUCUUCCAAUGGCAUGGCUGCUCGUCAACUCAUGUCCAAGUUUAAGGCGAGAGGAAGUGUGUUUUUUCCAUGGUAAAAUUUUUCAUGUCAGAUGCUCUGCUCAUAUACUCAACCUUUUGGUAUCAGAUGGCCUAAAAGCUAUAGAACCACUCAUUGAGAACAUCAGGCAGACUGUUAAGUAUUUGAAGAAAUCGCCAUCUCGGCUCUACAAAUUUACUAAGAUUGUCAAGUCACUUAACAUGUCAACCAAGAUGGGGUUGUGUCUUGAUGUUCCAACUAGAUUGGGAUCCACAUACAAGAUGCUUGAGCGUGACUUUGCUUUCAAAAAUGCAUUCUUACAUUAUGCAGAUUUGGAUGCCAAUUCUAAGUGGGAGCCAUCUAGCGAAGAGUGGAGGUUGUAUGCUAAAAUAAGGGAUAUUUUAGCAGUGUUGAGCAUGGCAACCACUGUGUUAUCUGGAUCAACCUAUCCUACAGCUAAUGAGUUCUUUCUUCUCAUUGUGAAUGUUAAGAAGGUCCUCGAUGAUGCAUUUAUCUCUACCGAUAAAUUCUUUCAUGAUAUGGGAAAUGCUAUGCUUCAGAAAUUUGAGAAAUAUUGGAAAGAGUGUAGUACUUUGCUGGCAAUAGCAUCAAUUUUGGAUCCAAGGUGCAAGAUGGAUCUAAUUAAUUUUUGUUUUCCCAAGAUAUAUGUUGCUAGUGACAUUGAACAUAACAUUGACUCAGUAAGUUUGGCACUGAAGGAGUUGUAUGAAAUUUAUGAGAGUGACCACACAACCAAUUUGGUUGCACCAGAAAAGGAAGUGGAUAAUCAGGUCCUUGUUUCAGAAAAUGGGACAUCAAGCAGUAGUCUUAUGGCAAUUUCAACUCAGUUUCGUACCUUCAUGAAAGCUACUGCUAAAAAGGUUUCCAAGUCAGAUCUAGUUGCAUACUUGGAUGAGGCUGCACUUACUGAUCAUUCGGAAGUCUUUGAUGUGCUACUUUGGUGGAAGCAAAAUUCAUCAAGGUAUCCAAUACUAUCCAAGGUUGCGAAGGAUAUACUUACUGUGCCAGUCAGUACUGUUUCUUCGGAAUCAUCAUUUAGUACUGGAGGUAGAGUGCUUGAUAAGUUUUGAAGCGCUUUACUCCCAAAUACUGUUGAGGCUUUGCUGUGUUCAGCUAGUUGGAUAGAGUCUCCCAAAAGAAGAAGAAAGCUAACAAUGUGAGUUCCUGAAUACUCUGUUUAUGCCAUAUAUUUCAAAUAGUCUAACAUGUACAUAAGUACAUCUUACGAUUUUGUUGUGCACAAAUACUCUCAGGAUAAAGAACACCAAGAUGACUUACUUGAAGUUCCUUUUCUGGAUAAAGAUCCUUCAAUCGUUUCUACAGACUAGUAAGAAACGAAUAUAAUAUGGUGAACAUUCAUUUGAAUUGUUACAUUGUUUGUAUUAUCUUCCAAACUAAUAAAUUGUAAUAUGCAGGCGAGUUGCGCUUCUUGUUAUGUUGAUGGAGAAUUACUUCAAGUCCUACGAACUCCAAGAUCAUCUACGGCCUACACUAUACAACAACUUUUUAUGAUCUUCGACGAAUAAUUUGUUUUUCCAAUUAUAUAUCGGUCAUGAAUUGUCAUCUUAUGUUGAUGCUAGACUGUUGGUUAUUAGAGAAUAAGUCGAACUACUUUGAAUAAGCUACAUUAUCAUCAUAUUGAUUGGAAUAAUAUUUGUAGUGCUUUCUUAUGUCGUGAUGUGCCUUAUCUAGUUGGAAUCAUCCUCCAAGAUUUAUAUUUUUUACUGUCCCAUUUAGCUCGAAACUAACUCGAGACCGACUCGAGAUCGUUACAAGCUGAGUAUAAAUCAUGUUUUACAACUCGACAUUGAGCUUCACUCAGUUUGAGCUCACUUGAAUUUUAAUAUGAGCUGAACUGAGCCAAGUACAACUCGCUCGAACUCGACUCGUUUGCGGCCCUAGUUGUGGUCCGAACGUUUCGGCAACCCCGUGGUUCGGUUACAGGGAACUCGUAAAAAAUCGCAGUUUUGGCCUAUUGUGGCCAGUUUUGUACGCUAUUACUCACUGAUUUUGGGACCCGCUGCGAUCCGAAUGUUUCAGGAACCCCGGGAUCCUGUUACGUGGAACUCGUCAAAACACGCAGUUUUGGCUUAUUGUGGCCAGUUUUCUAUCCUAUUACUCACUGAUUUUGGGUCCCGCUGCGAUCCAAACAUUUCGGGAACCCCGAUGUCCGGUUACGGGGAAGUCGUCAAAACUCGCAGUUUUAGCCUAUUCUAGCCACGUUUGUAUGUUAUUAGUCACUCAUUUGGGGUCCUCCUGCGAUCCAAACAUUUCGGGAACCCCGGGGUCCGGUUACGACAGAACUCGUCAAAACUCGCAGUGUUGCCUAUUACGACCAGUUUUUUGUGCUAUUAGUCACUAAUUUUGGGUCCCGCUAUGAUCCAAAUGUUUCAGGAACGCUGGGGUCUGGUUACGGGGAACUCGUCAAAACUCGAAGUUUUGGCCUAUUCUCGCGAGUUUUGUAUGAUAUUAUCACUAACUUUGGGUCCUACUGCGAUCCAAACGUUUUGGGAAACCCGGGUUCCGAUUACGAGGAACUCAUCAAAACUCGCAAUUUUGGCAUAUUCUGACGAGUUUUACAUGCUAUUACAAACUGGUUUUGGUUCCCACUGCGAUACGAACGUUUUGGGAACCCCGUGGUCCGGUUACGGGGAACUCGUCAAAACUCGCAAUUUGGCCUAUGCUNNNNNNNNNNNNNNNNNNNNNNNNNNNNNNNNNNNNNNNNNNNNNNNNNNNNNNNNNNNNNNNNNNNNNNNNNNNNNNNNNNNNNNNNNNNNNNNNNNNNCAGAAACGUUCGGAUCGCACGAGGACACAAAAUGAGUGAUUAAUAGCAUACAAACGUGGCCAGAAAAGGCUCAAACUGCGAGUUUUGACGAGUUCAUUGUAACCGGACCCCGGGGUUCCUGAAAUGUUCGGAUUGCAGGAGGACCCAAAAUGAGUGACUGAUAGCAUACAAACAUGGCCACAAUAGGCUAAAACUACGAGUUUUGACGAGUUCCCCGUAACCGGACAUCAGAGUUCCUGAAACGUUCGGAUCACAGCGGGACCCAAAAUCAGUGAGUAAUAGCAUACAAAACUUGCCACAAUAAGCCAAAAUUGCGUGUUUUGACGAGUUCCACGUAGUCGGAUUCCGGUGUUCCCGAAAUGUUCGGAUCGCGGCGAGACCCAAAUUAGUGAGUAAUAGCAUACAAAACUAGCCAGAGUAGGCCAAAACUGUGAGUUUUCACGAGUUCCACGUAACCGGACCCCGGGGUUUCCGAAAUAUUCGGAUUGUAAUGGGACCCAAAAUCAGCGAUUAAUAGCAUACAAAACUCGCGAGAAUAGACCAAAACUACGAGUUUUGACGAGUUGCUCGUAACCGGACCCCGGGGUUCCCAAAUCGUUCGGAUCGCAGCGGAACCAAAUCAGUGAGUAAUAGCAUACAAAACUUGCGAGAAUAGACCAAAACUGCCAGUUGCGACGACUUCUCCGUAAUUGGACCACGGGUUACUGAUACGUUCGAAUCACAGCGGGACACAAAAUCAAUGAGUAAUAGCAUACAAAACUGGCCAGAAUAAAUCAAAACUUUGAGUUUCAACGAGUUCCCUGUAAUCGGACCACGGGUUCCCGAAACGUUCGAAUCGCAGCRGGAACCAAAAUCAGUGAGUAAUAGGAUACAAAAUUGGCCGGAAUAGGCCAAAACUGCGAGUUUUGACGAUUUGCCCUUAACCGGACCCCAGGGUUCCCGACACAUUCGGAUGGCAUCGGGACCCAAAAUGAGUGACUAGUAGAAUACGAAACUUGCCAGAAUAAACCAAAAUUUUGUAGUUUUGAAAAAUUCCCCGUAACCGGACCCUGUGGUUCCCGAAACAUUCGUCUCGCAGCGGGAACCAAAAUCAGUGAGUAAUAGCAUACAAAACUCGCGACSAUAGGCCAAAACUGCGAGUUUGGACGAGUUCCCCGUAACUAGACCCGAGGGUUUCUGAAACAUUCGGAUCACAUCGGUUCCCAAAAUCAGUGACUAAUAGCAUAGAGAACUUGAAGUAAUAGGCCAAAACUGCGAGUUUUGACGAGUUCUUUGUAACCGGACCCCGGGGUUCCCGAAGCGUUCGGAUCGCAGGAGGACCCAAAAUGAGUGACUAAUAGCAUACAAACCUGGCUAGAAUAGGCUAAAACUACGAGUUUUGACGAGUUCCCCGUAACAUGACCCUACGGUUCUCGAAACACUCGGAUCACAACGGGACCCAAAAUCAGUGACUAAUAGCAUAGACAACUGGUAGUAAUAGGCCAAAACUACGAGUUUUGACGAGUUCUGUGUAACCGGACCCCGGGGUUCCCGAAAUGUUUGGAUCGCAGGAGGACCCCAAAUGAGUGACUAAUAACAUACAAACGUGGCUAGAAUAGGCUAAAACUGCGAGUUUUGACGACUUCCCCGUAACCGGACAUCGGGGUUCCCGAAAUGUUUGGAUCGCAGCGGGACCCAAAAUCAGUGAGUAAUAGGAUAGAAAACUGGCCACAAUAAGCCAAAACUGCGUGUUUUGACGAGUUCCACGUAACAGGAUCCCGGGGUUCCUGAAACAUUCGGAUCGCAGCGGGUCCCAAAAUCAGUGAGUAAUAGCGUACAAAACUGGCCACAAUAGGCCAAAACUGCGAUUUUUUACGAGUUCCCUGUAACCGAACCACGGGGUUGCCGAAACGUUCGGACCACAACUAGGGCCGCAAACGAGUCGAGUUCGAGCGAGUUGUACUUGGCUCAGUUCAGCUCAUAUUAAAAUUCAAGUGAGCUCAAACUGAGUGAAGCUCAAUGUCGAGUUGUAAAACAUGAUUUAUACUCAGCUUGUAACGAUCUCGAGUCGGUCUCGAGUUAGUUUCGAGCUAAAUGGGACAGUAAAAAAUAUAAAUCUUGGAGGAUGAUUCCAACUAGAUAAGGCACAUCACGACAUAAGAAAGCACUACAAAUAUUAUUCCAAUCAAUAUGAUGAUAAUGUAGCUUAUUCAAAGUAGUUCGACGUUUAUCUCUAAAUACCAACAGUCUAGCAUUCAACAUAAGAUGACAAUUCAUGACCGAUAUAUAAUUGGAAAAAACAAAUUAUUCGUCGAAAGAUCAUAAAAAGUUGUUGUAUAGUGUAGCCGUNNNNNNNNNNNNNNNNNNNNNNNNNNNNNNNNNNNNNNNNNNNNNNNNNNNNNNNNNNNNNNNNNNNNNNNNNNNNNNNNNNNNNNNNNNNNNNNNNNNNAAAUCAAUGAGUAAUAGGAUACAAAACUCGACCAGCAUAGGCCAAAAUUGCGAGUUUUGACGAUUUCCCCGUUACCGGACCCCGGGGUUCCCGAAACGUUUGUAUCACGGCGGGAACCAAAAUCAAUGAGUAGUAGCAUAUAAAACUCGUGAGAAUAUGCCAAAAUUGCGAGUUUUGAUGAGUUCCCCGUAAUCGGAACCCGGGGUUCCCAAAACGUUCCCAUCGCAGCAGGACCCAAAAUCAGUGACUAAUAUCAUACAAAACUCGCGAAAAUAGGCCAAAACUUCGAGUUUCGACGAGUUCCUGUAACCAAACCCUAGUGUUCCCGAAACAUUCGGAUCACAGCGGGACCCAAAAUCAGUGACUAAUAGCCUAGAAACUUGUCGUAAUAGGCCAAACUUGCGAGUUUUGACGAGUUCUGUGUAACCGGACCCCGGAGUUCCCGAAACGUUCGAAUCGUAGGAGGACCCAAAAUGAGUGACUAAUAGCAUACAAAYGUGGCAAGAAUAGGACUAAAACUGCGAGUUUUGACGAGUUCCCCGUAACAACACAUCAGGGUUCCGAAACGUUCGGAUCGCAGCUGGACCCAAGAUCAGUGAGUAAUGGCAUACAAAACUUGCCACAAUAGGCCAAAACUGCGUGUUUUGACAACGUGCCACCUAACCGGAUACCCGGGGUUCCCGUAACGUUCGAAUCGCAGCGGGACCCAAAAUCAGUGAGUAAUAGCAUACAAAACUGGCCAGAAUAGACCAAAACUGCGAGUUUCGACGAGAUCCCCGUAAUCGGACCACGGGUUCCCAAAACGUUCGGAUCGCAGCGGGAACCAAAAUCAGUGAGUAAUAGCAUACAAAACUGGCCAGAAUAUGCCAAAUCUGCGAGUUUCACGAUUUCCCCUUAACCGGACCCCGGGGUUCCUGAAACGUUUGGAUCGCAGCACGACCCAAAAUCAAUGACUAAUAGCAUACAAAACUGGCCAGAAUAGACCAAAACUUUGAAUUUUGAUGAAUUCCCCGUAACCGGACCCCAUGGUUCCCGAAAGGUUCGUAUCGCAGCAGGAAACAAAAUCAGUGAGUAAUAGCAUAGAAAACUGGUCGUAAUAGUCCAAAAUUGCGAGUUUUGACGAGUUCUCUCUAACCGGACCCCAGGGUUCCCCAAACGUUCGGAUCGCAGCAAGACCCAAAAUCAGUGACUAAUACCAUACAAAACUCGCCAGAAUAGGCCAAAACCCUGAGUUGUGACUAUUUCCCCGUAACCGGACCCCAGGGUUCCCGAAACAUUCAGAUCACAUCGGGACACAAAAUCAGUGAGUAAUAGCAUACAAAACUGGCCAGAAUAGCCAAAACUUUGAGUUUUGACGAAUUCCCCGUAACGGACCCUAGAGUUCUCGAAACAUUCGAAUCACAGNNNNNNNNNNNNNNNNNNNNNNNNNNNNNNNNNNNNNNNNNNNNNNNNNNNNNNNNNNNNNNNNNNNNNNNNNNNNNNNNNNNNNNNNNNNNNNNNNNNNAUGCUAUUACUCAAUGAUUUUGGGUCCCGCUGCGAUCCAAAUGUUUCGGGAACCCCGGGGUCCGGUUACGUGGAAUUCGUCAAAACUCGUAGUUUUGGCCUAUUCCGGCCAUUUUUGUGUGCUAUUACUCAGUUAUUUUGGGUCACGCUGCGAUCCGAACGUUUCGGGAACCCCGGGGUCCGGUUAAGGGGAAAUCGUGAAAACUCGCAGUUAUGCCUAUUCCGGCCAGUUUUGUAUGCUAUUACUCACUGAUUUUGAUUCCCGCUGCGAUCCGAAUGUUUCGGGAACCCGUGGUCCGAUUACGGGGAACUCGUCAAAACUCCCAGUUUCGGGAACUGUGAGUUUUGACGAAUUCCCCGUAACCGGACCCAGUGGUUCCCGAAACGUUCAUAUCGCAGAGGGAACCAAAAUUAGCGAGUUAGUAUACAAAACUCGCCAGAAUAGACAAAAAUUCAAGGUUUUGUUGAGUUCCCCGUAACCGGAACCCGGGGUUCCCAAAACGUUCAGAUCGCAGCAGGACCCAAAAUUAGUGACUAAUAGCAUACAAAACUCACAAGAAUAGGCCAAAACUCCAAGUUUUGACGAUUACCCGUAACCGGACCCCACGGUUCCCAAAACAUUCAUAUUACAACGGGAUCCAAAAUCAGUGACUAAUAGCAUAGAAAACUGGUCAUAAUAAGCCAAAACUAUGAGUUUUGACGAGUUCUCUUUAACCGGACCACGGGGUUCCUAGAACGUUCGGAUCGCACGAGGACCCAGAAUACUAAUAGAGUACAAACGUGGCCAGAAUAGGCUAAAACUGUGAGGUUUGACGAGUUCCCCGUAACCGGACAUCGGGGUUCCCGAAACGAUCGGAUCGCAACGGGACCCAAAAUUAGUGAGUAAUAGCAUACAAAACUAGCCACAAUAGGCCAAAACUGCAUGUUUUGACGAGUUCCACGUAACCAGAUCCCGGGGUUCCUGAAACGUUCAGAUCGCAGCGGGACCCAAAAUCAGUUAGUAAUAGCAUAAAAACUAGCCACAAUAGGCCAAAACUGCGAUUUUUGACGAUUUCCCCGUAACCGGACCACAGGGUUACCGAAACGUUCGGAUCACAGCGGGACCCAAAAUCAGUGAAGCAUACCAUACAAAAAUGCCGGGAAUAAGCCAAAAUUGCGAGUUUUCACGAGNNNNNNNNNNNNNNNNNNNNNNNNNNNNNNNNNNNNNNNNNNNNNNNNNNNNNNNNNNNNNNNNNNNNNNNNNNNNNNNNNNNNNNNNNNNNNNNNNNNNCCGUGAGGGCUUGUGACUCCCUCGUGGCCUAUCUUGCCUUCUUCCAAAGCUUCGGGGGUCUCUUUUGGUCUAAAAAAAUCAUCGUAAAGUUUCAUUCCAUUUGGACUCCGUCUGAAAAUGGGCCAAAAACACGGAAAAAACAGAAACUGGCACUUGGCACUGAGUUAAUAGGUUAGUCCCAAAAAAGAUACUCCCUCCGUCCCAAAAUAAGUAUCUUAAGCUUAGUACAAUUUUGUACUAGAGCUAGUACAAAGUUAAGACAGUUAUUUUGGGACAGAGGGAGUAUAAAAUAGCAUAGUAAUGCAUAUAAAAGAUCCAAAGUUGACAAGAUAAUAGCAUGGAACCAUAAAAAAUUAUAGAUACGUUGGAGACGUAUCAGAACGCAGCGGGACCCAAAAUCAGUGAGUAAUAGCUUACAAAACUAGCUAGAAUAGACAAAAAAUGCGAGUUUUGACGAGUUCCCCGUAACAGGACCCCGGGGUUCCCAAAACGUUCGGAUCGCAGGGGGAACCAAAAUCUGGGAGUAAUAGCAUACAAAACUGGCUGACAUAGGCCAAAACUACGAGUUUUCACUAUUUGCCCUUAACCGGACCCUGGGGUUCCCGAACUGUUCGGAUGGCAUCGGGACCCAAAAUCAGUGACUAAUAGCAUACAAAACUUGUCGGAAUAGGCCAAAACUACGAGUUUCGACGAGUUGUCCGUAACCGGACCCCGGGGUUCCCGGAACGUUCGGAUCGCAGCGGGACCCAAAAUGAGUGACUAAUAGCAUACAAAACUCGCCAGAAUAGACCAAAACCGCGAGUUUUGACGAGUUCACCGUAACCGGACCCCGGGGUUCCCGAAACGUUCGGAUCGCAGGACCCAAAAUGAGUGACUAAUAGCAUACAAACGUGGCUAGAAUAGGCUCAAACUGCGAGUUUUGACGAGUUCUUUGUAACUGGACCCCGGGGUUCCCGAAAUAUUCGGAUCACAGGACGACCCAACAUGAGUGACUGAUAGUAUACAAACGUGGCCAGAAUAGGCUAAAACUGCGAGGUUUGACGAGUUCCCNNNNNNNNNNNNNNNNNNNNNNNNNNNNNNNNNNNNNNNNNNNNNNNNNNNNNNNNNNNNNNNNNNNNNNNNNNNNNNNNNNNNNNNNNNNNNNNNNNNNCUGGGGGAAUAGGCUAGAACUGCGAGUUUUGACCGAGUUCCCCGUAACCGGACCCAAGGGUUCCCGAAACGUUCGGAUCACAGCGGAACCCACGAUGAGUAGACUAAUAGCAAUACAAAACUAGGGGGAAUAGGCCAGAACUACGAGUUUUGACGAGUUCCCCGUAACCGGACCCAAUGGUUCCCGAAACAUUCGGAUCACAUCGGGACCCAAAAUCAGUGACUAAUAGCAUACAAAACUAGCGGGAAUAGUCUAGAACUGUGAGUUUUGAUGAGUUCCCUGUAACCGGACCCCAAGGUUCCUUGAAACAUUCGGAUCAYAGCGGGACCCAAAAUCAGUGAGUAAUAGCAUACAAAACUGGCCAGAAUAGRCCAAAACUGYRAGUUUYGACGAGUUCCCCGUAACUGGACCCAAGGGUUCCCGAAACAUUGGGAUCACACCGAGAACCAAAAUAAGUGACUAAUAGCAUACAAAACUGGCAAAUUAGGCCAAAAGUGUGAGUUUUAACGAGUUCCAAGUAACCGGACCCCAAGGUUCCCGAAACGUUCGGAUCACAACGGGGCCCAAAAUCAAUGACUAAUAGCAUACAAAACUAGCCGGAAUAGGCCAAAACUGCGAGGUUUUACGAGUUCCCCGUAACCUGAUGCAAGGGUUUCCGAAACAUUCGGAUUACAUAGAGACCCAAAAUCAGUGACAAAUAGCAUACAAAACUUUCCAGAAUUGGCCAAAACUAUAGGUUUUGACGAGUUCCCCGUAACCGGACCCCGGGGUCCCAAAACAUUCUCAUCACAACGGGACCCGAAAUCAAUGACUAAUAGCAUUCAAAACUGGGCGGAAUAGGCCAAAACAGCGAGUUCUCACAAGUUCCCGGUAACCGGACCCCGGGGUUCUCGAAACGUUCGGAUCGCAGCNNNNNNNNNNNNNNNNNNNNNNNNNNNNNNNNNNNNNNNNNNNNNNNNNNNNNNNNNNNNNNNNNNNNNNNNNNNNNNNNNNNNNNNNNNNNNNNNNNNNAACUCGUCAAAACUCGCAGUUUUGGCCUAUUACUGCGAGUUUGCUUUUGCUAUUAGUCACUGAUUUUGGGUCCCGUUUGUCGAUCCAAUAUUUCGGAAACCGUAGAGUCAUGUUACGGGGAACUCGUACAAAACUCACAGUUUUAGCCUUUUCUGGCCACGUUUGUAUGCUAUUAGUCACUCAUUUUGGGUCCUCCUGCGAUCCGAACGUUUCGGGAACCCCGAGGUCCGGUUACAAAGAACUCAUCAAAACUCGCAGUUUGAGCCUUUUCUGGCCACGUUUGUAUGCUAUUAAACACUCAUUUUGUGUCCUCCUGUGAUCUGAACGUUUCUGGCACCCUGGGGUCUAGUUACGGGGAACUCGUCAAAACUCAUAGUUUUGGCCUAUUCCGACCAGUUUUGUAUGCUAUUAGUCAAAGAUUUCGGGUCCUGCUGCUAUCCGAACGUUUUGGGAACGUCGGGUUCCGCUUACGAGGAACUCAUCAAUACUCGCGGUUUUGGCCUAUGCCGGCCAUUUUUGGAUGCUAUUACUCACUGAUUUUGGUUUCCACUUCGAUCCGAACGUUUCGGGAACCUCGAGGUCCGGUUACGGGGAACUCGUCAAAACUCACAGAUUUUGUCUAUUCUGGCUAGUUUUGUAUGCUAUUACUAACUAAUUUUGGGUCCUGUUGCGAUCCAAACGUUUCAGGAAUCCCGAGGUCGGGUUACGGGGAACUCGUCAAAACUCGCAGUUUUAGCCUAUUCUGGCCACGUUUGUAUGCUAUCAGUCACUCAUUUUGGGUCCUCCUGCGAUCCGAACAUUUCGGGAACCACGGGGUCCGGUUACAAAGAACUCGUCAACACUCACAGUUUGAGCCUUUCUCGCCAUGUAUGUAUGCUAUNNNNNNNNNNNNNNNNNNNNNNNNNNNNNNNNNNNNNNNNNNNNNNNNNNNNNNNNNNNNNNNNNNNNNNNNNNNNNNNNNNNNNNNNNNNNNNNNNNNNCCCAUGAAGCGGUCUUGCCGGCGAUUCUAAAGCCACUAACUAACUUAUCUGAAGAAAGAAAACUACACUGAACCGUACGUGCACGCUGACGGCUCGCUUAUUCAGCUAAGGUUUGAAUCAAAGUUGGCAAGGGGAUUAUCCUUCAUGGGCGCGGGCGUCCCGAGGGUGAGGCCUCGGUGCGGCCUUCAGGCGGUAGGCGCCGCGAGUCCCUGUCGUUGUGACCGCCGAGUGCAAUGUGGCUGCGCCACAAUAGAAAUGCUGGGGACUCCACGCCGCGUGCCAGUCAUCGCCGCUCUCGUCCGUCGCUGGACGUUGAGGAUGCGGACGCAGCGGCUACGCUCCGGUUGUUUCUGGAGGCUGAGGAGAGCCGUUGUUGGAGAUGUAGCCAAUGGCUGACUCUCCGUGCGUUGGCGUUCUCCAACUGAUGUGUGCAUAGCCAGGUAUGUCAAAGUAUUAACUUUUGAGGCAUUUGUGCUUACAGAAUCGAAAAUCGGAAGGUAGCACCUUGUUCUUGUAGCCAUUAGAUCAAGAUUUUUGUAUGAGCAUGACUGCUUGAUCUUCUGUUUGAUUUUUAUCUUUCUCGAGGCCAAACCCGUGGAAUCAAGGGUCACAGGAGAUCAGGACCGCCGGAGUUGCUACCUCCUUCAUGCCGAUUUCUAUUUCGUCUGGCCUUUCCGUCAGGCUGAGGGGGCGAUGCAAUAGCCAGGAACCACUGCGCCGAUGGAAUCGCUCUGGUCGGGAAGCAGUGUUGAUAACGUGUUGAAUGGAAUCGAGAAACAAACGAUAAAGACAACAAAAUGAUUCAAACUGUAUCAUUUUCAUUGAUGAUGAUGUCUUACAUAGAAUUACAAAGGGUGCCUCCAAGGGGUGUUUGUACGAAGGGACAUGAGCAACCGACAUGCCAAAAGUAAUUGCCUUGGUAAUUAAGAAAAGCAAGGAUUAACAUAAUUCUCUCCCUAAUCUCUUCCUAAUCCUAAUAAUAAAGCAGCUACUGCUUCUGUCGCCCGUCUAGAGGUUUUGCAAAAACGUCCCCCUGUUAUUUCAAAAUCAACCCGCGGUCCUCCAUUAAGUGGAAAAAAAUGUUUCGCCUUUUCAAAAAAGCCCCUGUCCUCCACCGGUCCAGGGCUCACGGUCCGGUCCCGAUCUGGUUGAGGAGGAGGUCGGUCCGUCGACGGCGGCUCCGGCGCCGGCGAGCAUCGCGGCGGUGGUCAGAGGUGGAGGCGAGGCCAAGGGGCGCGUUGGGCGGCCGGAUCCAUGGCGAGCCGGGCCGGAUCUGGCGGCGGGCACAGCGCACCAUGCGCUGGGGCGGCUAGACAGGAGGCGGCGGCGUGCAACAGCGCNNNNNNNNNNNNNNNNNNNNNNNNNNNNNNNNNNNNNNNNNNNNNNNNNNNNNNNNNNNNNNNNNNNNNNNNNNNNNNNNNNNNNNNNNNNNNNNNNNNNUCCAUGGAUUGAUAAACCUUAGGUCACCCACUUGAGGGAAAAUUGCGACUGUCCCACAAACCUCUGCACUUGGAGGCCCAACAACGUCUACAAGGAGAAGGUUGCGUAGUAGACAUCACGAUCCAGAGGUUUCGGAAGCCCGAGGUCCGGUUACGUGGAACUCGUCAAAACUCGUAGCGUUGGUCUAUUCUGGCCAGUUUUGUAUGCUAUUACUCACUGAUUUUGGGUCCCGCUGCGAUCCNNNNNNNNNNUGUUUCGGAACCUCGGGUUCGGUUACGUGGAAUUCAUCAAAACUCGCUGUUUUGGCCUAUUCCGGACAGUUUUGUAUGCUAUUACUCACUGAUUUUGGUUCCCGCUGCGACCCGAACGUUUCGGGAACACCGGGGUCCGGUUACGGGGAACUCGUCAAAACUCAUAGUUUUGGUCUAUUCUCGCCGGUUUUGUAUGCUAUUAAUCACUGAUUUUGGGUCCCGUUGCGAUCCGAACGUUUCGGAAACCCCGGGGUCGAGUUACGUGGAACUCGUGAAAACUCACAGUUUUGGCCUAUUCUGGCUAGUUUUGUAUGCUAUUAGUCAGUGAUUUUGGGUCCCGUUGUGGUUAGGGCUGCAAGAAAAGCUCGAGGCUCGUGAGCCGCUCGAGAUCGACUCGUGUUUUGGCUCGACUCGAGAUCGACUCGAAAAGGAACGAGUUGAGUAUGAACAUUUUUUGUAGCUCGAUCGAGAAACGAGCCGAUCUUAAGCCAAUAUCCGCUCCCUCGAUUUUAGCUCGAUAGCUCGGCUAAACAUCAUUAUAUUAAAUGAUCAUGUCAUAUAUUAAAUGGAAAUAGAAUAAUUUGUUACCAUAUAUAGUGUCCACAAUUAUUUUCAUUUUAUUUAUUAGCAAAUACGGAAGUUUAAUUAAGUGUAGAGAAAGUUUAGGCCUUAUUAUGGUACAUGNNNNNNNNNNNNNNNNNNNNNNNNNNNNNNNNNNNNNNNNNNNNNNNNNNNNNNNNNNNNNNNNNNNNNNNNNNNNNNNNNNNNNNNNNNNNNNNNNNNNUCAUUCCAUUUGGACUCCGUCUGAAAAUGGGCCAAAAACACGGAAAAAACAGAAACUGGCACUUGGCACUGAGUUAAUAGGUUAGUCCCAAAAAAGAUACUCCCUCCGUCCCAAAAUAAGUAUCUUAAGCUUAGUACAAUUUUGUACUAGAGCUAGUACAAAGUUAAGACAGUUAUUUUGGGACAGAGGGAGUAUAAAAUAGCAUAGUAAUGCAUAUAAAAGAUCCAAAGUUGACAAGAUAAUAGCAUGGAACCAUAAAAAAUUAUAGAUACGUUGGAGACGUAUCAGAACGCAGCGGGACCCAAAAUCAGUGAGUAAUAGCUUACAAAACUAGCUAGAAUAGACAAAAAAUGCGAGUUUUGACGAGUUCCCCGUAACAGGACCCCGGGGUUCCCAAAACGUUCGGAUCGCAGGGGGAACCAAAAUCUGGGAGUAAUAGCAUACAAAACUGGCUGACAUAGGCCAAAACUACGAGUUUUCACUAUUUGCCCUUAACCGGACCCUGGGGUUCCCGAACUGUUCGGAUGGCAUCGGGACCCAAAAUCAGUGACUAAUAGCAUACAAAACUUGUCGGAAUAGGCCAAAACUACGAGUUUCGACGAGUUGUCCGUAACCGGACCCCGGGGUUCCCGGAACGUUCGGAUCGCAGCGGGACCCAAAAUGAGUGACUAAUAGCAUACAAAACUCGCCAGAAUAGACCAAAACCGCGAGUUUUGACGAGUUCACCGUAACCGGACCCCGGGGUUCCCGAAACGUUCGGAUCGCAACAGGAACCAAAAUCAAUGAGUAAUAGCAUACAAAACUCGCCAGCAUAGGCCAAAAUUGCGAGUUUUAACGAGUUCCCCGUUACCGGACCCCGGGGUUUCCGAAACGUUCGGAUCGCAGCGGGACCCAAAAUCAAUGAGUAAUAGCAUACAAAACUGACCACAAUAGGCCAAAACUAUAAUUUUUUACGAGUUCCCCGUAACCAGACCACGGGAUUACCGAAACAUUCGGAUCACAAUGGGACCAAAAAUCAGUGACGCAUACGAAACUGGCCAGAAUAGGCCAAAACUGCUACUUUUCAUGAGUUCCUCGUGACCGGACCCCGAUGUUUUCGAAACGUUCAGAUCACAACGGGACCCAAAAUCAGUGAUUAAUAGCAUAUAAAACUGGCGACAAUAGACCAAAACUACGAGUUUUAACAAAUUCUCCGUAACUAGACCCCGGGGUUCCCGAAACGUUUGGAUCGCAACAGGACCCAAAAUCAGUGAGUAAUAGCAUACAAAACUGGCCAGAAUAAAACAAAACUUUAAGGUUCGACGAGUUCCCUGUAAUCAGACCAUGGGUUCCCGAAACAUUCGGAUCACAACGGGAAACAAAAUCAGUAAGUAAUAGCGUACAAAACUGGCCGGAAUAGGUCAAAACUGCGAGUUUUCAAGAUUUCCCCUUAACCGGACCCCGGGGUUCCCAAAACGUUCGGAUGGAAUCAGGACCCAAAAUCAGUGACUAAUAGCAUAGAAAACUGGCGAGAAUAGACCUAAACUUUGAGUUUUGACGAAUUCCCCGUAAUUGGACCCCGUGGUUCCACGUAACCGGACCCUAGACUUCCCGAAACAUUCCGAUCACAGCGGGACCAAAAAUCAGUUACUAAUAUCAUAGAAAACUGGUUGUAAUAGGCCAAAACUGCGAGUUCUGACGAGUUCUGUGUAACCGGAACUCGAGGUUCCCGAAAUGUUCGGAUCAAGGAGGACCCAUAAUGAGUGACUGAUAGCACACAAACGUGGCGAGAAUAGGCUAAAACGCGAGUUUUGACGAUUUCCCCGUAAUCGGACAUCGGGGUUCCCGAAACGAUCGGAUCGGAGCGGGACCCAAAAGCAAUGAGUAAUAGCAUACAAAACUUGGCACAAUAGGCCAAAACUGCGUGUUUUGACGAGUUCCAUGUAGCCGGAACCCGGGGUUCCCGAAACGUUCGGAUCGCAGCGGGACCCAAAAUUAGUGACUAAUAGCAUACAAAAAUGGCCGGAAUAGGCCAAAACUGCGAGUUUUCAUGAUUUCCCCUUAACCGGACCCUGGGGUUCCCGAAACGUUCGGAUGGCGUCGGGACCCAAAAUCAGUGACUAAUAGCAUACAAAACUGGCUAGAAUAGCUCAAAACUACGAGUUUUGACGAAUUCCCCGUAACCGGACCCGGGGUUUCCGAAACGUUCGGAUUGUAUCGGGACCCAAAUUCAGCGAGUAAUAGCAUACAAAACUGGCCAGAAUAGAGCAAAACUACGAGUUUUGACGAGUUCCCCGUAACCGAACACCGGGGUUCCCGAAAUGUUCGGAUCGCAGCAGGAACCAAAAUCAAUGAGUAAUAGCAUACAAAACUCGCUAGCAUAGGCCAAAAUUGCGAGUUUUGACGAGUUCCCCGUAACCGGACCACGGGGUUCCCAAAACGUUCGUAUCGCAGUGGGAACCAAAACCAGUUUGUAAUAGCAUGUAAAACUCGUCAGAAUAUGCCAAAAUUGCGAGUUUUGAUGAGUUCCUCGUAAUCGGAACCCGGGUUUCCCAAAACGUUUGGAUCGCAGUAGGACCCAAAGUUAGUGAUAAUAUCAUACAAAACUCGCGAGAAUAGGCCAAAACUUCGAGUUUUGACGAGUUCCCCGUAACCAGACCCCAGCGUUCCUGAAACAUUUGGAUCAUAGCGGGACCCAAAAUUAGUGACUAAUAGCACAAAAAACUGGUCGUAAUAGGCAACACUGCGAGUUUUGACGAGUUCUGUGUAACCGGACCCCGGGGUUCCAGAAACGUUCGGAUCGCACGAGGACCCAAAAUGAGUCAUUAAUAGCAUACAUACAUGGCGAGAAAGGCUCAAACUGUGAGUGUUGACGAGUUCUUUGUAACCGGACCCCGUGGUUCCCGAAAUGUUCGGAUCGCAGGAGGACCCAAAAUGAGUGACUGAUAGCAUACAAACGUGGCCAGAAUAGGCUAAAACUGCGAGUUUUGACGAGUUCCCCGUAACCCGACAUCGGGGUUCCGAAAACGUUUGGAUCGCAGUGGGACCCAAAAUCAGUGAGUAAUAGCAUACAAAACUUGCCACAAUAAGCCAAAAUUGCGUGUUUUGACGAGUUCCACGUAGUCGGAUUCCGGUGUUCCCGAAAUGUUCGGAUCGCGGCGAGACCCAAAUUAGUGAGUAAUAGCAUACAAAACUAGCCAGAGUAGGCCAAAACUGUGAGUUUUCACGAGUUCCACGUAACCGGACCCCGGGGUUUCCGAAAUAUUCGGAUUGUAAUGGGACCCAAAAUCAGCGAUUAAUAGCAUACAAAACUCGCGAGAAUAGACCAAAACUACGAGUUUUGACGAGUUGCUCGUAACCGGACCCCGGGGUUCCCAAAUCGUUCGGAUCGCAGCGGGAACCAAAAUCAGUGAGUAAUAGCAUACAAAACUAGUCGGAAUAGGUCAAAACUGCGAGUUUUGACGACUUCCCACUAACCGGACCCCGGGGUUCCCGAAACGUUCGGAUCGCAGCGGGAGCCAAAAUCAGUGAGUAAUAGCAUACAAAACUGGCCAGAAUAGACCAAAGCUGCGAGUUUUGACGAGUUCCCCGUAACCCGACCUCGGGAUUCCUGAAACGUUUGGAUCGCAACAGGACCCAAAAUUAGUUAGUAAUAGCAUACAAAACUAGCCAGAAUAGACAAAAUCUGUGAGUUUUGACGAGUUCCCCGUAACCGGACCUCGAGGUUCCCGAAACGUUCGGAUCGAAGUGGAAACCAAAAUCAGUGAGUAAUAGCAUCCAAAAAUGGCCGGCAUAGGCCAAAACCGCGAGUAUUGAUGAGUUCCUCGUAAGCGGAACCCGACGUUCCCAAAACGUUCGGAUAGCAGCAGGACCCGAAAUCUUUGACUAAUAGCAUACAAAACUGGUCGGAAUAGGCCAAAACUAUGAGUUUUGACGAGUUCCCCGUAACUAGACCCCAGGGUGCCAGAAACGUUCAGAUCACAGGAGGACACAAAAUGAGUGUUUAAUAGCAUACAAACGUGGCCAGAAAAGGCUCAAACUGCGAGUUUUGAUGAGUUCUUUGUAACCGGACCUCGGGGUUCCCGAAACGUUCGGAUCGCAGGAGGACCCAAAAUGAGUGACUAAUAGCAUACAAACGUGGCCAGAAAAGGCUAAAACUGUGAGUUUUGACGAGUUCCCCGUAACAUGACUCUACGGUUUCCGAAAUAUUUGGAUCACAACGGGACCCAAAAUCAGUGACUAAUAGCAAAGACAACUCGCAGUAAUAGGCCAAAACUGCGAGUUUUGACGAGUUGUUUGUAACCGGACCCCGGGGUUACCGAAAUGUUCGGAUCGCGGGAGGAGCCAAAAUGAGUGACCAAUAGCAUACAAAGAUGGCUAGAAUAGGCUAAACUUGCGAGUUUCGACAAGUUCCCCGUAACCGGACAUCGGGGUUCCCAAAACGUACAGAUCGCAGGGGGACCCAAAAACAGUGAGUAAUAGGAUAGAAAACUGGCCACUAUAAGCCAAAACUGCUUGUUUUGACGAGUUCCACGUAACCGGAUCCCGGGGUUCCUGAAACGUUCGGAUCGCAACGGGUCCCAAAAUCAGUGAGUAAUAGCAUACAAAACUGGCCACAAUAGGCCAAAACUGCCAUUUUUUACAAGUUCCCCGUAACCGGACCACGGAGUUACCGAAAUGUUUGGGCCACAACGCGACCCAAAAUUAGUGACUGAUGGCAUACAAAACUAGCCAGAAUAGACCAAAACUGUGAGUUUUCACGAGUUCCACGUAACUGGACCCCGGGGAUUCCGAAACGUUCGGAUCGCAACGGGUCUAAAAAUCACUGAUUAAAAGCAUACAAAACCGGCGAGAAUAGACCAAAACUAUGAGUUUUGACGAGUUCGCCGUAACCGGACCCCGAGGUUCCCGAAACGUUCGGAUCGCAACGGCAACCAAAAUCAGUGAGUAAUAGCAUACAAAACUGGCCGGAAUAGGCCAAAACUGCGAGUUUUGACGACUUCCCCGUAACCGAACCCGGGGUUCCCAAAACGUUCGGAUCGCAGCGGGACCCAAAAUUAGUGAGUAAUAGGAUACAAAACUGGCCAGAAUAGNNNNNNNNNNNNNNNNNNNNNNNNNNNNNNNNNNNNNNNNNNNNNNNNNNNNNNNNNNNNNNNNNNNNNNNNNNNNNNNNNNNNNNNNNNNNNNNNNNNNUGGGUAAGAGAUAACCGAGGCACGCGAAGACGAUGAUGUAUCUCGAAAUUCACACCCUUGCGGAUGCUAAUCUCCGUUGGAGCGGUGUGGAGGCACAAUGCUCCCCGAGAUGCCACUAAGGCCACCGUAAUCUCCUCACGCUCUCGCACAAUGCAAGAUGCUGUGAUUCCACUAAGGGACCCUUGAGGGCGGUCACCGAACCCGUACAAANNNNNNNNNNACGAUGCCACUAAGACCAUCGUAAUCUCCUCACGCUCUCGCACAAUGCAAGAUGCCGUGAUUCCACUAAGGGAUCCUUAAGGGCGGUGCAAGAUGCCGUGAUUCCACUAAGGGACCCUUGAGGGCGGUCACCGAACCCGUACAAAUGGCAAACCUUGGGGGCAGUCACCGAUACCCGUACAAAUUGCUCAGGGCAAUCUCCACGACCUAAUUGGAGACCCCGAUGCUUGCCCGGAGCUUUACACCACAAUGAUUGAGCUCCGAGACACCACCNNNNNNNNNNGGUCACCGAUACCCAUACAAAUUGCUCGGGGCAAUCUCCACAACCUAAUUGGAGAUCCCGACGCUUGCCCGGAGCUUUACACCACAAUGAUUGAGCUCCGAGACACCACCAAGCUUCAAGGACGCCAAAGCAUCCAUGAAGAACAAUAUCUAGGGUACUAAGUACCAAAGGUAAUAAGCUUCUCAAACUUCACUUCCACGUAUCACCGUGGAGAACUCAAACGAUGCAACUAAUGCAAUGGCAAGGGCACACAGAGUGCCCAAGUCCUUCUCUCCCAAAUCCCACCAAAGCAACUAAUGCUAGGGAGGAAAAUGAGAGGAAGAACGAAGAAGAACACGAAGAACUCCAAGAACUAGACCAAGGGGUUCCCCUCACUUAGAGGAGAAAGUGAUUGGUGGAAAUGUGNNNNNNNNNNNNNNNNNNNNNNNNNNNNNNNNNNNNNNNNNNNNNNNNNNNNNNNNNNNNNNNNNNNNNNNNNNNNNNNNNNNNNNNNNNNNNNNNNNNNUCGUCAAAACUCGCAGUUUUGCUCUAUUCUGGCCAGUUUUGUAUGCUAUUACUCACUGAUUUUGGGUCCUGAUACGAUCCGAACGUUUCGGAAACUCCGGGGUCCGGUUACGGGGAACUUGUCAAAACUCGUAGUUUUGGCCUAUUCCGCACAGUUUUGUAUGCUAUUAGUCACUGAUUUUGGGUCCCGAUGCCAUCCGAACGUUUCGGGAACCCGGGGGUCCGGUUAAGGGGAAAUCGUGAAAACUCGCAGUUUUGGCCUAUGGCGUCCAGUUUUGUAUGCUAUUACUCCCAGAUUUUGGUUCCCGCUGUGAUCCCAAUGUUUCGGGAACCCCGGGGUCCGGUUAUGGGGAACUCGUCAAAACUCGCAGUUUUUGUCUAUUCUAGCUAGUUUUGUACGCUAUUACUCACUGAUUUUGGAUCCGCUGCGAUCCAUACGUUUCGGGAAGCCCGAGGUCCGCUUACGGGGAACUCGUCAAAACUCGCAGUUUUGGUCUAUUCUGCCCAGUUUUGUAUGCUAUUACUCACUGAUUUUGGGUCCCGCUGCGAUCCGAACAUUUCGGGAACACCGGGGUUCGAUUACGGGGAAGUCGUCAAAACUCGCAGUUUUGGCCUAUUCCAACCAGUUUUGUAUGCUAUUACUCACUGAUUUUGGUUCCCGCUGUGACCCGAACGUUUCGGGAACCCCGGGGUCCGGUUACUGGGAACUCGUUAAAACUCGUAGUUUUGGUCUAUUCUCGCCGGUUUUGUAUGCUAUUAAUCACUGAUUNNNNNNNNNNUAUCCAGUUACGUGGAACUCGUGAAAACUCGCAGUUUUGGCCGAUUGUGGCUAGUUUUGUAUGCUAUUAGUCACUGAUUUUGGGUCCCGUUAUGAUCUGAACGUUUCGGUAACCCCGUGGUCCGGUUACGGGGAACUCGUAAAAAACGCAGUUUUGGCCUAUUGUGGCCAGUUUUUUAUGCUAUUACUUACUGAUUUUGGGACCCGCUGCGAUUCGAAUGUUUCGGGAACCCCGGGAUCCGGUUACAUGGAACUCGUCAAAACACGCAGUUUUGGCUUAUUGUGGCCAGUUUUCUAUGCUAUCACUCACUCAUUUUGGGUCCCGCUACGAUCCGAACGUUUCGGGAACCCCGAUGUCUGGUUACGGGGAACUUGUCAAAACUCAUAGUUUUUGCCUAUUGUGGCCACGUUUGUAUGCUAUUAGUCACUCAUUUUGGUUCCUCCUGCGAUCCGAACGUUUCUGAAACCCCGGGGUCCGGUUACACAGAGCUCGUCAAAACUCGCAGUUUUGGCCUAUUAUUGCCAGUUGUCUAUGCUAUUAGUCACUGAUUUUGGGUCUCGCUGUGAUCCGAAUGUUUCGGGAAUCCUGGGGUCUAGUUACGGGGAACUCGUCAAAACUCGCAAUUUUGCCUAUUCUCGCGAGUUUUGUAUGCUAUUAGUCAAUGAUUUUGGGUCCUGCUGCUAUCCGAACGUUUUGGGAACCCCGGGUUCCGGUUACGGGGAACUCAUCAAAACUCGGAGUUUUGGCCUAUUCUGGCGAGUUUUGUAUGCUAUUACUCACUGAUCUUGAUUCCCGUUGCGAUACGAACGUUUCGGAAUCCCCGGGGUCCGGUAACGGGGAACUGGUCAAAACUCGCAAUUUUGGCCUAUGCUGGUGAAUUUCAUAUGCUAUUACUCAUUGAUUGUGGUUCCUGCUGCGAUCAGAACGUUUCGGGAACCCCGGGGUCCGGUUAUGGUGAACUCGUCAAAACUCGCAGUUUUGGUCUAUUCUGGCCAGUUGUGUAUGCUAUUACACACUGAUUUUGGGUCCCGCUGCGAUCCGAACGUUUCAGGAACCCCGUGGUCCGGUUACGGGGAACUCGUCAAAACUCAUAGUUUUGGCCUAUUCCGGCCAGUUUUGUAUGCUAUUAGUCACUGACUUUGGGUCCCGAUGCCAUCCGAACGUUUAAGGAACCCCGGGGUCCGGUUGAGGGGAAAUCGUAAAAACUCACAGUUUGGGCCUAUGACGGCCAGUUUUGGAUGUUAUUACUCACAGAUUUUGGUUCCCGCUGCGAUCCGAACGUUUCGGGAACCCCGGGGUCCGGUUACGAGGAACUCGUCAAAACUUGCAGUUUUUGUCUAUUCUGGCUAGUUUUGUAUGCUAUUACUAACUGAUUUUUGGUCCCGCCGCGAUCCAAACGCUUCGGGAAGCCCGAGGUCCAGGUACGGGGAACUCGUCAAAACUCGUAUCUUUGGUCUAUUUUGACCAGUUUUGUAUGCUAUUACUCACUGAUUUUGGCUCCCGCUGCGAUCUGAACGUUUCGGGAACCCCGGGGUCCGGUUACGGGGACGUUGUCAAAACUCGUAGUUUUGGCCUAUUCCGACCAGUAUUGUAUGCUAUUACUCACUAAUUUUGGUUCCCGCUGCGAUCCGAACGAUUCGGGAACCCCGGGGUCCGGUUACAGGGAACUCGUCAAAACUCAUACUUUUGGUCUAUUCUUGUCAGUUUUGUAUGCUAUUAAUCGCUGAUUUUGGGUCCCAUUACGAUCCGAACAUUUCAGAAACCCCCGGGUCCGGUUACGUGGAACUCGUGAAAACUAGCAGUUUUGACCUAUUCUGACUAGAUUUGGAUCUCGCCGUGAUCCGAACGUUUCGGGAACCCCGGGAUCCGAUUACGUGGAACUCGUCAAAACAUGCAAUUUUGGCAUAUUGUGGCAAGUUUUAUAUGCUAUUACUCACUGAUUUUGGGUCCCUCUACGACCCGAACGUUUCAGGAACCCCGAUGUCCGGUUAUGGGGAACUCAUAUUGUGGCCACGUUUGUAUGCGAUGAGUCACUCAUUUUGGGUCCUCCUGCGAUCCGAACAUUUCAGGAACCCCGGGAUCCGGUUACAGUGAACUCGUCAAAACUCGCAGUUUGGGCCUUUUGUUGCCACGUUUGUAAGCUAUUAAUCACUCAUUUUGGGUCCUCCUGCGAUCCGAGCGUUUCUGGAACCCCGGGUUCCGGUUACAUAGAACUCGUCAAAACUCGCAGUGUUGCCUAUUACGACUACUUUUCUAUGCUAUUAGUCUCUGAUUUUGGGUCCCGCUGUGAUCCGAAUGAUUCGGGAACCCUGGGGUCUGGUUACGGGAACUCGUCAAAACUCGAAGUUUUGGCCUAUUCUGGCGAGUUUUGUAUGAUAUUAGUCACUAAUUUUGGGUCCUGUUGCGAUCCGAAUGUUUUGUGAACCCCGUGUUCCGAUUACAGGGAACUCAUCAAAACUCACAAUUUUGGCAUAUUCUGACGAGUUUUAUAUGCUAUUACUCACUCAUUAUGGUUCCCGCUAAGAUACGAACGUUUUGGGAACCCCGGGGUCCGGUUACGGGGAACUCGUCAAAACUCGCAAUUUUGGCCUAUGCUGGCGAGUUUUGUAUCCUAUUACUCAUUGAUUUUGGUUCCUCCUGCGAUCCGAACGUUUCGGAAACCCCGGGGUUCGGUUACGGGGAACUCGUCAAAACUCGCAGUUUUGCUCUAUUCUAGCCAGUUUUGUAUGCUAUUACUCACUGAUUUUGGGUCCCGAUACGAUCCGAACGUUUCAGAAACCCCGAGGUCCGGUUACGGGGAACUCGUCAAAACUCGUAGUUUUGGCCAAUUCUGGACAGUUUUGUAUGCUAUUAGUCACUGAUUUUGGAUCCCGAUGCCAUCCGAACGUUUCGGGAACCCCGGGGUCCGGUUAAGGGGAAAUCGUGAAAAAUCGCAGUUUUGGCCUAUGCCGGACAAUUUUGUAUGCUAUUACUCCCAGAUUUUGGGUCCCGCUACGAUCCGAAUGGUUCGGGAACCCCGGGGUCCGGUAAUGGGGAACCCGUCAAAACUCGCAGUUUUUGUCUAUUCUAGCUAGUUUUGUAUGCUAUUACUCAUUGAUUUUGUGUCCCGCUUUGAUCCAUACUUUUGCCCAGUUUUUUAUGUUAUUACUCACUGAUUUUGGGUCCCACUCCGAUCCGAACAUUUCGGGAACCCCGGGGUUCUAUUACGGGGAAGUCGUCAAAACUCGCAGUUUUGGCCUAUUCCGACCAGUUUUCUAUGCUAUUACUCACUGAUUUUGGUUCCCGCUGCAAUCCGAACGUUUCGGGAACCNNNNNNNNNNNNNNNNNNNNNNNNNNNNNNNNNNNNNNNNNNNNNNNNNNNNNNNNNNNNNNNNNNNNNNNNNNNNNNNNNNNNNNNNNNNNNNNNNNNNAAUUAAUUUUUGUUUUCCCAAGAUAUAUGUUGCUAGUGACAUUGAACACAACAUUGACUCAGUAAGUUUGGCACUCAAGGAGUUGUAUGAAGUUUAUGAGAGUGACCACACAACCAAUUUGGUUGCAGCAGAAAAGGAAGUGGAUAAUCAGGUCCUGGUUUCAGAAAAUGGGACAUCAAGCAAUAGUCUUAUGGCAAUUUCAACUCAGUUUCGUACCUUCAUGAAAGCUACUGCUAAAAAGGUUUCCAAGUCAGAUCUAGUUGCGUACUUGGAUGAGGCUGCACUUACUGAUCAUUCAGAAGUCUUUGAUGUGCUACUUUGGUGGAAGCAAAAUUCAUCAAGAUAUCCAAUACUAUCCAAGGUUGCGAAGGAUAUACUUACUGUGCCAGUCAGUAUUUUUUCUUCGGAAUCAUCAUUCAGUACUGGAGGUAGAGUGCUUGAUAAUUUUUGAAGCGCUUUACUCCCAAAUACUGUUGAGGCUUUGGUGUGUUCAGCUAGUUGGAUUAGAGGUCCCAAAAGAAGAAAAAAGCUAACAAUGUGAGUUCCUGAAUACUCUGUUUAUGCCAUAUAUUUNNNNNNNNNNNNNNNNNNNNNNNNNNNNNNNNNNNNNNNNNNNNNNNNNNNNNNNNNNNNNNNNNNNNNNNNNNNNNNNNNNNNNNNNNNNNNNNNNNNNGCUUUUUCGUUUUUUCUUUCUUCCACGAACACCAUCAUCUGCUGCAAGCUUGCAAGAUGAGCUCCCUGAGAACGACGAGAUGGUUGUACAACCGAUCAAAGUAAGCCCCUUUUCUGAGAUUUGAGUAUACAUUCACGUGUAAAAUACUCUUGCGUAAUUCAGAGUACAGCCAAAGUGACCAUGCCUCCACAGAUUCAGAGUACAAUCUCAUCUACUGUCCAACACACGUCCAACACAGAUUCAACGUACAACCUCAUCCAUCUGUCCAAUGCACAUCCGCCUCCAGCCCUUCGCCUUGUUCUCCACCAUGACCAUGCCUCGCCAUCGACCGACGGCGUGAACUUCUGACCUCUUCUUUGCCCCAUGACCGGCAGUCCGGCACUUCGUGCACCCGUGCCCGAGGAUGCUCCUCAUCUUCUUGGUGGCUGGAGCAUAAGCUUGCACACCGCCACAUCCACGCGGCACUUCCACACUGCCACGCCGGCAGCCUGACACGCCGCACCCGAUGUUGUCGCCCUGGUCGCUGGAUGGCCGGAUUCCCUGCUUUUGGUUAGGUGUGUGUAUGCACUAUCAGCUGCCGGUUGAAUCUCUCUGAUUAUGCGUGGGUUUUCAAGAAGGUCUGUUGGUUGUGAUGCGACUGAUGUUCAUCUAUUGUUUGACGUACUACAGAUUUUCCAAUAUGUCCAAUAAUUUAGAUGUUCUUCUAAUCUUCUGGUAAUUUAGAUGUCCAUCCAAUCGCUUAAUUUAUACUUACUAGAAAAUGCAAUCUGUUUUUAAAAGAAUAGGGGAUGAGGAAAUUGCUGAAUGUCCAUUAGCUCCUGAUUUUGAUUCCCAGUUACGCGUGAACUUAGUGUGACUAUUGUGUUUGUGUUAACAAUAUAUGCGACAUAUGUUAUACCGAUANNNNNNNNNNGCACCUUAAUGUUUGUUCACAUAUGUUUAAUACCUCUGAAUCUUAGGUCUGACAUAUGUGAUAUGUUAUACUGAUACUUUGCAUUUGAAUAUUUGUUCACAUAUGUUUAAUACCUCUGAAUCGUAGGUCCUUUGUGAGAAUGAAGCCAAGGAGGCCAAGGAAGUUGUGAUGGUUGAGGAUGAUGNNNNNNNNNNAAAAAAAUAGGGGAUGAGGAAAUUGCCGAAUGUCCAUUAGCUCCUGAUUUUGAUUCCCAGUUACGCGUCAAUUUAGUAUGACUAUUGUGUUUGUGUGAACAAUAUACGCGACAUAUGUUGUACCGAUACUUUGCACCUUGAUGUUUGUUCACAUAUGUUUAAUACCUCUGAAUCUUAGGUCCGACUUAUGUGAUAUGUUAUACUGAUACUUUGCAUUUUAAUAUUUGUUCACGUAUGUUUAAUACCUCUGAAUCAUAGGCCCUCUGUCAGAAUGAAUCCAAGGAGGCCAAGGAAGUUGUGAUGGUUGAGGAUGAUGAAUUGCCAAAAUCAUCGGGAAAAAGGAAAUACUCGGAUGUAUGGGAGCACUUUGAGGAGGUUGAGGUGCUUUCAAAGAAGAAAAAAGGAGAAAUGGAGAGAAAGGUCAAGUGCAAGUCUUGCAGCAAACUGUACAUGUACCCAAAGACUGGAACUACAACAACAAUGAAGAGGCAUCUGGAUGGCUGCUUUGCACAUCAGGGUGAGAAGAACAUCAAAAAAGGUCAAGACACUCUGAAUUUUGAUGCGGCUGAUGCGUGUGAUAUUGAUCUUCCAGUAGUCAAUUUCUCUGGUGGCUAUGAUCAUGGAAAAAUUCGUGAGCUUAUAGCUACAAUGAUAAUUGUCCAUGAGUACCCUUUCCGCAUGGUGGAGCAUUUUUGGUUCAAUGUGCUGAUGAAGACUUUGAAUCCUUCUUAUCAAAAGACAUCAAGAGCCACCAUCAGAAAUGAUUGUCUGCAGAUUUUUAAGUCCCGAAAGGAAACACUGAAGAAAGAACUUAAGAAUAUUCGCAAAAUUAGCCUCACGUGUGAUUUGUGGACCUCGAACCAAAGUCUCUGUUAUAUGAGCUUGGUGGCACACUNNNNNNNNNNUCUUUGAAUCCUUCUUAUCAGAAGACAACAAGAGCCACCAUCAGAAAUGAUUGUUUGCAGAUUUUUAAGUCCCGAAAGGAAACACUGAACAAGGAACUUAAGAAUAUUCGCAAAAUUAGCCUCACGUGUGAUCUGUGGACCUCGAACCAAAGUCUCUGUUAUAUGAGCUUGGUGGCACACUAUAUUGAUUCAGAAUGGAAUAUGCAGUACCGUGUGAUUAGUUUCCUUGAUCUGGAGCCACCACACACAGGUAUUGUGAUAUCUCAGGCUAUAUUUGAGUGCCUUUCUGAUUGGAAGAUUGAAGACAAAAUUGCAACUAUAACUCUUGAUAAUGCUUCUUCCAAUGGCAUGGCUGCUCGUCAACUCAUGUCCAAGUUUAAGGCGAGAGGAAGUGUGUUUUUUCCAUGGUAAAAUUUUUCAUGUCAGAUGCUCUGCUCAUAUACUCAACCUUUUGGUAUCAGAUGGCCUAAAAGCUAUAGAACCACUCAUUGAGAACAUCAGGCAGACUGUUAAGUAUUUGAAGAAAUCGCCAUCUCGGCUCUACAAAUUUACUAAGAUUGUCAAGUCACUUAACAUGUCAACCAAGAUGGGGUUGUGUCUUGAUGUUCCAACUAGAUUGGGAUCCACAUACAAGAUGCUUGAGCGUGACUUUGCUUUCAAAAAUGCAUUCUUACAUUAUGCAGAUUUGGAUGCCAAUUCUAAGUGGGAGCCAUCUAGCGAAGAGUGGAGGUUGUAUGCUAAAAUAAGGGAUAUUUUAGCAGUGUUGAGCAUGGCAACCACUGUGUUAUCUGGAUCAACCUAUCCUACAGCUAAUGAGUUCUUUCUUCUCAUUGUGAAUGUUAAGAAGGUCCUCGAUGAUGCAUUUAUCUCUACCGAUAAAUUCUUUCAUGAUAUGGGAAAUGCUAUGCUUCAGAAAUUUGAGAAAUAUUGGAAAGAGUGUAGUACUUUGCUGGCAAUAGCAUCAAUUUUGGAUCCAAGGUGCAAGAUGGAUCUAAUUAAUUUUUGUUUUCCCAAGAUAUAUGUUGCUAGUGACAUUGAACAUAACAUUGACUCAGUAAGUUUGGCACUGAAGGAGUUGUAUGAAAUUUAUGAGAGUGACCACACAACCAAUUUGGUUGCACCAGAAAAGGAAGUGGAUAAUCAGGUCCUUGUUUCAGAAAAUGGGACAUCAAGCAGUAGUCUUAUGGCAAUUUCAACUCAGUUUCGUACCUUCAUGAAAGCUACUGCUAAAAAGGUUUCCAAGUCAGAUCUAGUUGCAUACUUGGAUGAGGCUGCACUUACUGAUCAUUCGGAAGUCUUUGAUGUGCUACUUUGGUGGAAGCAAAAUUCAUCAAGGUAUCCAAUACUAUCCAAGGUUGCGAAGGAUAUACUUACUGUGCCAGUCNNNNNNNNNNCUGUUUCUUCGGAAUCAUCAUUUAGUACUGGAGGUAGAGUGCUUGAUAAGUUUUGAAGCGCUUUACUCCCAAAUACUGUUGAGGCUUUGCUGUGUUCAGCUAGUUGGAUAGAGUCUCCCAAAAGAAGAAGAAAGCUAACAAUGUGAGUUCCUGAAUACUCUGUUUAUGCCAUAUAUUUCAAAUAGUCUAACAUGUACAUAAGUACAUCUUACGAUUUUGUUGUGCACAAAUACUCUCAGGAUAAAGAACACCAAGAUGACUUACUUGAAGUUCCUUUUCUGGAUAAAGAUCCUUCAAUCGUUUCUACAGACUAGUAAGAAACGAAUAUAAUAUGGUGAACAUUCAUUUGAAUUGUUACAUUGUUUGUAUUAUCUUCCAAACUAAUAAAUUGUAAUAUGCAGGCGAGUUGCGCUUCUUGUUAUGUUGAUGGAGAAUUACUUCAAGUCCUACGAACUCCAAGAUCAUCUACGGCCUACACUAUACAACAACUUUUUAUGAUCUUCGACGAAUAAUUUGUUUUUCCAAUUAUAUAUCGGUCAUGAAUUGUCAUCUUAUGUUGAUGCUAGACUGUUGGUUAUUAGAGAAUAAGUCGAACUACUUUGAAUAAGCUACAUUAUCAUCAUAUUGAUUGGAAUAAUAUUUGUAGUGCUUUCUUAUGUCGUGAUGUGCCUUAUCUANNNNNNNNNNCCUCCAAGAUUUAUAUUUUUUACUGUCCCAUUUAGCUCGAAACUAACUCGAGACCGACUCGAGAUCGUUACAAGCUGAGUAUAAAUCAUGUUUUACAACUCGACAUUGAGCUUCACUCAGUUUGAGCUCACUUGAAUUUUAAUAUGAGCUGAACUGAGCCAAGUACAACUCGCUCGAACUCGACUCGUUUGCGGCCCUAGUUGUGGUCCGAACGUUUCGGCAACCCCGUGGUUCGGUUACAGGGAACUCGUAAAAAAUCGCAGUUUUGGCCUAUUGUGGCCAGUUUUGUACGCUAUUACUCACUGAUUUUGGGACCCGCUGCGAUCCGAAUGUUUCAGGAACCCCGGGAUCCUGUUACGUGGAACUCGUCAAAACACGCAGUUUUGGCUUAUUGUGGCCAGUUUUCUAUCCUAUUACUCACUGAUUUUGGGUCCCGCUGCGAUCCAAACAUUUCGGGAACCCCGAUGUCCGGUUACGGGGAAGUCGUCAAAACUCGCAGUUUUAGCCUAUUCUAGCCACGUUUGUAUGUUAUUAGUCACUCAUUUGGGGUCCUCCUGCGAUCCAAACAUUUCGGGAACCCCGGGGUCCGGUUACACAGAACUCGUCAAAACUCGUAGUUUUGGCCUAUUACUACCAGUUGUCUAUGCUAUUAGUCACUGAUUUUGGGUCCCGUUGUGAUCCGAGUGUUUCGAGAACCGUAGGGUCAUGUUACGGGGAACUCGUCAAAACUCGUAGUUUUAGCCUAUUCUAGCCAGGUUUGUAUGCUAUUAGUCACUCAUUUUGGGUCCUCCUGCGAUCCGAACGCUUCGGGAACCCCGGGGUCCGGUUACAAAGAACUCGUCAAAACUCGCAGUUUUGGCCUAUUACUUCAAGUUCUCUAUGCUAUUAGUCACUGAUUUUGGGAACCGAUGUGAUCCGAAUGUUUCAGAAACCCUCGGGUCUAGUUACGGGGAACUCGUCCAAACUCGCAGUUUUGGCCUAUGGUCGCGAGUUUUGUAUGCUAUUAGUCAAUGAUUUUGGGUCCUGCUGCUAUCCGAACGUUUUGGGAACCCCGGGUUUCGGUUACGGGGAACUCAUCAAAACUCGCAAUUUUGGCCUAUUCUGGUGAGUUUUGUAUACUAUUACUCACUGAUUUUGGUUCCCGCUGUGAUACGAACGUUUCGGGAACCCCGGGGUCCGGUAACGGGGAACUGGUCAAAACUCGCAAUUUUGGCCNNNNNNNNNNGUUUCGUAUGCUAUUACUCAUUGAUUUUGAUCCCCGCUGCGAUCCGAACGUUUCGGGAACCCCGGGGUCCAGUUAUGGUGAACUCGUCAAAACUCGCAGUUUUGGUCUAUUCUGGCCAGUUUUGUAUGGUAUUACUCACUGAUUUUGGGUCCCGCUGCGAUCCGAACGUUUCGGGAACCCCGUAGUCCGGUUACGGGGAACUCGUCGAAACUCAUAGUUUUGGCCUAUUGCGGCCAGUUUUGUAUGCUAUUAGUCACUAACUUUGGGUCCCGAUGUCAUCCGAACGUUUAGGGAACCCCGGGGACCGGUUGAGGGGAAAUCGUGAAAACUCCCAGUUUUGGCCUAUGCCAGCCAGUUUCGGAUGCUAUUACUCACUGAUUUUGGUUCCCGCUGUGAUCCGAACAUUUCAGGAACCCCGGGGUCCGGUUACGAGGAACUCGUCAAAACUCGCAGUUUUUGUCUAUUCUGGCUAGUUUUGUAUGCUAUUAUUAACUGAUUUUGGGUCCCGUUGCGAUCCAAACAUUUCGGCAAGCCCGAGGUCUUGUUACGGGGAACUCGUCAAAACUCGCAGCUUUGGUCUAUUCUGGCCAGUUUUGUAUGCUAUUACUCACUAAUUUUGGGUCCCGCUGCAAUCCGAACGAUUCGGGAACCACGUGGUCCGGUUACAGGGAACUUGUCAAAACUCGUAGUUUUGGUCUAUUCUCGCCAGUUUUGUAUGCUAGUAAUCGCUGAUUUUGGGUCCCAUUACGAUCCGAACAUUUCGGAAACCCCGGGGUCCGGUUACGUGGAACUCGUGAAAACUCGCAGUUUUGGCCUAUUCUGGCUAGUUUUGGGUCUCGCCGCGAUCCGAACGUUUUGGGAACCCCGGGAUCCGAUUACGUGGAACUCGUCAAAACACGCAAUUUUGGCUUAUUAUGGCAUGUUUUGAAUGCUAUUACUCACUGAUUUUGGGUCCCGCUGUGAUCCGAACGUUUCAGGAACUCUGAUGUCCGGUUACGGGGAACUCGUCAAAACUCGUAGUUUUAGCCUAUUGUGGCCAUGUUUGUAUGCUAUCAGUCACUCAUUUUGGGUCCUCCUGCAAUCCGAACAUUUCAGGAACCCCGGGGUCCGGUUACAAUGAACUCGUCAAAACUCGCAGUUUGAGCCUUUUCUGGCCACGUUUGUAUGCUAUUANNNNNNNNNNNNNNNNNNNNNNNNNNNNNNNNNNNNNNNNNNNNNNNNNNNNNNNNNNNNNNNNNNNNNNNNNNNNNNNNNNNNNNNNNNNNNNNNNNNNAUGAACCGUCCCUCGAUCCGUCCCACGAUCUAGUGCCGAACGGACGGCACCUCCGCGUUCAGCACACGUACAGCUCGACGAUGAUCUCGGCCUUCUUGAUCCAGCAAGAGAUACGGAGAGGUAGAUGAGUUAUCCGGCAGCGUGACGAUGCUCCGGAGGUUGCUGGUGAUCUAAUCUCAGCAGGGCUCCGCCCGAGCUCCGCAGAAACACGAUCUAGAGGUAAAACCGUGGAGGUAUGUGGUCGGGCUGCCGUGGCAAAAUUGUCUUAAAUCAGCCCUAAUAGCUCCAUAUAUAUAGGAGGAGGGGAGGGGAGGCUUGCCUUGAGGCUCAAGGAGCCCCAAGGGCUGCGCCACCAAGGGAGGAGGAGUCCUCCUUCAAUCCUAGUCCAACUAGGAUUGGAAGGUGGAGUCCUUCUCUCCUUUCCCACCUCCUUUUUUUUCUUUUCUCUUUGAUUUUCUAUUUAUGACGCAUAGGGCCUUCUUGGGCUGUCCCACCAGCCCACCAAGGGCUGGUGCGCCACCCCCAAGGCCUAUGGGCCUCCCCGGGGUGGGUUGCCCCCCCGAUGCACACCCGGAACCCAUUCGUCAUUCCCGGUACAUUCCCGGUAACUCCGNNNNNNNNNNNNNNNNNNNNNNNNNNNNNNNNNNNNNNNNNNNNNNNNNNNNNNNNNNNNNNNNNNNNNNNNNNNNNNNNNNNNNNNNNNNNNNNNNNNNGCAACCGAGGAAGCAGAGGAGUCUGCUCCGGUCAUUGCCGCCGGGGUGGGUGUGAAUGGGUCCGCCAUUCCGGCGACGGCUAGCGGCGCACCUUCUGAUGUGCUUGCGUCGGCCGCCAUCGCAGCGGUCGACCGUCUGGUCGGCGAGCAGGUGGAGGAUGAAGUCGGUGGAGAUCUAGAGCAGAAGGCCAAGCGCAAGCGCGAGCUCUACGAAGAGGUCGAUAACCUCUACGAUGAGUCCGAGCUCUCCAUGCUCGACAGUCCAAGGAAGGCCGACGAGUUCAAAGAGGAGGUCAGCGACGAGCUCCCCGAGGUAGAGCUCUAUUUUCUCAUUAGACUGGGGUUUGGUACUCUGUUUUCUCAUCGCAUUAGGGUUUUCUCGUAAAUCAGACGAGCAUCGAUUUGAUCUGGCCCUGGUAGUUGAUGUAGGAUUUUAGGGUUCUAUGUGCGUCCUCUGCUUAGGCUUUAGGAUUUUUGGGUUCUUUGGUGGAUUUCGUGUCUGUGGUGUGCAAUCGCAAGACGUAUUUUAUUUAUACUAAAUAUUUGUACGUAUUUAUAUUUUAGUUAUCACUAAUUUUUAUUUGGUAUUAUGAUUGGAUGCCCUUUUAUAAUUAAUCAAUUUUAGAGAUUCAUUGUUGUUAUCCCACAACAUCAACCACAUACCUACAUUUAUAAUACUGAAAUCAAGCUUAUUUGUUAUACAUAUAUCGUUCUAAAUACAUCAAUGCUAUGGUAAGACAAAUUUUACUAUGGAUAUUUUUCUAUGUUUUCAAAAAAUCAUUUGACACGUUAUUAAGUUGAACCACGUCCAAAUAUAAACAAAACGUACAAAGUGGUGCUACUUUGUUGCUUUACUGUGUCUAUACAUGUUUAUUUUCAGUCUAUCUUUAGAUAUCGGUAGAGGAUUCUACAAUCUUUGUGUUUACCAAAUAUCCUAAGGAAUUGUUUGGUAGAAGUGGAUUACGAAGGUUUGGGGAGGUGGGGAUUUUAGGGGAUUGGGGAAUCCCUUCCUUCUACCCAAUCCUCUCAAUUCACCUCAGAUCCCCCAGUUUCCAAUCCCCUUCCAUAAAAACUUGUUUGGUAGACGGGGUUUGCUAUAAUAAAGUGAGAUGGUACAAAAUGUCAACAAUGCCGUUAAAGAUCCAAUCUUUGCAAGUUUAGCAACUUGUAUAAGGAAAAAAAAUGCUAUAGAACUUCACUUGUACUUGCUCCAAGAUUAUGCAAAGUAGCAAAACUAAGGACGCCACAUACAAAACAACAAGGUCCUCACAAUAUUCUGUUACAACCAAGUUUAACAUAGGGCGUGGUAGCCAUUAUUGUAUUUCGCUGGCUGCAUUUGGCAAUUGAGAUCUUUCCAUUGUUACCAUUUAACUCCAACCUGGAAAGCAGAAAAUACUCGUAAUAACUUUGCAAGAAAACAUCGAUCUUGAGUCCACACAGAAAAGCCCAAAAUAGCAACAUCAUCAGAACACACAUCUACAAGUUGAAAAUUGUACAUUUCACAUACUAGAUACUCGUGCAUCUACUAAUCAGAACUAAAAACCUAAGUUCAUAUGAUCACUGAAAAUAUAGGACUAAUUCUUUAGUAGAAUAGUAAUUAUAGUAAUUUAGUACUAACACUUUUGACAAAGUUGCAAAUACUACUUCUCCAGCAAAAGCUAGAACUAAUGUUAGAACUAAUUAUUCAAUAAAAACUACAAAAAAAAUUGAUAAUUUCAGUAGCAGGCGAAGCAAAGACUAAAUCAAAUGUUUUAGUCUAACGAGGAAGCUUGCUUAUUAUAGUUCAGACCAAGAAAGCAAGACCAAGAAAGCAGCAUUAUAAUAGGCGCUCUAGCAAGAACUAAAUCAUAGAUUCAUGUAUUAGUUGCAAUAGGAGUACAAUUGAGGUUCUUGUCCAUUUUGCAUCAUUCUUUUAUAUCGAUAUUUAUUGCAUUAUGGAUUGUUAUUACAUAUUAUGGUAUAAUACUUAUGCCUUUUCUCUGUUAUUUGAAGAGGGAGAAUGCCGACAGGUGGAAUUCUGGACUGGAAAAGGAGAAAAUCUGAGUGAAGUUUUGGAGAAUUGAUUUCGAAUAUAUAAAAAAUAUUGGACGGAUGAAAUACCAGAGGGGACCCACCAGGAGGUCACAAGCCAGGGGGCGCGGCCUACCGCCCUGACCGCCUCGAAGGUUUUGACCCCCUGGCAGGCUUGUGGCCCCCUGGCAGGCCUUCGGUGCCUAUCUUCUUCUAUAUGAAGGGUUUUGACCUGGAAAAAAUCAUAUCAGAGCUUUCGGGACAAGACGCUGCCGUCUCGAGGCGUAACUUUGACAGAACAAAUCUAGAGCUCCGACGGAGCUAUUCCGCCGUGGAAACUUCCCUCCCGGAGGGGGAAAUCGAAGCCAUCGUCAUCACCAACGAUCCUCUCAUCGAGAGGUGGUCAAUCUCCAUCAACAUCUUCAUGAACAUCAUCUCCUCUUCAAACCCUAGUUCAUCUCUUGUAUCCGAUCUUUGUCUCAAAACCUCAGAUUGGUACCAGUGGGUUGCUAGUAAUGUUGAUUACUCCUUGUAGUUGAUGCUAGUUGGUUUACUUGGUGGAACAUUAUAUGUUCAGAUCCUUUAUGAUUAUUAAUACUCCUCUGAUUAUGAACAUGAAUAUGCUUUGUGAGUAAAUAUGUUUGUUCCUUAGGACAUGGGAUAAGUCUUGUUAUAAGUAAUCAUGUGAAUUUGGUAUUCGUUCGAUAUUUUGAUGAGAUGUAUGGUGUCUCUCCUCUAGUGGUGUCAUGUGAACGUCGACUACAUGACCAUUCACCAUUAUUUGGGCCUAGGGGAAGGCAUUGAGAAUUAAUAAGUAGAUAAUGGGUUGCUAGACUAAAACUUUCUUCCUGGUUCAGAAAAUGAUACCAUGUCAAUGAUCUCAACUCCUCCCUCUUCAUCUUCUUCUUCAUCAUCCUCAUCUUCUUCUCCUUCCUCUUCUUCUUCAUAGUCAAUAUCUUCUUCAUCGGCCUCAUCUUCCUCAAAAUCAACCAUAAGAGUGUCAUGUGAAUGUCGUGCUGAAUAAAGGACACAAGUGUUAAAGUUGCAGUUAGAUAAUAACUUAUCAACUCUUAAGUUGCAUUCCUAGAAAACGAAAGAUUGAAAAUGCUCACCAUGAUAAGCUUUCAAACGUUUAUCGAAAAAGGAGACAACCCUGGAGGUGGUUGAGCCCUUCUCAUUGUCGCACCGGAUAUCAACGAUGAACAGCCACUUUGGUAUGCCUCCUGGUCCCCUUCUUGAUCUUCCAUGUUUCUGAUCAUAGAGAAAUAUAGGAUCAUUAGAAGGAUCAACACACACGAAACUUGAAUGGCGUCAUGGUGGCGUCGAUGGCGGAGGCACCUGCCAAGGCUGGUACCUCAAUCUGCUCUGAAGAUGAACCAGUGGAAGAUGGUGGCGACGACACAUGUGAGUGCGUCAGACCGGUUUGUGCCCCUGACCCAGUAUGUGGCUCGGUCGGGGCCUCCGGCUUUAAAUGUUAGGAUUAGGUGAGAGGUCUGGGUAUUUGGCUCAGCUUGCACCCCUUCAUCAUAUCGAUAGGAGUAGGGACAAAUGUUGCCAAGAUGGCGGAUACAGACAUAUUGUUGUAUUACUUUGUAAAGUCCUCAGAAAUAAUCAAUAAAAUGGUCGCAUGCAUCUCUCAGAUGCAGAGACCGGGGGUCAUCCUCCUUUUCUAAAAAAAUAAAUAAAAUAAAAACACAAAACUUGAAGGGUUGAUCACACGUACACCAUCAUAAGAAUAAUUCGUGAUUCAUAUCAGGUUGUCCAUGCUGGUGGGCCAGCGGCGGAUACACGUCUCAGUGGGCUCAAGAGCAGCGGGCAAAUGGAAUGUGCGUUGCCUUCUAUAGCCGGCCGGUCAAAAAAGGUUGUUGUUCUUUCUAAGAGCAUGGUUAAUAGUAUAGCCAACUGCUGGCUAUAAGCAGUCUUAUAGUCCAUCUUAUAGCAAGCUUGUACAAUAGUUAGCUUAAAAGAGUACUAUUUUUAUCAUAUAUGGUCCACCUUCCAUUCUCACAAAGCACCUAGGAGCACGUGCUAGAGUUGGCUCUUCACGAAGAGUCCGCUUCCCUUCUCUCUCCUCUUCUCUCUCAUCCAACUCAGCAAAAAUAUAGUAUUUUUAUCCUUACAGCCUGGACUGUACCUUAUUGUACUUGCUCUAAAAAGAAAUCAGAGUUGUCUGUCUGUUGGUUGAUGACCCACCACCAUCAGUCAGACCACCCACAAAAUUUUAAAUGGUGUAACUAAAAUCUGACAACAUUUUUACUAAAUGCGGUAAAUCGAAUGAAACCCUCCAAUAUCAAUUUAUGCAUGUUGAAGCCUAGUGUGCUAUCCUCCUGUUCAGAAAAAAGGCGAACAACAAAACAUGAUUGGCACACGAAACUCAUGGAUAAUUAAGCAUUAGCGCAAUGAGGAACCAGCCUCAUUUUUUGUCUAUAACAGAUACAUAUAUAUAGGUAGCAAGCACUCCCGCUCCCAUGAGCGAGCAGAAAUCAAAUUACAGUUUCAGCUGCUGCUACUCUACUCCAUCUCACUUCUCAGAACGGUCCGGGAGACAGACCAACAGAACAGAUAGACACCUAUCGAGCUGGAGCAACACGAACCAUACACACGCAAAUAGAUAUGCUGCCAGUGGCCGCACCUCAACCACGGCACGGCAUCCAUCAAUAAGUUAGAUCUGGUUUGGGGUGUUCCUGCUAGAAGUUGAGAUUCAACAGCGUCUUGGAAUCAAGCACGAGCAGAACAUGAGAUUAAACUGGAUCUUGAAAUCACGCAGGUGAACGGGGUCUUGAAGGAAACCAGCAAGAAGGCCUUACCUCCGACAAGUUGGAGAGGACGGCGACCGGGAUGGCGUGCUCGACGGCGUCCGGGACGACAUACUCGAUGCGAAACGCCGGCGACAGUAGAGAUACUCGGGGGCGUCCGACGGCGGUGGCGGCACAUGUGGUUGGGGGCGUCCGGCGUUCGGCUGCAGGAGUCACCAGAGAUGGUCAGGGGCGUUCGGCAGCGGCAGCGAUGGACGAGGGUGUCCACUGGCAGAGGGUGACGGCGGAGAUGGUCGACGGCGGCGGCAGAUAUGGUCGGGGGGCCUCGGGGGCGGCUGGAGAUGGAGAGAUCGACAGGGGCUAGGGCACGGUGAUAAUCUGGCUGGGUCGACCCGUGUGACCCAUACCUGGCCAAACGGGCCGGACCGGCACGGCCCGGCCCGGCCUGCCGUAAUCGUGCCAGGCACGGCACGACACGCAUGGGCCUGAUUAUUAGUCGGGUCGUGUCGUGCCGUCCCGCGUGCCAGCCUCCCAGGCCCAAGCACGGCACGUGGCCUAACCGGGUCGGCCCGCGGCACGCUAAGGCACGGCGGUCCGCGACAGGUUUGCUGUUUUUUUUUCCCUCUGGCCCUCUCCCGCACAGAUCCCGCCUAGACCCCGCCAGUUGGCCGCGUUUCCGCCCAUUUACAGCCCUUUCCCCGUUUCUCAAUUCCCGCCCGCAGCGGCGUGAUACGUCUCCAACGUAUCUAUAAUUUUUGAUUGGUUUCAUGCUAUUAUCUUGUCAAACUUUGGAUGUUCUGUAUGCCUUAUAUAUAUAUUUUUGGGACUAACUUUUAACUCAGUGUCAAGUGUCAGUUCCUGUUUUUCCCAUGUUUUUGACCCCUAAACCCUGGGAGAUUUUGAAACGGAGUCCAAACGGAAGAAAAUCCCCGAAAAGAUUUUUUUUUGGAACGGAAGAAUAUCGGAGAACUUGGGAGCCAAGGCAGGGAAGCCCCAGGGGCCCCACAAGCCCCCACCCCGCGGUCAGGGGGCGCGCCAUCCAGGCUUGUGGGCCCCCUGGAGGUCCCCUGACCUAGGUCUUUCGCCUAUAUAAUCCCAUAAAUUCCAGAAAAAAUCAGGAGAUCAUCGCAAUCGCUUUUCCACCGCCGCAAGCUUGUGUCUCCGCAAGAUCCCAUCUGGGGCACGUCCUGGUGCCCUGCCGGAGGCGGGAUUCGGACACGAAGGGCUUCUUCAUCAACAACAUGGCCUCUCCGAUGAUGCGUGAGUAGUUCACCAUAGACCUACGUGUCCAUAGCUAGUAACUAGAUGGCUUCUUCUCUCUCUUGGAUCUUCAAUACAAAGUUCUUCAUGAUCUUCAUGGAGAUCUAUCCGAUGUAAUCUUCUUUUGCGGUGUGUUUGUCCAGAUCCGAUGAAUUGUGGAUUUAAGAUCAGAUUAUCUAUGACUCUUAUUUGAGUUUCUUUUGAUCUCUCUUAUGGAUGAUUUCAUAUCCUUGUAAUUCUGUUCGAGUUGUGGGUUUUGUCUGGCCAACUAGAUCUAUGAUUCUUGCAAUGGGAGAAGUGCUUGGUUUUGGGUUCAUACCGUGCGGUGACCUCACCCAGUGACAGAAGGGGUAGUGAGGCACGCAUCGUGUUGUUGCCAUGAAGGGUAAAAAGAUGGGAUUUUCAUCAUUGGUUUGAGAUUAUCCCUCUACAUCAUGUCAUCUUGCUUAAAGCGUUACUCUGUUCGUCAUGAACUCAAUACACUAGAUGCAUGCUGGAUAGCGGUCGAUGUGUGGAGUAAUAGUAGUAGAUGCAGAAAGUAUCGGUCUACUUGUCUCGGACGUGAUGCCUAUAUGAAUGAUCAUUGCAUUAGAUAUCGUCAUGACUUUGCGCGGUUCUAUUAAUUGCUCGACAGUAAUUUGUUCACCCACCGUAAUACUUGCUAUUUUGAGAGAAGCCUCUAGUGAACACUAUGGCCCCGAGUGUCUAUUCCACACCAUAUUUUCAGCCUUACACUUUUUACUUCGUUGCACUUUCCGCCUUCGGAUCUCACUUUGCAAACAAUCUUGAAGGGAUUGACAACCCCUUUGAAGCGUUGGGUGCAAGCUUGUUUGUGUUUGCGCACGUACUCUGGACUUGACGAGACCCUCCUUCUGGAUCGAUACCUUGGUUCUCAAACUGAGGGAAAUACUUACUGCUCCUAUGUUGCAUCACCCUUUCCUCUUCAAGGGAAAAACCAACGCAAGCCCAGCCUCUGUCAAUUUCUGGCGCUGUUGUCUGUGGGAUAGCAGAAGGAUUUCUCGCGCCGUUGCCGGGGAGGAAGAUCAAGUCAAGAACUCAUCCAAGUAGGUGUCGCAGACUCAUCUCUUGCAUUUACUUUGUUUGCGAGUUGCCUCUCGUUUUCCUCUCCCCCAUUUCACCAAUUUGCCUUUUUCGUUCGCCUUUUCUUUUGCCCUUUUCUCUCGCUUGCUUUCUGCUCGUCUGUGUGGGAUAGUCUAUCCUGAUGGCUAGAUCCACCACCUCGAACGAUACUCCUCAGAGCGAAGUUCUCAAUUUCAAACAAAUUGAGGGAGAAAACUUAAAGGACGCUUGGUAUAGGAUUUGCAAUGCUUAGAGUAGAUCUACUCAUAAGCAAUCCACUACCGUCUUGGUUCAUAGUUUUUAUGUGGGUAUUUCUCCUUGGAAUAGGUAUAUUCUUGACACCAUCGUAGGUGGAAAUUUCUUGGGUAGCCAUACCGUUGAUUCUUACGGAGCUGUGAUAAAUUGUUGGGGAACGUCGCAUGGGAAACAAAAAGUUUCCUACGCGCACGAAGACCUAUCAUGGUGAUGUCCAUCUACGAGAGGGGAUGUUCGAUCUACGUACCCUUGUAGACCGCACAGCAGAAGCGUUAGUGAACGCGGUUGAUGUAGUGGAACGUCCUCACGUCCCUCGAUCCGCCCCGCGAACCGUCCCGCGAUCAGUCCCACGAUCUAGUGUCGAACGGACGGCACCUCCGCGUUCAGCACACGUACAGCUCAACGAUGAUCUCGGCCUUCUUGAUCCAGCAAGAGAGACGGAGAGGUAGAUGAGUUCUCCGGCAGCGUGACGGAGCUCCGGAGGUCGGUGGUGAUCUUAUCUCAGCAGGGCUCCGCCCGAGCUCCGUGGAAACGCGAUCUAGAGGUGAAACCGUGGAGAUAUGUGGUCGGGCUGCCGUGGCAAAGUUGUUUCAAAUCAGCCCUAAAACCUCUGUAUAUAUAGGGGGAGGAGGGGGAGCCUUGCCUUGGGGUCCAAGGACUCCCAAGGGGGUCGGCUGAGCCAAGGGGGGCAACCCUCCCCUUCCAAACCGAGUCCAACUAGGUUUGGAAGGAGGAGUCCUUCCCCUUUUCCCACCUCCUCCUUUUUUUUCCUUUUCUCUUUGAUUUUCUUCCUAUGGCGCAUAGGGCCUUCUUGGGCUGUCCCACCAGCCCACUAAGGGUUGGUGCGCCACCCCCAAGGCCUAUNAAAACCUUCUGGUAAUCAAAUGAGGUCAUCCUAUAUAUCAAUCUUCGUUUCCGGACCAUUCCGGAAACCCUCGUGACGUCCGUGAUCUCAUCCAGGACUCCGAAAAACAUUCGGUAACCAACCAUAUAACUCAAAUACGCAUAAAACAACGUCGAACCUUAAGUGUGCAGACCCUGCGGGUUCGAGAACUAUGUAGACAUGACCCGAGAGACUCCUCGGUCAAUAUCCAAUAGCGGGACCUGGAUGCCCAUAUUGGAUCCUACAUAUUCUACGAAGAUCUUAUCGCUUGAACAUCAGUGCCAAGGAUUCAUAUAAUCCCGUAUGUCAUUCCCUUUGUCCUUCGGUAUGUUACUUGCCCGAGAUUCGAUCGUCAGUAUCUGCAUACCUAUUUCAAUCUCGUUUACCGGCAAGUCUAUUUACUCGUUCCGUAAUACAAUAUCCCGCAACUUACACUAAGUCACAUUGCUUGCAAGGCUUGUGUGUGAUGUUGUAUUACCGAGUGGGCCCCGAGAUACCUCUCCGUCACACGGAGUGACAAAUCCCAGUCUCGAUCCAUACUAACUCAACUAACACCUUCGGAGAUACCUGUAGAGCAUCUUUAUAGUCAUCCAGUUACGUUGCGACGUUUGAUACACACAAAGCAUUCCUCCGGUGUCAGUGAGUUAUAUGAUCUCAUGGUCAUAGGAACAAAUACUUGACACGCAGAAAACAGUAGCAACAAAAUGACACGAUCAACAUGCUACGUCUAUUAGUUUGGGUCUAGUCCAUCACAUGAUUCUCCUAAUGAUGUGAUCCCGUUAUCAAGUAACAACACUUGCCUAUGGCCAGGAAACCUUGGCCAUCUUUGAUCAAAGAGCUAGUCAACUAGAGGCUUACUAGGGACAGUGUUUUAUCUAUGUAUCCACAUAAGUAUUGUGUUUUCAAUCAAUACAAUUAUAGCAUGGAUAAUAAACGAUUAUCAUGAACAAAGAAAUAUAAUAAUAACUAAUUUAUUAUUGCCUCUAGGGCAUAUUUCCAACAUAAAUUUGAUAGGCUCACCCCACUCAUGGUUAAUGGAACUACCUUAACUCUGGAACAUGUGAUGCGUAGGUUGGACGCUAUUGAAAAUAAAGUUGCUACGAUUGAACUCAUUGAGAAUUUGGACAAAAAGAUCCACAAUCAAAUCACUCAGUACGGAUCCAAGGUGGGAAUGGUUUUGAAAAAUUUAAAGGAGAAGGAACCCACAGUUAACGAAAAUCUAGGUCAUGAUUCCGCUAGGAUUGGCAAACUAGAUGAUGUUAUAACCAACUUGGGUUCCACUUUUGCCGCUCUGCAGAAUACUCCAAAUUUUGCCCACAAUGAAAUCACCAAGUCUGUCUUUGUUCCUAAAAGUAGUGGUGAAUCAUCCAGCAAGAAAGAUGAAAACCUCAAGAUGAUAAGUGAUCACGCCACUUAUGGUUUGAGCACCAAAGACGACGAUACGUGAUUCUAUCGCUUCUAUGCCUAGCUAAGGGCGUUAAACAAUAGCGCUUGUUGGGAGGCAACCCAAUGAAUUUAUCUUUUUCUUUCUGUUUUGUUACGUCCGCACUUUCAUAAUUCUGUUGUGAGUUUUUUUUUGUGUGUUUAAGCCAAGCAAAGCCUUUAUGACUAGUCUUGGUAAUGGUUGUUUGAUCCUGCUGGAAAAAGACAGAAACUUUUCACUCACGAGAUUAUUUUUCAUUUUUAUUCAGAAAUAUAUUUUGAUUUGAUUCUUUUUUCUGCUGAUUGAUAUGCUUUUUCCCCAGGCCGUCGUAAUUCGUCAGAUGUUUUGAGGUACCAGAAGUAUACUAAGUAUACAGAUUGCUACAGACUGGUCUGUUUUUGACAGAUUUUGUUUUUGUUGAGUUGGUUGCUUGUUUUGAUGAAACUAUGGUUAGUAUCGGGGGGUACUAGCCAUUGAAAAGUGAGAAUACAGUAGCCCAUCAUCAAAUAUAGAUGGAAUUCAAGUUUUCUACAGUACCAAAAGAAGUGGUAGUUUGUUUUCUUGUACUAAUGUUAUCACAAGUUUCUGUUUAAGUUUUGUGUUGUGAAGUUUUCAAGUUUUGGGUGAUGUUCUCAUGGACAAAGAGAUAAGGAGUGGAAAGAGUCCAAGCUUGGGGAUGCCCAAGGCAUACCAAGCCAAAUUCAAGGAUACCAAAAAGCCUAAGCUUGGGGAUGCCCCGGGAAGGCAUCCCCUCUUUCGUCUUCAAUCCAUCGGUAACAUUACUUGGAGCUAUAUUUUUAUUCACCACAUGAUAUGUGUUUUGCUUGGAGCGUCUUGUAUCUUAGGAGUAUUUUCUUUUUGUUGUGCCACAAUCAUCCUUGCUGCACACCUUUUUGAGAGAGAUACAUGCACUCAUCAUGAUUUUGCUAGAAUGCUCAUAGUGCUUCACUUAUAUCUUUUGAGCUAGAUACUUUUGCUCUAGUGCUUCACUUAUAUCUUUUGAGCUAGAUACUUUUGCUCUUGUGCUUCACUUAUAUCUUUAGAGCACGGCGGUGCAUGACUUGGUAGUUGGCUUACGCUAUGAAAGUAGUCCCAAAUGUGCUAGGUACCCAAAGAGGAUGCAAAAACCUCCAUCUUCAUGUGCAUUGAGUAGUAAGAGAAGUUUCGAUUCCUCAAUUAGUUUUGAGACGUGGAUUCGGUAAUAUUGAGAGUUAUGUUAGUAGGGUGUUGUGAAUCUAGAAAUACUUGUGUUGAAGUUAAUGAUUCCCGUAGCAAUGACGUAUGGUGAACCGCUAUGUUAGGAAGUCGGAGCAUAAUUGAUCUAUUGAUUGUCAUCCUUUGUGUUGAGGUCGGGAUCGCGCGAUGCUUUACACCUACCAACCCUUCCCCUCGGAGUAUGCGUUUAGCACUUUGUUUCGAUCACUAAUAAAAACUUUCGCAAUAAGUAUGUGAGUUCUUCAUGACUAAUGUGAGUCCAUGGUAUAGAUGCACUUUCACCUUCCACCAUUGCUAGCCUCUCUAGUGCUGCGCAAUUCUCGCCGGUGCACAAACCCACCAAAUUCCUUCCUCAAAACAGUCACCAUACCUACCUACUAUGGCAUUUUCAUAGCCAUUCCGAGAUAUAUUGCCAUGCAACUCCCACUGUUCCGUCUCAUGACUUGUGUCGUCACUCUCAUAUUGCCAUUGCAUGAUCGUAAGAUAGAUAGCGAGAUGUUUCAACGUCAUACGCCAUGCUAGAUCGUUGCACAUCCCGGUACACUAUCGGAGGCAUUUCCUAUGGAGUUAUCAUCAUUGUGAUCUUUGACUGUGAGUAAAUAAAAGUGUGAUGAUCAUCAUUAUUAGAGCAUUGUCCCAUGUGAGGAAAUAAAAUAAAAAGAGGCCAAAAACAAAACAAAACAAAACAAAACAAAUAAAAGAAAAGAAAAAAAGAGGCCUAAUAGCCCAAAUGAAAAAAAAGAAAAAGAGAGAAGGGACAAUGCUACUAUCUUUUUCCACACUUGUGCUUCAUGAUAGCACCAUGUUCUUCACGAUUGAGAGCUUCUUGCUUUGUCACUACCAUAUGCUAGUGGGAAUCUUCGUUUUAUAACUUGGCUUGUAUAUUCCAAUGAUGGGCUUCCUCAAAAUUGCCCUAGGUCUUCAUGAGCAAGCAAGUUGGAUGCACACCCACUAGUUUUCCUCUUGAGCUUUCACAUUCUUAUAGCUCUAGUGCAUCUCUUGUAUGGCAAUCCCUACUCAUUCACAUUGAUAUCUUUCAAUGGGCAUCUCCACAGCCUAUUGAUACUCCGAGUCAAUGUGACCAUCUCCUCUUUUUUGUCUCACAACCACCACCACACUCUAUUCCACCUAUAGUGCUAUAUCCAUGGCUCGCGCUCAUGUAUUGCGUGAUAGUUAUAAAAGGUUUGAGAAAGUAAGAGUGCGAAAACAAUUACUUGGUCAAUUCCGGGGUUGUGCAUGAUUUACAUUAGUUGUGUGAGGAUGAUGGAGCAUAGCCAGACUAUAUGAUUUUGUAGGGAUAACUUUCUUUGGCCUUGUUAUUUCAAAAGUUCAUGAUUACUUUGCUAGUUUGCUUGAAGUAUUACUGUUUUCAUGUCAAUAGCAAACUAUUAUUUUGAAUCUUACGGAUCUGAAUAUUCAUGUCAUGUUAAAGGAGUUGGAAAGGACAACUAUGCUAGGUAGCAUUCCACAUCAAAAACUCAUUCUUUAUCACUUCCCUACUCGAGGACGAGCAGGAGUUAAGCUUGGGGAUGAUUGAUACGUCUCCAACGUAUCUACACUUUUUUAUGGUUUCAUGCUAUUAUCUUGUCAAACUUUGGAUGUUUUGUAUGCCUUUUACAUAUAUUUUUGGGACUAACUUAUUAACUCAGUGCCAAGUGCCAGUUCCUGUUUUUUUUCCAUGUUUUGACCCCUUUCAGAGGAGAUUUUGAAACGGAGUCCAAACGGAAGAAAAUCCCCGAAAAGAUUUUUUUGGAACGGAAGAAGAUCAGAGAACUUGGGAGCCAAGGCAGGGAAGCCCCAGGGGGCCCACAAGCCCCCACCCCGUGGCCAGGGGGCCGCGCCAUCCAGGCUUGUGGGCCCCUUGGAGGUCCCCGUCCCCUGACCUAGGUCUUUCGCCUAUAUAAUCCCAUAAAUUCCAGAAAAAAUCAAGAGAUCAUCAUAAUCGCUUUUCCGUCGCCGCAAGCUUCUGUCUCCGCAAGAUCCUAUCUGGGGCACGUCCUGGUGCCCUGCUGGAGGGGGAUUCGGACACAGAGGGCUUCUUUAUCAACAACAUGACCUCUCCGGUGAUGCGUGAGUAGUUCACCAUAGACCUACGGGUCCAUAGCUAGUAACUAGAUGGCUUCUUCUCUCUCUUGGAUCUUUAAUACAAAGUUCUCCAUGAUCUUCAUGGAGAUCUAUCCGAUGUAAUCUUCUUUGGCGGUGUGUUUGUUGAGAUCCGAUGAAUUGUGGAUUUAUGAUCCGAUUAUCUAUGACUCUUAUUUGAGUUUAUUUUGAUCUCUCUUAUGCAUUAUUUCAUAUCCUUGUAAUUCUCUUCGAGUUGUGGGUUUUGUUUGGCCAACUAGAUCUAUGAUUCUUGUAAAGGGAGAAGUGCUUGAUUUUGGGUUCAUACCAUGCGGUGACCUCAACCAGUGACAGAAGGGGUAGCGAGGCACGCAUCAUGUUGUUGCCAUCAAGGGUGAAAAGAUGGGAUUUUCAUCAUUGGUUUGAGAUUAUCCCUCUACAUCAUGUCAUCUUGCUUAAAGCGUUACUUUUUUCGUCAUGAACUCAAUACACUAGAUGCAUGCUCGAUAGCGGUCGAUAUGUGGAGUAAUAGUAGUAGAUGCAGAAAGUAUCGGUCUACUUGUCUCGGACGUGAUGCCUAUAUGAAUGAUCAUUGCCUUAGAUAUCGUCAUGACUUUGCGCGGUUCUAUCAAUUGCUCGACAAUAAUUUGUUCACCCACCGUAAUACUUGCUAUUUUGAGAGAAGCCUCUAGUGAACACUAUGGCCCCAGGGUCUACUCCACACCAUAUUUUCAGCCUUACAGUUUCUACUUCGUUGCACGUUCCGCCUUCGGAUCUCACUUUGCAAACAAACUUGAAGGGAUUGACAACCCCUUUGAAGCGUUGGAUGCAAGCUUGUUUGUGUUUGCGCAGGUACUCUAGACUUGACGAGACCCUCCUUCUGGAUCGAUACCUUGGUUCUCAAACUGAGGGAAAUACUUACUGCUCCUGUUCUGCAUCACCCUUUCCUCUUCAAGGGAAAAACCAACGCAAGCCCAGCCUUUGUCAACGUGUCAAUUUCUGGCGAUGUUGUCUGUGGGAUAGCACGGCGCAGCCCCCGCUCCCACCCACGUGUCGUGCCGACGCCCCUUUACUGCCCUUUCCAUGUUUCCCGAUUCCCGCUCGCAGCCCCCGCUCCGCUCCCACCCACAUGCCGUGUCGCCCUUUCCCGCCCAACGUGUCGUGUCGCCCUUUCCCGCCCGACGCCCUUUCCCGCCCAACGCCCGCACGGCCACUCCCCAGUCCCCCCGCUCCUUCGCUGGCUAAUCGUGUCGGGUCGUGCCAGCACGCGGGCUCGGGGUGGCAGCCCGGGCACGGCCCACGGCGUGCUUGUGCCUGGCUCGAGCACGAUUAGCCCGUGUUGGGCCCGGCCCGUGUCGUGCCUGGCCUGUGGGCAGUCGGGCCGGCCCGCGUGGCACGGCCCGUUUGGCCAGGUAUGGUGUGACUCAUUGGGUUGUACGGUGCCGGCUCCAGUAGACCAUAUAUGUUUUGAGGCCGACCCAGUCGACUCAUUGACCUUGACUUUUUCGGUCGGGUCAGUGACCCAGCGGGCCGACCCGACACAUUCCCAUCCUGACAUAUGAAUGACAAUCAGUUACUUUUUUCACUCCGUUUUUUUCAUGCAUGCGAUGACAUAUGAAUGACAAAGUUAGUUUACGACUUUGUAUAAAAAUAAAGGUAGUAGUACAACUAGAAUGUGGAUGAAGGUUCCAAUCUGCUGCUGCACGCACGCUAUCGUGCUACCUGAUGGACCAACGGACGGACGGCGAGUUAAGCACGAAGUACCAAAUGUACGCCGUGUGAUUGAUCACUGAUGGGCCUGCGCGGCGCUUGCAUGCAGCCAUGCAACAGGAGCGAGCAAAGCAAGCAAGCUGCAAGAUUCGCCACGCCGCUCCUCUCGGUGUGUUUGUUUGCUGGCUUAAUGAAUGAAGAAUGAAUGUGGUUCAGAGUUUGGGGCUGUCAGUACGAGAAGCUUCUCUCCCUGACCUACCCUCUGAGCCACUCCGGAGCUACAGUGCGUGUCCUAUACCCUGUCGGCGCCGCCAUGCCAUGCUCAAUUCUACCCCUUUGUUUUUGUUUUUUUGCUCCUUCAUUAACCCAACUGCUUAUUAGAAUAGCGUCAACUGAAUAAACAAACCGGUGCCAUGUUCCGGAGCACUGCGCUAUAGAAGCAGGACACCGUGCCUUGCGCCACAGAGAAGCAGCCAAGAUAGAACGCAGUCCCCCAUUGUUCAUGUUGAUCUGCAUUCCAAGGACACACGUCUCUACCAGGGUCCAUGGGACGAUGCUACAGUAGAGUUUGAUGGCCUGAGGUCAUUCCAAGAAGGCAAGAACACACGUCUCCUUCAGUAACCCCCAUGAUGGUGAGAAGAACACGUGGAAGAGGGCCUCGAGAAGGAAAAAUCAAAGUCCAUUCCAUAAUGCAGUUUGCUUUUGGUUUUCGAGGUUGAAGUUUGACCAUAAAUUUAACCAACGUGGACGAAUGCGGCGGAAACAAAAAUUAUGUCAUCGAAUCCGUAUUCGAAAGAAGUACCCGUGUUGGUUCAGUUUAUGGUUAAAUUCAAAUCUUAGAAAACGCAGACACGCCACAUUAUGAAAUGAAUGGAGUGCUGGUAGUGUACUGCCGCCUGCACCGGAUGAGAGCUACUGCUGCUGUAGCUGCUAGCCUUUUUGAAUGGAUGAAAGACGGACGACGAGUUGAGCAUAAGCAUCCAAAGCAACGUGAAUGAGUGAUCCAUCGUCGCGAAACUCAUGGGCCGGCACGGCGAGGCGCAUGCAACCAAGCAAGAUUCCCACCACCUGCUUGCACUUGCCGACCGUGUUCGUUGAAGAAAGAAGCGAGAAUGAUUCAGAGCAGCAGUAGUGCUACAGUACAAGCCCAGGAUAAUAAUAAGUGAUGAGCGGCCUGUUGCCGCCGGCCGCCGGGGUAGGUGUUACUAUGUGGGGCUGUCAGGAUGAGAAGCUUCUCUCCCUGCACCUGCCCUACCCUCACCCAGUUGGUGCCGCCAUGCCCUUCUCUGCCCUACCCAGCCCGGUUUUCUUUUGACUGCUUCACUAGCCCAUUGUGUAAUGCAUGCCAACUAAUUACUGAUUCUAUUUCAAAAUACAGAAUAAGUGUCGUUGAUUUGAUAUAAAAUUUAUAUUAACUUAGCAUCAAGUAUGCGACAUUUAAUUUAAAACAGAGGGAUCAAAUUAAUCUGACAGUGAUUGAUAGAUAAAAUGCAGAGUAAAUAAAAAGUAAGUAAAGUACAGGAAAAUAAAUGAAGCAUCGGUAAACAUAUGAAAUAGACCCGAGGGCCAUGUCGAGUCGACUGCUCCUGCCCUAGAAGCCAAGGUCCCCCUGUGAUGGGUUAAGGUUGGAUGGAUUAGAAAGAAGAAGCCAAGAAUCCACACACUGCCAUUGGAACUACGCCAAGAGCACACGUUUCCUUGUGCUACAUGACCAUGCAAACAAACACAUAGAAACGCGGCAUACAAAAUAGUAAAACCAUUUCCGACCUGACCAGUUUUCCCUUUACUCCUCUAUCUAUAGCCGCAAUGUACAAAUAUUAUCUCUCACUCGUCAACAAACACGCCCUACCAGUAUCCGAGUGUGUCCAUUUUGAUACCUCAUUUUGGCUUACAGACAACCAUAGCCCCUACCUUGACGCCUCACCUUUUCCAGACAUUUGAUCGAGCACGUUGUGGAAGACAUCACCAGAGCUUGAAAAGAAGAAGCCAAUUUUAUUUUUCCAUAAACAUGGUACUCACAUCAAAGUACUUAUAGAGACACUUAUUAUAUACACAGGCGUACACACAUCCUUGCACAAACGCACAUAACCAUUAUGAGCAUAUGGGCAUCUGUGACAAGUCUGAAACUUAAUCUUGAAUGAGUUAGUUCCACCAUAUAAUGGACUUAUCCAUCCGAGGUACGCACAGUUUGAAGGAAACCAAUAUUUCAGUCACCCCAUUAUGCAAAGAAAAACAUGGAGGGGUGCACAAAUAUAUUUGUACAAUGGAAAAAAGAAAACGAAAAAUGCUCGUCAAGGCGUCUGGUUGUCACGGGCUAACAAACAAAGCCUGGCCCGCCUACCAAAAUGAUAAGCCCAUUUUGGUAGUAUUAGGGAUUGUAAACUGGGCCACCUGCGCCGCGAUCCAGCAGUUAUGCUUCGGCACUUUUUUAAAAAAAGAAUGUCUUGUGAUCAAUAAAGGCCAAGAUAUUUAACUUAAAAUCUUGUCAAACAAAUUUAACUCAGAAACAUUGUUCCUAUGACACAUGUUUUCAACGAAUAAAGCAGACAAGAUUCUCACWAAAAAAAAAACUCAGAAACAACUAAAAAGGAUUGAACUCCAAAAAUAACAAUGAUGCAUGCUCUUCAUUCCUUGAAAAAGAGGAAUCCAUAUAUUAAUUAAUUGACCAAAUGUAUGUAUCAUCUUGCCAUAUGUUCUUGACUUCAAAAUAAAUUUCUUCCCUGAAAAAUAAAUAAUUAAGUAAUAAUAAUGGUACUGCAUGUUCUUCAAUUUCACGAACCAGAUGAAAAAAAGGUUGGAUGAUUAUGAGGAAACUGGUAUCCGCAUCCCACUAGGGGUCAAGUCUUAGACUUGGCAUUGAUGUUCGUAUUUUUCUGAAUUUUUUCCAAACUUUCUGGCAAUGUUCGUUCAGUGAAAGAAGACGUUCUAUAGUGACUUCGUAAAUUUCAAGACAAUAUGACAGCUUAGUCUCUCGAAUGUGUUCAUGCUUGCGUGCGUUAAUACGAUGAGUGUAUGCUCGUGUAUGUGAACAACUUCGAUUGUAUUGUCUUAAAGAAAUACCUAUGUUUAAAAUUUAGAAUAACCAGAUGAUCAAAUAGGUUAUCCCCACGACGGAAUGUGCCAACCAGGCAAGGCAUGGAAGUAAUGAACCGAACCGGAGUGCUCUACCUAACAUGUAACAUGCACCCUUUCUCUCGUGCACCAUCAAUUGAUUGCGUUGUUUGGUGCUCCUAGCUAGCUACUCCUACUCGUUUGGUGGCAGAAAAUAAAAGCGUACAUACCUUUCCUUGCCUUGUGUCUGUGGACGAGGCCAUAGAAUGUGGUCGUCCUCUCCUAAAGGUGGCACGCGCAACCAAAAAAUGUGUACCGGUGGUAGCAUCUCAAAUUGACAACUUUACGCUUUUGUGCAAAAAGAAAGUGAGCAGAAGGGCAGGACAUUCUUGGCACCUGCUCCGCUCCGGGGCAUUUGCUGCAUUUCGGCAAGAAUUACGGCCGUGGAAAUCCGAAAACUUUCUGAUGGACAAUAUUGAGUUUCAAAAUGUUCGAAGUUUCUAGUGAUAUGCGAACCUUCGACUAACGAGGUUUUGUAUCCCUUGUUUUGUGUCUGGAUCUCGUCGUGGUUUCAAAUAUUGGAAAUUUGUAUUAAUAUGUGAAAAUGUCAACUAUAUCGCCACCCUCUUGUGUACGUGUCGACUCUGCUCCUUGCAUUCAGUGGAAAGCCGCAGAUCACCAAACACACACAAGCUGAGAUGACUGAUGACCAAGGCUUUGGAGAAGUGCACGAGCCACCCGGCCAAACAAGUGAGAACACCAGAUCGACAAACAUGCUCUAGAUCGAGGAAGAACACCGAUUGGGAGCAUGCGAAGAAGGAAACGAGGGACAUGAUGAACUUGGUUGACACCCUCAUCGUCGCCACCCCUUUAAAAGACAUGCAAGAACGACGGAUGGCAAUCCGCAAGGUCGAGAACCGUGGAUCUAUUCGAUUCACAUGCCAAAACAUCAUUUCCUCUGUUUUUACCCGGUUUUUCAGUUAAUUAACUAGUCAAUUCUCUUCUUCUGAAUUAAUUAUUGAGCCAAAUAUUUUUGCCUCCGUUUCAAAAAGAAAAACAUCAUAGCCUCCCCGAUGCACAUAGUAAUGUGUGAUGUAUCUUGAUGAAUGAUGGAGUGACAUUAUUGAACACUCGUUGAAAUGUGGUCCUGCGGUGGGAGAGGGUGAGGCGUGACAUUCUUUCCUUCUCAUCUCAUGGUACUUCCUCCAUUCCCUAAAUAUAAGUCUUUGUAAAGAUUCCACCAGUAGACUAGAUACGGAUGUAUAUAGGCAUAUUUUAGAGUGUAGAUUCACUCAUUUUGCUUCGUAUGUAGACUCCUAGUGAAAUCGCUUAAAAAACUUAUAUUUAGGAACGGAGGGAGUAGUUGUUAUCCUGUUGGCAAAAAGAAACUGAGCAUAAACUUUCAGUUCGAAAAGCGUCCAACCACAAAAUAUGAUAUGCACUGUUAUUUGCUCCGGGUAUUCUCGAGGCCAGUAAGACACACCUACACGCGCCAAAAGUGAUGCGCGGAACAAAUAAUCCAUCCACUGACCAAAAUUUAUAAAAAGCUUAAAGUUUUAUUUAUUCUUUUGCAAAACAAAAGGGGAGAGCAGCUCGCGGCAGAGCAACCGGAGCAUGACACGGUCGAGAGCUAGCUGUGCGCCCUCAUCUAGACGAUUAGUCAAAGAGAGUACGUACACGGUACACAACUACUAUUCCAAAGGUGGUCACUUUGGUUUUUUUUUUUUMUUGCGACCAAGCAUAGGGUUUUUAUGCCAUAAUAACAGAGUUACAAUCUUCAGAGACUAAAUCGCUAAUGCAUGGGGGAGGAUUGCCCAGCCAACAGGCUGUGCUAUCGUCAUAUCUAUCAUAGUUCGCUAGUUAACAAUGUGCAACUCCAUUUUGUUCUCGAAGAAUUUUGACGGGAAUAACCACCCAAGUGCUGAAGUAAAAUUUGAUCUCCGAAACCAAAUGGCCGGACCGAACGCAUCGAGUCCCACAAGAGAGCAGUCGUAGGACACGCGAGCGGGACAUUCUAUGUCCCGGUCAAAUAGACUACAGUACGCAGAAUUUCCAAUGUGUCUCCUGAAUUUCUCUGCAUUAGUUGGAAGUGAGCCAAGCAAAGUGUCGCAUCUUGGGAGGGAAAGCCGCGCCCAAGAUCAACUUCCGUAUGGGGCGCACCCCCAGAGGUGAGGAACUAGACGCCCCUAUACCCUCAUGAUCGCUGGUCAUUACAAAGUUAUACACACUCUUCACAGUCAGGUUGUCCGAUCUAUCCCAUGGCCAAGAGAUGAAAUCCUCCUGUUGCCGCGGCUUGUUAAUUGUAUCGGUUUCCCUAAAGCACAUUCAGACGUGACAUAAAUCUUACACAUAUAAGUUCAAACAUCAUUAUUGGUAGGUAAAGAUUCGUAUGAGUAAUUUUUUUUUAAUAGUAGUACAUGAUUCAACCAUUUAAAUGCGUAAUAAAUAUGUCGUAUCUAUAUGCACCACGUACCCUAGAAAACACCCUAAUUGUAUAUUCAGAAGAAAUGAAACGUUCCACAGUCCAAAAGAGUAUGCUUCUUUGUGCAGAAAAGUGGCACGCAGCUUAGCUUGACUUUGCCCCGCUGGAACAGACUUAUUUAUCAUCAGUCCUGUCCGUUUCACCUUGCCACGUGCGCAUGCAUGCAACCUACUGUAUGUGUGUAACUGUACAUACAUAUAUUUUUUUAAGAUAUAUACACAGUACCAUAUACUCCCUCCGUUUCUAAAUAUAAGUUUUUUUAAAAGUUUCACUAAAAGACUACGUACGAAGCAAAAUAAGUGAAUCUAUACUCUAAAAUAUGUCUAUAUACAUUCCUAUGUAGUCCCCCGAUGAAAACUUUAAAAAGACUUAUAAUUGGGACGGAGGGAGUACUUGCAGACACGUAUCUUAUCACCAUGAUGAUGCGUGGUCGUCCUUGCCUAGGUACGUACGUACGUCUGCACGGCUGGAAGGAUUGGAAACCACGGCGGUCGACGGACAGCGACGCCGCAACCGCAUCCACCGAUACACAUAUAUAUCCAACGACCGCGACCCCUCGAUCCCAGACGUCGACACGUCUCCCUCCACGCGCGCGCGCACACACACUCACAUUUUUGCAUCGACCGUCCAAUCGCUUUUCGACGUGAUGGGCACAAUCGGAUGAAAAUGCUACCGAGCUUUAGCUGAAGAAGAUGAGAUAGCGUGUGCAUGCAUGUACUACCGGCCGGUGCAACGCAUGUGCGGAUGCACAAUUAAUGUGUUAACAGUGCCUAACCAGCUAGUGUCUAGUUAGUCAAUGUACCUAACACACGGGUUGGUUAGGUUCCAUACAUACAUUUGAGAAACGAGAUAUGAAAAGCAGCAGCAGUUGAGCACCAUGAGUUGGUGAUCAUCGGGAGAGAAGGAUGCAUACAUACGUGCCGAUCGGAAAAGAGGAUUCAAGUGAGAGUAAUCAGAGACAUAUAUCAUAUCAGUAUCAUAGUCUGAUCGAUGAACAAUUUUUUGCUUCCUUUCCUACGAUUGACCAAAGUAAAAAAACACAACGUAAGUAAGUACAUGCAUAUGCACGGCAAGAACGAUCGAUGAACCACAUGGAGGACAUGAACACAGCACGAAUGAGAAAUCAACGAAAAGAAAAAAUUAUUACCGCCGGCGUCGCGACCCUAAUACGUAUAAACUUACUUAUUAUUAUGAACACGGAAUCAACGGAAUCCAAUUGAAACGUACGCAUGCCCGCGCGCUUUUGAUCGCCAUGGUGACCACGGCGGCCGGCUCCAUGGACCGACAGGCCGGUGCAGCAGGUAGCUCCNUGUGACGACCGAUCACAAGGCCAGUGCUCCGGCGACCGCCACGGCCGCGAUCGCGGCCGCGCGCCACGCCGCCGGGAUGCCCGGCGCGGCGUUGGGCCGGAAGCCGGGGUCCUGCGGGUAGAGCGGCCCCGGCGGGGUGAGGUAGGACGGCAUGUUGGGCGGCGUGAACCACCCGGACGGCGUCGGGUUGUACCCGCCCCCGGACGGCGCCGGGUUGUACCCACCCCCGGACGGCGUCGGGGUGUAUGGCGCGGGCGUGUACCCCGGCGACGGCUCGGUGGGAGGCGGGGGGCAGUCGGCCGUGGGCGUGGGCGGCGGGUAGACGGCCUCGGGCGGGGGCGGGGAGUACACGGGCGCCGGCGGCGGGUAGUAGACGGGCGGGGGCAGCACGGGCUCCGGCGGCGGCGGGCUGGAGUAUGUGCACGGGAUGCCGCACGGGUUCCCGCACCCGCCCGUGCACUUCUCGCCGCCGUCGUCCGCCACCGCAACCAUCACCAGCGCCGCCAGCAGCAGCAGCCCGCACGGCUCCACCGUCCACCUCGCCAUGGCACCGAAAGCAAGAAAAGCUCGCUCGUCUUCCUCCGCCUCUCCUUUUGUGUGUGUGUGCUCGGGGUUGGUCUCCUGCUCUCGGUGGGGAAUUUGUGUGGGUUAUAAUGGUCGGCCUCCCUCUCCGCUUUAGCGGUUCGGCUUUGCGGUGGAGGCCGGUCGUCGUCGUCGUCUCGUCUUCUUUUCCUCUGCCCUGAGUGUGUGUGUGUGUGUAUUCUAGCAGCAGGUACAAACCAAGCGGCAGAAUAUUGUUCUGGUGGCUACUAACUACUGCCAGUACCAAGUUAAGCAUGCUGCAUUACAUUAUACUCCUCCUACUACUACCGACUUCCUAAUCAUGUCGUGGAUGAUGGACCAAUGCUCGUUCACGUCCUUGCAUAAAAAAGAAAGAAAGAAAGGUGACGUGAUUCAAACGGCUCCAUCCUCUUCUCUGCUCUGCAUGAUUAUCUCGGAGGGUGUUUGUUUCCACGGACUUAUUGGUUUUGGGACUUAAAAAAGUCCCUAUAAGUCCCGCCUAAACCAAACACAAGGGACUUAUUGGGACUUAUUAUGGUGAUUUGGGACUUAUCAAAUAAGACUCUCUAGUAGGAGCUUAUUGGGACUUAUUGCUCGUUAGCCCGCGAAAAAACGUCUUCCGCAUCGAUCGAGUGGCCGCCGCCCUACCCCUCGUCGCUCGCACCGCCCUACCCCUCGUCGCUCGCAGGCCCCAAUCGCCGCCGCCCCACCGCCACGUCGCUGUCCGCCCCGUCGCCGCCCGUUCGCCGCCCCGUCGUCCCGUUUUCUGCCUCGGUUCGUNCAUCGCUGGAGUUUUUUGGUCCGCAUGGAUAUGUGAACAAGUGUAUUUUAUUGGGUGCAACAUGAACUUAUAAGUCCCUGUAAACAAACAGAUAGGGACUUAUGACUUAUAAGUUGGGACUUAAAAAAGUCUUAGGACUUAUGAAACAAACAAGGCCUCAGUCGAUCGAUCCUACCAUACAAGCCCUACCAGCCUACCACCACUAGAAAGAAAAAAGAAAGAACACACAUCUUUCUCUGCAUCUUUUAUUUUCUAGCUAGUCGGCCGCUGAAAGCCUGAAAGUGACCGGAAUGUUUUUCAUUUCUUUCGUGCGUGUGUGUGUGUCUAUCUAUGUAUCGGUAGGCACGGAACAAUAUGUGCUUGGAAUAAAUCGGAGUUUCCAAGUGCCGGAUGGAUGGAUAGAAACUGCUUCUGCUACGUGGUGCUACUUUUUGAAUUUAUUCUUGAGCAGGGACUACAGAUUUAUUCUGCUCCUGCCAUGUCGGCGGUUAGUGGGUCUUGAGAACGUUGAGACGCGCCUAAUCAUCUUCGUCUUCUGCCCUUGUUUUUCUCUUUGGUGAUAGCGAGAGAUUUGGUUGAGGCCUUGACGCGUCAGUGAUGUCCGUUCUGAAAACCCUCCUACAAGUGAUGAGUAACUCCCUGCCAAAUGGCAGGUUCUUGAUGUGGCUCCUAAAUUACUUCAGUUUCUUUCUUUUUCAGUUACUCUGCCUUUCUGACACAAGGUUAUUGUGCACUACUGUGAACCCCCACAGCAAUCAUCUUCAUCUUGUGCUGGUUUAUUCCUUGGUGAUGACAUUGAGAUGUUUGGUUUGAAGCAUUGACGCUUCGGUGAUGCUGGCCAUAUGGAAAGGUUUCUUUCUUUCUUUCUUGGAAAGGUUUGUAGUAGCUUUAAUUGCAGCAAUUGAUACUCAUAUUCAGUUCUACCUACAUUCGUGUUUCUUCAGGAAAUGAAGCAGUAGGAAAUUAUUCACAGGCACCAGUAACCGUAGGUUCAGUACUACUUCAUUCUUAAUAAAAUGGCUGCAUGCAUCACUCGAUGCAGAGGCCGGGGCGAUGCCUGCUUUUCGAAAAAAAAAACCGUAGGUUCAGUACUGAUCUUUCUACUUCUUCACUUACUUUGGCCGCAACAGAAAAUAAAUGAAUGAACCCAGGAACUGACCAAGCAUGGGCUUGUGCUCUGAAAGACUGUUUGGUCAUUGCCAUGUGUGACAGCACCACAAGGUGAUAGUACUAGCGUCCAACAGUGCUGCCAAGACUUGAUUAACAUUCUCAAGCAAGAAUAUAUGCAUGUUCCAGAAUCCAGGCCAUGCAUCUCAACAUCUGAUAAAGCACCAAUCAUACAUACACAGAUCCAAAUGGUACUACUCCAUGUGUAUUAUCAGGUCUAACAGAGCCCCAGCAUCCAUCCAGUUGCAGCGAAAAGAACAAAAUCAAUCAGAAAAAGAAGAAGAUGAUGCGAAAAGGAGGAACCCAACCGAUCCCUUUUAGAUUGUUUGUUCGUAGCCUAUUGAACUGGAAUUAAGACCUACGAUUACAUACAUAUGUAGAGUAUAUCAUAUGAGAUUUAGACAUCAGCACAACGGUGGAACUGAAUCUCCUGAUGAACUCGCGCCUACAGUACAUCCGUCAGACAGAAUCACUGCUGCAGGAGCAGCAAGAAAGCAGAGCACACGGCGGCCACAGCCAGCCAUGGGGCCGUUCUAGUGGGUCUCGCCGUCGCUGCCGCCGCGAGGAACCCCGCGUCCUGGGGGAACCCCGACCUCGGCGUCGGCGUCGACGACGGCUGCUGCUCCCAGGGGAAGGGCCCGAUCGCCGGCGGCCUCUGCGGGCAGAAGGGGAACUGCGUCGGCGACGUCACCGUCGGCGGCGUGCCCGGGACGGGGCACGGCGGCACGCACUGCGGGCCCGUGCACAGGCACACCGUGCCGUUGCCACCGUCCGCCCGCGCGCCGUCCGCCGACAGCAGCAACAACCACAUCCACGCGCCCGCGACGAGCAUGACCGCCGCCCGCGGAGACGACGGCAUCGUCAGCCGCUCGCCGGCCGCCGCUUCCCCGGUCGGAAUCUUCUUUUUGGGUGACGGUGGGUGGGUGGGUGGGUGGGUGGAGGCGGCACCGCUGUAGCAGCGAUGAGCGUGGUGCGGCUGGAGGCUGGGGGCGUCCCUACCCUGCCACGCCCGAUUGGUUAAGUAGCGGUGGAGAUAGAGACGUGACGUCCCGUCCAUGGCCACGGUGAAACCACCGCGACCGGAUAACAACGGCGGUGACGACCGCCAUUAGCGAGGGUCAUGCGGGUUUCCAAUUAAGCUCGGGUGAGGUUGCGACGUCGCGAUCGUCGCCGGGCGUCGGUGCGAUCAACGGUACAGAAGUUGAAAGAUGAGACCUUUGGCUUUGGGCAGCUAGUGCCUAGUGGUGGCGAGUGACAACAACGAUGGUGACAUCCGUCCAUGGAAAAGAAGCGUUUGCUUCUUCACUGAACUGAACUUGUGAAGUGUGCUGCAGACGUUAGUUAGUUAGCUAGUUAGUUAAUUACAGGUGCUGUUCACAAGACGUCAGUACAUCUUCAGUUAAUGUCAGCAUACAUACAUACAUCGAUGAUGGAUCACUUCAGUUGACAGGUACUAGUAGUAAGUAAGCAAGCAAGUAAAGGAGGGAGUGACAAGUGUGCCAACACUGUCCAGUAACCUCCCUCUCAAUCAUCUUAUCCGUGGAUAGGAUACGCUACUGACUGUCUGGUCAGUUUCAGUUAGAAUCGGGUACAUGAACUGCUGUUGCCUGUUGCUUCACUGCUGCUCGACCAUCCUUCCUCCUCGUUGAAGCAGCAAGCAAGGUCCCCUUUCCGAAUCAUGGCAUCCUGCAUGAUCCCACUGCAUGAUCUGCCUGCCUCCCUGAAAUCAUGCAUGCGGCUUACUCACUGCAGGCAAGGAGUUUGGAGCGUUUUGCAAGAUGGUUUCAGGGUACAGCGGUGGAGAGAGGAGGGGUGUGGGUGGAUGGGGACUGCGCACCAAAUCCCACGACUGCUUUGGCUUGACCCUGAUCGCAGGCUAUUGAUUGAAAUAAAUAAAGCCAAGUGGGCAGCAACAACAACUGGAAGGCAGCAAGCACUUUUGGUCUGGCCCUAUCCUUCCUUCCUGUCUUCAGUCCUUCCCUCACGAACAACCUGAUUUCCUCUCUUCUUCUUUUUUUGCCUUAUUAUUCAAGAGUACCCCUGCUUCUCAAUUCGCAUGGUGUUGUAGAUGUUCUCUGACUCCCCCCCACAGAUUACAACCGUCGAUGUCAACAUGAAACACUAAGAAACUGUGCUUGCCUGUGUCAGCUUUUGGUUCUAACUACUGUACCUGCUUGGCAUGGAACAGAUUGGGUGAAGUAAACCAUGGAGGUCAGGUGGCUGCACAUCACAGGUUGUUGCCAUGUGACCAUCGGUAAAAAGAUUUGUCAUGUCGACGGGUCUGAUCCUGUUCUCAACUUCUUCUUCCACAACAAAGUCUUGCUAUGAUACUUUGGAGGAGUUUCUCUUUGGGAGUGACUAAUGAACAGUCGUCUGUUUUUAAAUUCAUGUCAGGUCGUUUUUUGUUCCAAUAGCUGAUUGACACGUGUCUAAGUAUGGUUCUAACUACUGUACCUUUUUUUUAAGAAAAGGGGGAUUACCUCCGGCCUCUGCAUCAGUCUAUCUUCUGUACCUGCUUGGCAUGGAACAGAUUGGGUGAAGUAAACCAUGGUGGUCAGGUGGCUGCACAUCACAUGUUGUUGCCAUGUGACCAUCGGUAAAAAAGAUUUAUCAUGUCGACGGGUCUGAUCCUGUUCUCAACUUCUUCUUCCACAACAACAUCUUGCUACUUCCAGAUGAUACUUUGGAGGAGUUUCUCUUUUCCAGAUGAUGAAGUGUGUACGUUCCUACUUCUUAUGGUGGUGAUUCUCGGUUCUGCCGAAAAGAAGACAUGGCCACAUGGGCCAGGUAUCAAAAGAUUCCAUAAGACGACUACAGAGGCAUGCUUGAAAAUUUCUAAUAUAUCCUUCAUUUCUAAGGGAAUUUAGGGACCAUCGAGUAAACUUUUUGUAAACUAAGCAAAAUGUUUGUUAUUAUUUAUUUUUUAACUAUAUGUGAGUUGCCUAGUUAAUUACUAUAAAAUUGUCGAGUCAUACAACAAAUACAUCACGACAAACUUUAACAUGCUCCCUCUAACACCCUCUUUUUAUAUGUGAUGUAAAAAAGGUAAGAGUUAAUCAGACCACUAACUAAUAAGAUCAUGUGAAAACAGGGGGUAAGAGGGAACAUGUUAAAACUGGUCAUACAUCAGAAAGAUUGAUGUGAAUAAAAAAUCAUUCUUAAACAUGUCAAAGUUGCACAUUGGUCUCACCAUCAUCACUUCCCACCAAGCGCCAAACCCUGAUAAACAAAGUCAACACAAUAAUAAGCCACACAAAAAACGUUUCCAAGCAACCAGCCACACAUUUCGACGACAAUGCAACUCAGAUUAUGUUGCAACCUUCACGAGGGAUACGCAAAGGAACAGAUCACCCGGUAGCCUAGAUCGUCACCACUCGCAGCCACCACAACAGCUCCGACUUCAUAACAUCAAGCACCAAGACAAUCUUGGCCCAUGUCUUAUGUUGUAUUUUGCUUUCCUCGCUUUUGCUGACCGCUUCGUGUAAAUACUGUGAAGCCUCCUUUCUUACUCUAAAAGUAGAGGGGCCCCACUAUAUAAUAAAAUAAUAUAAUUAUUGGACAUAUACGAUUAAUGUAGAACCUUCUUUAAUAUUUUUUAGAAUCUAAAAUGGACACAACAACAUAUAAAGAUAUAAUACAUCUUCGCCGUACAAAUUUGCAUUACACUGUUAACAAGUUUUUUUUCCUUAGAUUUAGAUGAAAUUCAAUUUAAAAAAAUGUCUCAAAAUAUUUUUUAAAUAGCAUAAAUUUCAUGAGUUUUACUUUUGGAAUGAUGUAUUUGUAAACAUAGAUCCUUUAGUUACACGCCAAUGAAUUUUGGAUUGUGAUACUACCAACAAAGUUAUAAGGUUAAUAUUGUUGAACACGACAAAAUAAAUAUCUGAAAGUAGGGACCCCGCACUAUACUAUGAAAUAAGAUAAUUAUUAUACAUAUACAUUAAUGUAGGACCUUUUUAAGAUUUUUCACAAUAUAAAAUGGACACAAAAACAUAUAAAGAUAAUACAUCUUCGUUGUACAAAUUUACAUUACAGUGUUGUUAAUUUUUUUCCUUAUAUUUAAAUAAAAUUCAAUUUAACAAAAUGUUUAAAAAUAUUGUUUUAAUAACAUAAAUUUCAUAAGUUAUAAUUUUAGAAUAAUUUAUUUUUAACAUAGAUCCUUUAGUCGCACACCAAUAAAUAUUGAAUUGUGAUACUAAUAACAAAGUUAUAUGCUUAAUAUUGUUGAACACGACAAAAAUAAAUGUCAGUUGGCAUUGCAUGUAAAUAAUAUAUUAUUUUAAAAUACUUAAGAUGUAUUGAUAAGUUGAAUUUUAAAAAUGUAAAAAUGUUUAAUAUAAUUAUGUGAUGGUCAUUGGUUGUUAGUAAUCUUUCCUGACUACAUGAUAAUACUCACGUUGCAUAAGGAUUGACACGGAGAAGAUAUUGACAUAAAUAAGAUGCAACAGGAAAUGAGAGUCAUGAUGCAGGAUACGAUAAAUGAUAUUGACAUGGAGAAUACGCAACAGGAAAUGAGAUUUACGUCACAGCUCUAACAGCUGCGAAAGACAAUCCUACGGACAAGUUACUGAAGGCAACUACUAAGUCAACACUGAGACUCUAAACUCUUUUGUUCCAACUUGUCUCGAAAACAUUGACCCGUGCUCUCGUGAAGUUUGGGAAAAACAGUUUCACCACGGAAUGAUAGGAUAUGCGUGUGACUUGAAAGUUGUUCUCACUGGGUCUUACAUUGUAGAGGAUUCCUGUUUGUAUCUUCUAUUUUUGGAUCUGUGUCGAUAAUGCAUUUAACCUCGUUAUUCUAAUGUUAUUAGUUAUUUAUAUUAUAUAUUCUCACCAAGUAUUAUUCAGAGGUGAACAAUUAAACAUGUGGCAAGUAUCAAGCAAAGUAUAGACAGAGUUAGGAACAAGCUGAAUAAACCCUCAGUUUGUGAAAUGUGCGACUUCACUUAAACAUGGAAUUGAACUUUUAAACCAGUCAAGUUAUUUGCAAUUACGGUCCCAUACUAUAAUUGAUGCAAAAGGGAAUGCACUAAAUAAUCAAAAAUAGGACGGAAAUCACCUUGGGGAAGUUGGAACCUGAUUACACGCAGGGAACCAUUACUUUUUGUAUGGAUUGGUUAGCCAAUGAUUUGAUUAAAGUGCAAGUUGCAAAGCAGACAUUUCAUGUUGUCCCGAUGAUUUGAUGAAAUUGAUUCUUUGUUUAAUCCUUUUGGUUAUAACCCAAGGUUAGUUGAUCAUACAAUUAUAACAAUCCAAACUGCUAGUCAGCUACACUAAACUUAAGUAAGUAUUAAAUUAAAUCAAUUCUAGAAGUGGGAAGCCAUAAUAAAAGAACUGAGAUGACUUAUUCUCAAUGUAAUUAUGAAAUGCAUAUAAUUAGAUGUUAAAAAUGUAAAAAUGUUUAGUAUAAUUAUGUGUUGGUCAUUUGUUGGUAGUCAUAUUUGUCCACUACAUGAUAAUACUCGCGUUGCAUAAGGAUCGUUGUUCAUUCUUUUCUCGGGGCAUCAACAUGAUGUGUGAUGUGUCUUUUCUGUUUGAAGGGCAUCACACAAAUGCAGUGGACCCAUCCAUGCCCCCCAUCGGCACAGGCUCCCUCCUUUUCGAUAAUGAAGGACAUUAAGAGAGGAUUAACCACUCAGAAACAAAUUCCAACCACUGACCUGAUAAGCGUUUCAAUCUGUCGAUUUGUCAAAUCGUAUCAUCUUCCCCAGAUCCUGAGUUCAUCAAUGUCAUUUGCAGUAUGACCGAGGAGAUGGUGGAUCCCGUCCUAUCUCCGCAUAGCAAGCAGCUAGCCGUCCGCGAGAGAAUCAAGAGGUAGGGUGCAAUUUUUUUAGUGUGCUCUCUUGUGUCAGUUGUUUCCGCGAAUAAUCUUUUGACCGUGUGUCAUUUACUCAUUUGCACGGGCAAGGGCGGCGUGGAGUUCGUUGCCGGGGCCACAACAUCUCUGCUUCCGGCAAAUCGGAUGAGGACACAUGUUCGAGAUCGUCUAUCCAAUUGUGAAUCUGUGAUUGGUCCUUCAACGGUGUGGUGAUUUAAACCUGUAUUUUCUUGUCCGUUUAGGGUUGGGAUCAUCCUUAUAGGUCAUGUGGAAUUCAAGUUCGACCUCGCCUAGUACGAAUGGCUAGAAGUGGAGAGCAAGCAGGUCUUGUCCAUUUAGUGCUAGAAGUAUAAUUGUGUACAGAUGGAAUAAUUCAAGUAUACAACGACUUGUUUUGUACUCCAUGUCUCACCUCACGAUGUAUACUCUAUAUAACCCCCCAUGAGGGUCACAACACAAUGCAACAGGAAUAUUUGAGCCAUCCUACUAUUUCCUAUGGAUAAACAUAGGUUUGCAAAUACAAUAUUUUUUGGUUUGCUAACUGCACAUACCGUACACGAGUGGGUAAACAUUGUUUUGAUUAUUGGGUAAACAUAGGUAAUCACCUAUUUGCCUAACCAAUAAUGACAGUCGAUUACAUGGCCAUUAGUGGCUGGUUUGAGGUCAAUGCGAGUUCCUAAUUCAGCUCCGGUCACGUUGAGACAUUUUGAUCGACCCUCGUGUGGGUGCCGCGUCACGCAGCAACGUUACAAAAGACUUUUUCAGAGGUGAAAGAUGAGACCUUUGAGCUGCCACCAGUGACAGGUGACAAUUAGGACAGUGACAUCCAUCCAUGUAAAUGGAAGGUGUAAGUCACCACAGCAAGCAUCUUUUUCAGCUCAAAAGGUGAAGGAUUUGUUGAGAAGAAAUCUGGACUCUGAUUGCACAGAAGAAAAAAAGAGAAAGUUGACGCUAGGAAUGGAAAGUCAACUGAUCAAGCGUUUGCUUCACUGAACUGAACUUGUGAGGUGUGCUGGAGAAGGCAGUUAGUACAUUAUCUUCAGUUAAUGAGCUGCGAAAAGGAAGGCAGCAGCUAGUUGUAGUACAACAUGUCAGAGUAUACAUCGAUGGAUCGAUCAGUUGACAGGUAAGUAAAGGGAGGGAGUGACAAGUCUGUCAACACUGUCCAGUAACCUCUCAAUCAUCUCAUGUGUGUGUGGAUAUACCGCUGACAGUCUGUGGAUAUACAACACAGCUGAGGAACUGCUGUUGCCUGUUGCUUCACUACUGCUCGACCAUCUUUCUUGAAGCAAGCAGAGCAAGGUCCCAUUUCGGAAUCAUGGCAUCCAUGAUUUCCCUGUCUGCCUGAAAUCCUGAAAUCAUGCAUGCGGCUUACUUACUGCAGGUAAGGAUUUUGGAGCGUUUUGCAGGAUGGAUGGUGGAGAGAGCAGAGCAGGACAGGAUGGGGACUGCCCACCGAAUCCGACGACUGUUUUGGCUUGAUCCUCAUUGCAACGCAUGUACGUAGUUGGAAGUAAAGCCAAGUGGGCAGCAACCGCCUCCACUGGAAUGCAGCAGGCAGCGGCAGCAUUUGUGGUGUACUGACUACUACUGACCCUAUCCUUCUUUCCAGGACAUACAUACAUACACACAGCUUUGUAUGUGGCGUACGCGAGAUGAUUGUGGUUGUCGUGGGUGUCCCUCAUCUUCACUUCUUCAUUCACAAAAAACAUCAUCUCCUUUACUUUUUGCCCUAUUGAAAAAUACCCUUAGAUAAAACGGUGGCCACACCUUCUCUGAAUCCGCACAUAUCAUCACAACGACUGAUGUGAACAUGAAACAGAAAGAAACUGCAUCUGCCAGUCAGUGUUUUGCGUCAGAGCUAGCUGGUCCUUCUGGUUUUGUAACUGUUGGCUCAUCGCUGAACAACUAUCCUGCAGCUCGACUAGCCCUGUACGCACAACUCAACUCAACAUACACGAACUAGUUGUAACACUUGAUAUCUUGCUGGCGCUCACGCAAACACCGGGACCAGAACACAUGCACGCGAACGCAUCAACACGAAGAUGGCCAGAGGCACGAAUCGUGCCUUACAAUAGUCUCUUUAUUGCUUUUCGUUUUUCUUUAUUUAUCCUUCUCCCAUAGUUUUCGUUGGUACAACUCGAUAGCCUGCCACUGCUUAUAUAGACGUAGCCAUGCAGCCACACACGAAACAUCAUCAAUAUCCUAAACCGGUUAGUACAUGGACAUCAUAGUCCAACUCCAACUCGGUUAACACAUCACCGUAUCAAACUUUCCUAGUUUGACUACUCCUAACAUAGCACAACUUAGUACUUCUAUCCUAACUCACACGAAGCAUAUUUUCCUAAACUAAUUACACGGCAACGUUGAUCACACUAUUAAUCCUAACCGAACUUAACGAGCUAUCCCACGUUUGGAUUAUCCUAUAGUAACUACCUGACUGAUGAUUGGCAUGAACAAUGAGGCAAAAAGAAAAACAAACAUCACAGGUUGUUGUUGUCAUGUGACGAUCGGUUGAAAAGAAAAACAUCACAAGGUGUUUGUUGUCCUGAGUUUUCUGUUCGCAGAUGAAUGGGUUUCCUUUUGGUUCUCCUUGCACACCGACCCAGUUUCUCACACAUCUCUCUUCCUGCUGCACCAAACCCUUUGACAUUGCAGAGGAUUUUCUCUUUUCCGGACGAUGUAACACACGUUCCUGUACUACUUAUCAUCGGUUAUGGCGUCCCAUAGCAAAAAGAAAGACAUGCGCCGGUUGUUGAAAUAUCUCAUAACACGACUGCAGGAACAUGUAGAGAAAAUCUAGUACUUCCUCCGUUGCGGUUUAAAAGACGUGUUUAAAAAUUCUCUAGAACCUAAGUGGUUAUUGAUUCACUGUAAGAUGGAUGGAAAAAUUACAUUCACACUACGCAUGCAUAUAGAAAUAAUACAAUGGAGUAUUAAUUAACUUCUAUGAGUAAAUACAAUGCGCCCUAAACCUUGUCUAUUGUGGAAAUGCACGUAAUUUAAUCGUACCUUAUAAACUUUGACGGAGAAAGUAUAGUAGUAUAUAUAUAUAUUUUCAUGAAAUUCAAAGAUUACCAAGUUAAGGAAAAAAAUCUCCUAUUACAACGCACGACCAAUUUUAACAAAAAAAAUUAGCAACGCACGACCGCCUCCACAUAUGCAAUGCUUAUUUGCUCCACCUUCCUUUGAGCCGAGCACAGAUUUGACGGUCUUUCCGACCGAGCCAUCGCCCACUAGCGAUUCUUUCACACUCGUCAAAGAGAUUGGCCGCUAGCUAGCGAAGCGCGGGGGAGGGGGAGGUGCCGGAGGAGACGAGCUGUGGAGGGUGAGCUUCGGGGUGAGGUCCAUUGACCCACUUAGCACCAUUUUUAUUAAUUAAGUAUUAUGGAGCUGCCCAGUUGGUUAUGAAAAAACUGGGUGAAAACCGCCGCAACCA